rnacentral:lncRNA from 1 species
UUAUUCGCUGAUCAUCACUCCGUACAACUAACGUCAAAGGAACUGAUACCUUUGAGUUAGCCCUUUCACCUGAGCUUGAUGNNNNNNNNNNAGAGUACUGAUGAUCCAUACUUGAGUGUAUACUUUUAUUCGCUGAUCAUCACUCCGCACAACUAACAUCAAAGGAACUGAUACCUUUGAGUUAGCCCUUUCACCUGAGCUUGAUGUUGUUGUUCCGUCUUGGCUCAAGUUGAAAGCAAGACAUGAUGAAGUCUUCAAGUAGCUUUCCCGUACACAAUGCGAAAAGCCUAGCUUAUGUAUUUAUCUUCAUUUGUCCACCAUGUGUGAACAUCCACAAGAAUCAAGCAUGUAGUGCUCAAGAGUGCUUAUCUUGAUCUUGUCCUAUCCACCAUGUGAACAUCCACAAGAAUCAAGCAUGUAGUGCUCAGGAAUGCUUAUCUUGAUCUUAUCCUUGUUAGCACAUGAUCAUUGACAAUAGUUUCAAUAAUAUAUUCGUGCUGAUCCACUUGAACUUGCACACCACAAUCUUGAUGAUGAUCAGCACUUGACGUCAUCCUUCAUGGGUUGUAUGAGAUCUUCCUUUUGACGCAAGCCCAAUGGAAACACACCUAACCUCACAUAGGAGUCUCACAAAGACCAUGGGUUAGUACAUAAACACGUAAUGGACAAUGCUUACCUUACCAUGGGAUCACUUGAUCCCNNNNNNNNNNGCUUAUCCUUUGUAAGUGCAUCUAGUGCCCCUUAGUGAUUUUGGUGGUUUGAAGACUUAUAGGUUAAGUAUCUAAUGUGUUUAUAAGUGUACACAGGAUCUAUAAGUCAUUGAGGAGUUUGAGAUAUUUGAAGAAUAUCGACCCCUAAAAAUACAUGUCUUUAUUUGAAGAAAUUGGUCUGAAGCUGAAGAAAUGAAUCACGAGGAAUCUGCGAUGAAAUUGAUAUUCCUAAUGAAGAUAUUGAUAUCGAGAAGAUCGGUGGUUCCUGAAGAAAAUCAUUUUGAAGAAAUUGAAGCGUGAAGAUUUACGCUUUCUGUUUUUACUUUCUUCGCAUUUGAUGAAUAGGAACACCGUACUGUUAAAGGGGGUCAAAGUAACGCUAUGGAAUGAAUUUCCUCAUGAUGCUCAACCCAAGCCAAAUCCUACCAAAAGCCUCAAGUGAGGAAUAUGAGUGACAUGAGGANNNNNNNNNNNNNNNNNNNNNNNNNNNNNNNNNNNNNNNNNNNNNNNNNNNNNNNNNNNNNNNNNNNNNNNNNNNNNNNNNNNNNNNNNNNNNNNNNNNNGUAACAUACCGAAGGACAAAGGGAAUGACAUACGGGAUUAUACGAAUCCUUGGCACUGAGGUUCAAACGAUAAUAUCUUCAUAGAAUAUGUAGGAUCCAAUAUGGGCAUCCAGGUCCCGCUAUUGGAUAUUGACCGAGGAGUCUCUCGGGUCAUNNNNNNNNNNNNNNNNNNNNNNNNNNNNNNNNNNNNNNNNNNNNNNNNNNNNNNNNNNNNNNNNNNNNNNNNNNNNNNNNNNNNNNNNNNNNNNNNNNNNNNNNNNNNNNNNNNNNNNNNNNNNNNNNNNNNNNNNNNNNNNNNNNUUUAUGCGUAUUUGAGUUAUAUGGUUGGUUACCGAAUGUUGUUCGGAGUCCUGGAUGAGAUCACGGACGUCACGAGGGUUUCCGGAAUAGUCCGGAAACGAAGAUUGAUAUAUAGGAUGACCUCAUUUGAUUACCGGAAGAUUUUCGGAGUUACCGGGAAUGUACCGGGAAUGACGAAUGGGUUCCGGGGGUUCACCGGAGGGGGGCAACCCACUCCGGGGAAGCCCAUAGGUAUUUGGGGGGGUCACACCAGCCCUUAGUGGGCUGGUGGGACAGCCCACCAAAUCCUAUGCGCCAAGGAAGAGAAAAUAUCAAAGGAAUGAAAAAAAAGGGAGAGGUGGGAAGGGGGAAGGACUCCCUCCCACCAAANNNNNNNNNNNNNNNNNNNNNNNNNNNNNNNNNNNNNNNNNNNNNNNNNNNNNNNNNNNNNNNNNNNNNNNNNNNNNNNNNNNNNNNNNNNNNNNNNNNNUCUUCCUUGACUCUGGCAUGGCAUAAAACACAAAGAUUAGAAUCAGAAACCUUCCAGUGACGCCGUUCCAGCAUGUCCUGUGUGUUCAGCCUAUCCAUAAUGAGCAUCCAGGCAAACAUCUUAACUUUCAUGGUACAACAACUUUUCCAUAUCCAGUUAAGCAGAGGGUUAGGCACAAUAUUGCUAUGAACAUGAGCAUAGUAGGCCUUGGGUGUAUAGCCCUUAGCAUCCUUGCGCCAUACCCAUCUGUCAAAGGCAUGGUGAUCCAGAUCUAGAUCCAGAACUAAAGAUUGGACAACAGACAGUUCCUGAUAAGCUUGAGCGGAUAGUGGGAGGUGAAACAGAGAGAGCAGACGAUCUUCAGAAAAAGCAGUAAAAACUUCUUGAGCUGUGCAAAAAGGAUCAGCUACAAAGGAGAACAAUCGCUGGAAUCGAACUGCCAAAGGCAUAGUGGAGUUGCCAAGUAGCCAGGAAUCAGACCAGAACAAGAAUGAAUCACCCUUAUUAGGCAAGACAUAAGUAACAGAUCUGAAUUGGUCAAGACGCUUGCAUAUGUCCUUCCACCAAAAGGAGCCACAAAGUGCAGUGCCCUGAGGUACAGUGUGGUGGUAGUAAGUGUUCCAAAUCAGAUGAACCCAUGGGAUAUCAGCAUGAUUAAGGAAUUUAUCAGCAUGUUUGAGUAGAAGAGCUUCAUUCUGAACGGCUAGAUUCACAAUCCCUAACCCCCCUUUAUUUUUAGGCCUGCAUACCAGUGGCCAACCAGCAAGAGAGGGUGCAUGAUCAUUCCCAUUUCUUCGCCAUAGGCAUUGACGUUGAAUCCGCUCCAAUUGCUUCAGAAUCCGUGGUGGCAGAGCCAGACUGCAUAAGAAGAAGAGGGGAACAGCAGACAAUGCUGAGUUGACAUAUUGCAAUCUGCCCCCCUGAGCAAGAAAAGAGGAACUAGCACUGAGCCUUCUUUCCAUUUUAUCCACCAGAGGCAUGAGAUCGAUGAUUCGGGGUUUAGUGACUCCAACAGGCAGUCCCAAAUAUGUGAAGGGUAGAGUUCCCACUUUACAGCCAAUGGAAUCCGCUAGAUCCUGCAGAUGCUGAGAAGGAAUGUUGACAGGUAAAAGGGCAGAUUUGUGAUAAUUGACCUGUAACCCACUGGACUGAGAGAAAAGCAAAAGCAUUUCCUUAAGCUGCAAUAAUUGUGAUUUGUCAGCUGGUAAGAUGAUGAGAGUAUCAUCAGCAUAUUGCACGAUGGGGUAAUCUGUAUCAUGGGUAGAAAUGGGCAGCUGGAUCAGUCCAUCCACCCGCAGUUUAUUGAUCAGAGUUUGUAGAAAAUCAGCAGCAAUAGCAAACAGCAAAGGGGACAAAGGAUCUCCCUGUCUGACACCUUUUUUGCACAUGAACUUCUUCCCAGGCACACCAUUGAUUAGAACUGAAGAAGAUCCAGAGGCAAGAAGCUGCUUGACCCAAAGGAUCCAUCGAUCAUUAAAGCCCUUGGCUCGAAGAAUCUGGAAGACGAAUGCAUGCUCCACAGAAUCAAAUGCCUUNNNNNNNNNNNNNNNNNNNNNNNNNNNNNNNNNNNNNNNNNNNNNNNNNNNNNNNNNNNNNNNNNNNNNNNNNNNNNNNNNNNNNNNNNNNNNNNNNNNNUUUAUCCUUAGUAGUAGCAACACAAAGACGCAUCUUAUCCCCUUCUGUCAGUGGGAUAUAGAAAUUUGCCAGAUUGAACCUACCACGACGCACCUAUCUCACUGAAGAAAUAUCGAUCUAGUUGGCCAAACUAUUUCAAUAGAUCAGAGAGAAUUAUGAAGCCAUCAUAAUCAUCCAUAUAAGAAUCAUAUAAGUAUUCAGAGGAGACUCAAAUAUUUAUCAUGAAUAAUUUGAAUAUAAACCCAACAAACGCACCACACAAAAGGAAUUACAUCAUAUGGAUCAAAGCGAACAUGCGAUGAUCAUUGUAUUGAAGAUCAAAGAGAGAGACUUAUGGCAGCAUAAAAAGUGUUUCGGGACUUCCUCUUGUGUUUUAGGGUAGAUGAGAAUUUGUAAGCCAAAGAACGGAGUCGGGAGGGCCACGAGGGAGGCACAAGCCAUCGGCCCCCAGGUCGCGCCCUAAUGGCUUGUAGGCCCCUCGUGAGGCCUCCAGCCUUCUUCCGAUGCUCGUUUGUCUUCUUUUGGUCCAUAAAAAUCAACAAAAAGUUUUAGGGCAGUUGGACUACAUUUGGUUUGUGAAAUCUAUUGAAAAACACGUAGAAAAUAAUAACUCGCACUGGGCACUGGGUCAAUAGGUUAGUGCUAAAAAAUAAUAUAAAAUGGCCAAUAAAUACCCCAAAAAUAUUCUUGAAUGGUAAUAUAUGUGUAUGGAACAAUAAAACAUUAUAGAUACGGUGGAGACGUAUCACAUGUAUGAUAUAAUGAGUAACGAGAACCAUGAAACUUGUAAUCAUGAUUUUAAUAUUCAAAGUGAUUAUGUCAAUCAAGUGUCUCAUCAUAGUUAUUUUGUUGAGUUUGCUCACACUACUAUGAAUGAGAAGAAAAUUGCUUAUGUGGAGAGUAAUGAAAAUUCUAUGCUUAUGGAUCAUGAGAUGAAUGCUUUAUGUGAUAGUUAUAUUGUCAAAUUCAUUCAUGAUGUGAUACGUCCAUUUUGCAUCAUGAUUUCCUAUUGAUACUUAUGUUAUUCUUGGCCAUUAUUCCACUUUAUGAUACAAUUCUUAUGCCUUUUAUCUAUGAAUUUACAAGGUACAUCACAAUGAGGGAAAUUGCCAAAAGCUGGAAUUAUAGAAUUGAAACAAAGAAAAAGGCUCAAAUUUCUCUGGACUCCAAAUGACAUGAAACUUCACGGAGAAUUUUGUGGAAUAUAUUGGAAUUUAUGGAGCAAAAAUAUACAAGAGGGGGGCACCUAUUCGUGCCCACCCCCUGGGCGCACCCUGAUGGCUUGGAACGACCUCCAGGUGCCCUGGCCUCCCUCUUCUGCUAUAAGAUGGCUUUUGACCUAAAAAGUUACUUUCGGGAUGAAGAGCCACUGUCUUGAGACGAAAACCUAGUCAUACGCCCUUUCGCUCACCGAUAAAGUGAUUCUUUCGGGGAAAUUCCCUCCGGGAGGGGGAAAUCGAAGCCAUUGUCAUCACCAACACUUCCUACUUCGUAGGAGGACCAAUCUUCAUCAACAUAUUCACCACACUGUCUCAUCUCAAACCCUAGUUCAUCUCUUGUAUUGAAUCUUUGUCUCAAGACCUCAUGUUGGUACACGUGGGUUACUAGUAGUGUUUAUUACAUCUUGUAGUUGAUGCUAGUUAGUUUAUUUGGUAGAACAUAAUAUGUUUAGACCCUUAUUCAUAAUCAUUGCACCUCUAAUAUUAAACAUGGUGAUGAUUUGUAAGUAGUUACUUUUGUUCCGAAGGACAUGGGAGAAGUCUUGUUAUAAGUAAUCAUGUGAAGUUGGUAUUCAUUUGAUAUUUUGAUGAUAUGUAUGUUGUUGCUUCUCUUAGUGGUUUUAUGUGAAUGUCAAAUACACAACACUUCACCAUGUUAUGGGCCUAAGGGAAGGCAUUGUGAAGUAAUAAGUAGAUGAUGGAUUGCUAGAGUGACAGAAGCUUAAACCCUAGCUUAUGUGUUAUUUCAUAAGGGGCUGAUUUGGACCCACACUUUUCAUGCUAUGGUUAGAUUUAUCUUAAUCCUUCUUUUUGUAGUUACGGAUGAUUGCGAAUGGAGGUAAUCGUAAGUGAGUUGCUUGUUCAAGUAAGUACAACACCUUUGCACCGGUCCACCCACAUAUCAAAUUAUCAAAGUAACGAAUGUGAAUCAACUUAACAUGAAGAACAUGAAUAGAUAGAAAUUCCCAUGUGUCCUCGGGAGCGCUUUGCUUCAUAUAAGAGUACUUUCAGGCCAUUCCUUUGCUACAAAAAGGAUUGGGGUAUCUUCCUAGACACUUUCUACUAUUGUUACUUGACACUUGUUACGAAUUAUCUUGCUACAAAACUAUCUAUCAUUAUUAAUCACAACACUUGUAGAGAAUACCUUGCUGAAAACCACUUAUCAUUAUCUUCUUCUCCAGGUUGGGUUCGACACUCUUACUUAUCGAAAGAACUACGAUUGAUCACCUACACUUGUCGGUCAUCAAGGCUCUUUUUUGGCACUGUUGCCGGGGAGUAUCAUCAAUUUCCUAUCAAGUACGUUCUCACAAAUUAUCAUUCACUUGUUUUACCUUUUAUUUGCUAUUAUAUUUUUCAUGCUAUAAAAAUCAAAAAUACAAAAAUAUUUACCUUUGCUAGUUUACUUGUUUGCUUGUUUGUUUCGCUUGCUUGAAGUUGCUAUCAUGUUUGAGUUUGAAAUUAAUGGUGCUUCUCCCACUAUUGCACAAGCCCUAGAUCAUCCAACUUCACCAUGCAAUGAGAAUGCUAAAAGAAAUUUUGAUGAAGUUGCCAAAUAAAAACUUAGUAACCUUGCGGAUGAUGAUCCUUCUGAAGGAGAAUCCAUAAUGCAGAUAAAUAAAUUCUGCAUAGGUAGUGGUAAUAUUAUUGGAAAAAGUGUAGUUCAAGAUUUUUCACUUGUGCUAGCUCAUUACCCUUGAUAGGAGGAUCUAUUGUUGCUAUAACUACUAGUUAUGCGGAUGUUAUAUCUGUUCUCAUAGUUGAAUUGGGAAGACAAUUCGUUCAUAUGCAUCCCUUCGUACAAUGGAUGUUUCAAGAAUUCUCUAAUAUUCAGGAUAGUCCUACUAAAUGUUUAGCAACAAUAUUUCUCGUUCAUGAGUUCAAUCAUAUUAUGCGGCAAGCUAGAGAAAUAUUUGCUAAUUGUAGGGUUAAUGGUGAGGGCCCACCUAUAGAAGGAAUCCUUUAUGAUUUGGAAGAAAUAUGGAAGUUGAUACCAACGGAUUAUGUUGCUUAUGAUGAGAACAUUAGAAAAAGGGUUCUACCUAAUGUCUUAGUUGAUAAAAUUUCUGAAUACAAUGGUGAAUUUGUGAUACCAAAUCUUGGGUUGGGUCAUGUACAUGAGAAGGAAUUAAGGAAGCACCUUCAUCUAAACCUAUAUAAUGAAGAGUUUACUAUUGCUUAUUAAAAACCUAAGGAGGAGCCUCCUCCUCCUCGUGUGAUAGAUCUCAUAGACCCUUGUGUUGUGAAGUUUAGUCCCUUCAAUAACUUUUACUUACCUAUUAGAAAACUUGCUACCGAGAUAAGACAAUAUGAUUAUAGCAUGAUUAAUUUUUCUCAUGAUUGUUACAACACUUGAAACUAUGCAUUAUGCCUAGCUAGGGGCGUAAAACAAUAGCGCUUGUUGGGAGGCAACACAAUAGUUAUCUUAUAUUUCUUCUUUUACUUUAUGUUUGUGUGAGAUAACAUGAGUAUUGCAACAGUAAUGAUUGUGUUUUUAUGUUCAAAUUAUUUUUUGUUCCAAGUAAAGCCUUUGGGAUGAUUUAAAUGAUGAGUAGAAUUGAUAUGGUGCAAAAGCAGAAACAUUUGCAUCUAGUGAAAAUUUUCUAUGAUUUUACUAGAACAUCCUUUUGAUUUGAAUUUUCAACACAGUAUUGAUAUACAAAUUCCUCAGGAUUUCCUAUUUUUUUAGAAUUUCAAAGUUACACAAGUAGGAUGUCUUUGCUUAUCACUACAGACUAUUUUGUUUUAGACAGAUUCUAUUUUUUGCUUGCAUAGUUUGCUUAUUUUGAUGAUGAUAUGGCUUAUAUCGGGGGGUAAAAGUCAUGGGUAACUUAUAAUACAGUAACUCAUGCAAUAAUAAAAUAUCAAUAAAUUUGCAAUAAUACAUAAUGUCUAUGGUUCGCCUAUCCUACUAACGGAUCUCAUGAGUUUUCUAUUCUAUUUUGUGUGUUGAUGUUUUCAAGUUUGGGUGUUAUCACGAUGGAUAAAGGAAUAAGGAGCGGAAAAGAUCCUAAUAUUAGGGAUGCCCAAGGCACCCCAAGUCAAAUUCUAGUUGGGGAUGCCUUAGAAUUCAUCUCCUCUUUCAUCUCAAUCGAUCGGUAUGUCACUUGGAGCUAUAUUUUAUUCAUCACAUGGUAGGAGUUUUGCUUGGAGCAUAGUGUAUUAUAAUUUGCUUUUUUUAGUUUUCCAUAAGAAUUGUUUGCUGGACACGCCCUCUUGAGAGAGACACAUAUUCACCAUGAUUUGUUAGAAUACUCUAUGUGCUUCACUUAUAUCUUUUGAGCUAAGCAGUUGCACUAGUCCUUCACUUAUAUCUUUUAGAGCACGAUGGCAUAUAGAUUUUACAGAAAUAAUUGCACUCUCAUUGUUCACUUAAAUUUGUUUGAGAGUUAAUAAAUAGUGAUGGUAAUUUGCAUGGGUUAUACGACUAGUCCAAGAAUAAUAGGUAUUCAAAGAGUGCAUAAUCAAAACCACAUGUAGCACAUAAAAGAGAAAUUGUGGGUUAAUGAUAUUGAUGUCGUAAUAUGAAAGGGUGUGAGUGCAUGGUUGUUGGUUAGUAAAAAUAUCAAUAGUUAAUAUAUGUUAAUUUAUUGUUCAUAUAAAUAUUGUUAUGUCAUGGUGAUGAUGUGUGAACAUUCUUAUUCCUCGUUGAAAUCCUAGUGUUGUUUAGGUUGGGGGCGCGCGAUGGUUAACUCCUACCAACCUAGGUGCAUGCGAGCAGUACUUUGCUUUGAGAGAGCUAAUAAAACAUGUGAUAAGUAUGUGGGUUAUUUAUGACCAAUGGAAAUUCAUAGAUGUACGCACUCUCACCACCUCAUAUUUGCUAGCCUCUUCCGUACCGUGCAUUGCCCAUUCUCACCUCGAGGAUCGGUGCGAACUUCGUCGGUGCAUUCAAACCCCACAACAUGAUACGCUCUGUUGCACAUAAGCCACCGUAUAUAUUCCUCAAAAUAGCCACCAUACCUACCUAUAAUGGCAUUUCUAUAGCCAUUUUGAGAUAUAUUGCCAUGCAACUUCCACCGUCACGUCAUAUAACUAGUACACUCAUUGUAAUAUUGCUUUCCAUGAUCAUGUACUUGAGAUAGUAUUUGUGGCGAAGCCACCAUUCAUCAUUAUUAUACAUGCUACGCUAGAUCAUUGCACAUCUUGGUACACUUCCGGAGGCAUUCAUAUAGAUUCAUAUUAUGUAGUAGUUUUCCAUAUCGAGUUGUAAGUAAGUAGAAGUGUGAUGCUAUUCAUUAUUAGGGCAUUGUCUCUGUGAGGAAUGGAUGAUGGUGACAAUGAUUUCCCCCACAAGCUGGGAUGAGACUCUGGAUAAAAAAUAAAAGAAAAAGANNNNNNNNNNNNNNNNNNNNNNNNNNNAAGAAAUAAAGAAAAUAAAAAUAAAUAAGAGAGAAGAGAGAAGAGACAGUGCUACUACCUCUUUUUCUACACUUGUGUUUGAAAGUAGCACCAUGUUUUUCGUAUAGUCUCAUGUUUUGUCAGUUUCAUAUGCUAGUGGGAAGUUUUUAUUAUAGAACUUGUCUUGUAUAUUCCGAUGAUGGGCUUCCUCAAAUGCCCGAGGUCUUCAUGAGCAAGCAAGUUGGAUGCACACCCACUUAGCUUCAGUUGAGCUUUCAUACACUUAUAGCUCUGUUGCAAUCAUUGCAUGGCAAUUCCUACCACUCACAUUGGUAUUGGUUGAUUGGCAUCUCCAUAGCCCGUUGAUCCGCCUAGUUGAUGCGAGACUUUCUUCUUCUCCACUUUUACCCCUGUGAAACCUACCACCAUGUUCUAUUCCACCUAUAUGCUAUGUCCAUGGUUCAUGCUCAUGUAUUGAGUGACUAAUAAAAACUUGAAUCCCGUUAAAAAGUACGAUCCAAUUGCCUGGCUUAACAAUGUGGUGCUUGAAAUUCGUAUUUAUGCGGUGAAGACGGAGCCAUGCCAUGCUAAUAUGAGAAAAUGAAUGGGGGGUAAACAUUCUCUAAGGAUCAUAUAUUUUGAACAUUGAUGAUUAUCUUACUUAUGUUCAUGGAUAUUACUAUGUUGAUGUUUGUUAAUUCAUCGUUUCUCAAUGACCAUACCUACAAGAGAUUACAUGUUGGGUAGCAUGUCACAUCAAAAAUUCUAUUUUUAUCAUUUACCUACUCAAGGACAAGCAUGGAAUAAGCUUGGGGAUGCUGAUACAUCUGAACGUAUCUACAAUUUUUUAUUGUUCCGCGCUAUUAUAUUAUCAUUCUAGGAUUCUUUUUAGGCAUUUACUUGUUGUUUUAUAUUAUUUUUGAGCACUAACCUAUUAAUCGAGUGCCAAGUGUCAGUUGUUGUUUUCUGCAUGUUUUGGGAUUUUUAGGAAUAUUGUACCAAACGAAGUCCAAAUACCCCGAAACUUUUUGAAGAUUUUUUCUGGACAAAAUAAGGACCUGGAAGCUUCAGAAGGAGGUCCAAGGUCCCACAUGGUAGCGCCAAGCCAACAGGGGCGCACCAUAUUGGCUUGGGACCACCUCCCUUGGCCUCCGGUGCCCCUCUAUGUCCUAUAAAUUCUCAAUUAUCUCAAAAACCCUAGCGAGCCUCCCGAAACACUUUUUCCACCAUCGCAAGUCUUCGCUCCACUGUGUGCCCAUCCGUAGCCCUGUUCCGGUACCCUACCAGAGGGGGGAUCAAUCAUGGAGGGCCUGUACAUCAACCUUGAUGCUCCCAUGGUGAUGUGUGAGUAGUUCACCACACACCUAUGAGUCUGUAGUUAGUACCUAGAUGGCUAUAUCUCUCUCUAUGUCCUUCAUUUCCAUGACCACCAUGAUUCUUUCAAUGAUCUAUCUCAUGUAAUCACUUUGUGCAGUGCGUUUCUUGGGAUCCGACGAAUUGUGGGUUUAUGUUCAGAUUAUUCAUGAAAUAUAUUUGAGUCUUCUUCGAAUUCUUAUAUGCAUGACUAUGAUAGCUUCGCAAUUCUCUCUGGUCUAUUGAUUUGAUUUGGACAACUAGAUUGAUCUAUCUUGAGUGAGAGAGGUGCGUUGUAGUGGAUUCAAUCUUGUGGUGCUCCAUAUUCGAGUUAAAUAGUAGGGGACAAGGCACGUGUGUGUAUUGCUUCCACUAAGGAUACAAUGAUGGUGUUGAUUCAUAUUAAUUGGAUUUUCUUUGUCUACAUCAUCUCAUUGUUCUCCAAGCAUUACUCUGUUUUACUUAAUACUCUAUAUGCAUGCUGGAUAGCGGUCGAUGGGUGGAGUAAUAGUAGUAGCUGCACGCAAGAGUCGGUAUUCUUGCUUACGGACGUGAUGCCUAUAUGUAAUGAUCAUUGCCAUGAAUAAAUAUUACAUAACUAUGCACUUUUCUAUCAAUUGCCCAACGAUAAUUUUUUUACCCGAUGUAUGCUUUCUACGAGAGGGAAGCCUCUAGCGAAAACUAUAGCCCCCGGGUUUAUUCACAAAUAUAUUUACAAAAAUACAAAAUACCUCUCUGCCUUUUAUUAUUUCUUUUAAUUUUUAUACUUAGUAUAUUUCAACUAUCUAUGAUUUUACUAGAGCGUCAAAGAAAUCUGAAAUUUAGAUAUAGUUUUUAUAUGCAAAUUCUCUGCAUUGUACUAUUUUUCAGAAUUUUCAAAGAUAGGGAAGUAUGGUUUAACUUCAGAUCUUUACAAACUGUUCUCUUUUUGUCAGGUUCUGUUUUGCAUAGAUAGUUCUCUUGUUUUAUUAUUUCCAUAGCUUAUAUUUAGUGAUAUAAAUUGUGGGAAUGAAUAAUAUAGUAGGUAUUAUGUGAGAACAAUUAUGAAUCUUGUCUUGACAGUACCUAAGUGAAUGAUAUGUCUUUAUUACACUAAGACAUCUCAAGAAGUUUCGUUAGGUUUUGUUUGAUUGAAGUUUUUAAGUUUUGGGUGAGACAUCAAUAUGAGGAGAAUAAGGAGUGACAAGAAACUAAGCUUGGGGAUGCCCAAGUCACCCCCAAGGUAAUAUCCAAGGAAGACUCAAGUGUCUAAGCUUGGGGAUGCCUCGGAAGGCAUCCUCUCUUUCAUCUUUAACAUUAUCAGUAUAUCUUACUUGGAGCUAUAUUUUUAUUCGUCACAUAAUAUGAGUUUUUUUAUUACAUCGUAAUUUUAUUUUGUUGAACUUUUCUUGUUGUUAUCUAUAAUCAUGUUUUCAAUAAUAGAAUUGCCUUGAGGAUGCUUGAAUUGCAUAUUUGAUGUGUGUUGUUCAAAAAUAGAAACUUUUGCUUUAGUGUUUGAAUUUAUUUAUUCUACUAGAGCAUAGAAAGCUUCUGAAAGUUUUACACAUAACUUUCAUACAAAUUAUUUAUCAUGUCCUAUUUUUUAUAAUUGUUGGAGUUAUAGAAGUACACUUUUUAAAUAGAUUGCUACAAACUAUUCUGUUUGGAUAGAUUGUUGUUAUAGUUUUGUUAUCUACUUACCUUGAAGUUUUCAUGGCUUAUAUUGGUUGAUAUAAUAUGGGUAAAUGCUACUAUAAAGUACCUAAUGUUUGAAAACAAUUAUGCAACUUAUCUUGGCAGUAUAUGAAGUGUUGAUUUAUUCUUAUGUGUACUAACCUAUCUCACGAGUUCUUUUUGAGUUUUGUGUGGAUGAAGUUUUUGACACUUAGGUGAAACCGGGAUGUGAGAUGAUUGAACAAGAUAAAUAAGCUCAAGUUUGGGGAUUCCCAAGGCACCCCAAGUAAAUUUUACAAGAAUUCUCAAUCAUCUAACCUUGGUGAUGCUAUGCAUCACACCUCCCUUCGUAAACAAAUAUCGGUUAGCCUAUGUUGAGCCUAAGUUCUUAUUUGUCCACAUGAUAUGUGCUAUUCUUGGAGUGUAUUUUUGUNNNNNNNAUUUGUUUUUUGAAUAAAAUUCUCGGAUCUGAAUAUCUUUAAUGAGAGAGAGUCCUCACAUAGCUACCUAAUUGUUUAACUACUCAUUGAUCUUCACUUAUAUCUUUUUGAGAGUAGUUUGAUGUUCACUCUUGUGCUUCACUUCUAUCCUAAGAGAAAAUGUUGAAUGAAUUGAAUGUCAUAAAUGUGAAAUUAAAUAUGCUUCAUAUGCUUGUCCCAUGGGAGUAGUGACUACACAUAUAAGAAGUAUAAGCAAUAAAAUUUAUUGGAAGUUACAAACAUAGCAUUGGUCGCUUGAACAAUUCAUGAAAGAACAUUAAAGAAGAGAAAUUUCACAUAUAAAUAUACUAUAUUGGGCAUCUUCUAUGAUCAUGAGACCCCAUUACUUAUUUCAAACUUGAUAAAAUAGUUGAUGUUGGACGAGGAAGACAACAUAGUGGUUAUGUUUGUUUAUAUUCACAUAGAAGUUAUAUUGUCAUGGAUCCUCUAACAUGUGGUGCCUCCUUAGGAUCUUUUCCUAGAUAAAAAAUUGCACUAAGUAGAGAUACUAUUUAUGCAUCCAAAAACCCUUAAACCCAGUUUCUUGCCACGACAGUCCGCCAUAUCUACAUAUGGAUUGUAUAAGAUCCUUCAAGUAAGUUGUCAUCGGUGAAAAAAGUAAUAAAAUUGCUUCUAAAUAUGUAUGGUAUUUUAUUGAAAGGGAAAUAAGCUUUGUACGAACUUGUGAUGGUGAAUAAAUAAAAGUGACAGAAUGCAUAAAAAAGGUUGCUAUCACAGGGGGAAAUAUAAAGUGAUGUUCCUUUUCAUUAAAAUAUUGCACAUGCAAAAAUAAAAUGUGCAUGACAACCUCUCCUUCCCUCUGUGAAGGGCCUAUCUUUUAGUUUUAUGUGUUUACUUUCCAACAUUUACUUGUAUGCAAUAGUCAAUAAUGCUCAUCCCUAUUCCAAUCUAUUAAUUCGGUAGUUGACAAGCAUCAUGUGGUAGGGAAAGAUCCACGAACAUAUAUCCAGUUGUAUAUAGGUGAUCAUGAUUCAUUAUUUUUGAAGUUAUCCUUGAGAUAAAUAAGUUGGAAGGCGGAACAUUAAGUCCCUAUCUUUCUAUGUGUUUGACUGAAACUGUUUGUUAUAAAAAUAUGCUUUGAAUUUUAGCAAUCAUGGACAACUAAAUGAUAGUUGAGUAUGUGGAAUUUGCUAAGAUGAAUUGUAACUGUUUUAUGACUGAAAACAUAGUUUGCUAGUUUUCAAGAAAGUUUAUGGUCUAUACUUUAACAUGUGAAUAGCUUGCUACCUGAUCAAAAGAAGUUUUAUGAGAAAAGAGUUGUUGUUUAUGAUACUAGAAAACGUGAUUGGAAUUAACAUUGGUCAAUCUUGUAUACUAUGCUAGCAUUCACACUUCAUAAAUUAUUUCCUUUAUCAUUUACCUACUCAAGGACGAGUAGGAAUUAAGCUUGGUGAUGUUGAUAUGUCUCCAAUGUAUCGAUAAUUUAUAAAGUAGGCAUGCCAUAUUUAGCUAUGUUUACAAUACUUUUAUAUGGUUUUGACGAAAUUUAUAUGAUUUAUGUAGAACUAACCCGAACUGACGUUGUUUUCAGCAGAAUUACCAUGGUGUGGCUUUUUGUGCAGAAAAUAAAAUAUCCCGGAAUCGCUGAAAAAAUUUGAUGAUUUUUUGUAGAACAUAUUAGAAAUACUGGAGUGAAUAACCACCAGAGGGGGUCCACGAGGUGCCCCCAAGCCAUCAGGGUGCCAUCACUCCCUUGGCACUUCUUGAUGGCUUGGGACCCCCUCAUGGUUCCGUUUAGCGUGAUUCCAAUACCAAAAAAUCCUAUAAAUACCAAAAAACCCAGAAGUUAACUCAGAACUUCCACUCCACUGUUGGAAGCCUGUGUACCACUGAAAACAAAUUAGGAGCCCUAUUACGGUACCAUACCGAAGGGAGCAAUCAUCACCGGAGGCCAUCUUCAUCAUCCCGACGGUCUCCAUGACGAGGAGGGAGUAGUUCACCCCCAGGGCUGAGGGUAUGUACCAAUAUCUAUGNGAAUUGAAUCUUUCUCUUUAAGAUUUUUUAUGUCGGAUUGAAUAUUGGAUUUGAGAUCACUUUAUGUAUGUCUUGUAUGUGGAUACUCGUGGUGACAAUGGGGUGUUAUGUUUAUUCACUCGAUAUAUGUUUGGUACUCAACUUGCGGAUUGCCAUGGUGACAAUGGGGUAAUCUAUGCAUAUGGGUUGAUACACGUUCUUGUCCUACUUUCUCCAAUAGAAAUCUUGGUGUACUCUUUGAAGUUAUUUGUGUUGGACUCAAUACAAUGAAUCUGAAAUUGUUUGAUGCAUGUCCAAUAAUUAACCCACAAAUACUUGUGGUGACAUUGGAGUAUUUAGGUGACAUUUGGGUUGACUGAUGUGUAUCAUAGGUGUUAUUCUAGUACGAACUUUAGGGCUGUUUAUGACACCUAUCGGAAUAGCUCAAUAGAUUGACUGGAAAGUAUAACUUUGAGGUGGUUCUACUACCUACAACAAUUUCAUCUUAUGUUCUCGGCUACUUAUAAACUUUGGAGUGAUUGUUUGUCGCACGUUGAGGGAUGAUCAUAUGAUUCUGUUAUGUUAGCAUCGUUGAGAGAUUGCACUAGUGAAAGUACAAACACUAGGUCUUAUUUCUAAGCAUUGUAACACCAUUUAUGCCCACUUGUACUACUCGUCACCUUGCUGUUUUUUAUUUUCAGAUUACAAAAACCUACAUCUACUAUCCAUAUUGCACUUGUAUCCCGUCUAUUCACCAAACUAGUGCACCUAUACAAUUUACCAUUGUAUUGGGUGUGUUGGGGACACAAGAGUUUUUUGCAUUUGAUUGUAGGGUUGCUUGAGAGAGACCAUAUUCAUCCUACACCUCCCAUGGAUUGAAAAACCUUAGGUCACCCACUUGAGGGGAAACUGCUACUGUCCUACAAAACUCUACGCUUGGAGGCCCAACAGAAUCUACAAGAAUAAGGUUGGGUAGUAGACAUCACGCACACACUCGCAGGAGUGGUCCUUUGGCAUGGAAACCGAGUUCGAUCGUCCACCUAAACAACUUCUAUAAAGGGGAAUCAAUCGAAAUGUCAACAGAACGAGCAGGAGAGGAAGGUCGAGCACGACCAAAACCUCAUCACCACCAUCUCGAUCCACCAAACCUAGACACCAUCAUCUUCAUCUCCAUAGCCAUCUCCAUAGCCAUCUCCAUCGCCACAGUGCUCUCUCAUCUAGCUCAUACUUGUAAUCAUGCAUCGCACAAGGCAUCUAUUGUAAGACAUAUUGCAAUCAGUCGAUCCAAAUAUGUGUUCUUCAAUGAUUUCUUCUCGCUAUAUGAUCUCCAUGUGUGAGUAAUCCGGUAAGGUAUGGGUGAGGCAUGCGCCUUGCAACCCCAGGUAUUUGGUGAAGGGGUCAAUGGGAGUCUUUGGCAUAAUGUCCCGUAUGUGUAAAAUAAAAGUGUUUCGUGAAGUGUAUCUUGUCUUCUCCUUGAUCUUCAUCCCUGCAAGUACCCAGGAUCAUGGAGGUUGAGCAUCAAUGAGGUUAGGAGCAAGGGGACCAUGAAGUGUUACACCGAACACCGGUGACAUUAAGGUUCACUAAGGUAACAUGGAUCAUAAGCUUGGGGAUUCAUGAGGUCUAGUCAUUAAACACCUAGUGUUUUUGUCUAACAUUAUAAACUUAAUUAUCGGGGCAACCCCGCGAGACGGAUAGGGCCAUCGAUAGGACAACUGAUUCUUGAUGCUCGACUCGAGUCAGUCAAGAUGUAAUUUUGACACACCCCCACGCUGAUAUGAAUCAAUCACCUCUUUAUGGGUGACUUCCUAAGCACAAACUAAUAUCAUUUUUAUCCCAACACUCAUACAUGGCUGUAAGCAUUAAGACCUCAUCCCCGUACCUUCUUUUUAUUUAUAAGUGUCGAAUCACAAUUUGCUUGAUGAUACUUUCAAAAGCUAGACUUUGGAAAAAAGUUUGCUAGAGACCACUAUUCAAGGGAGUCUUCCUUUCAUGGGUUCGAUACCCAGAGUCUUCCUACCAGCGGUAGUACCGCCCUUCUCGUGCUGAGAGUGAAGGUAACGGUUGGAUUUGUUCCCUCACUAUAUAAAGGGUUAUUCCACUUCAAGAACCCUACCUUUUGACCCUCCAAGACUCCAUUGUUGAUCCCUAAGCUCAUAAGUUCCCGAUCUCUCUCCCUAGCCAAUCAAACUUGUUGAUUUUCUAAGGAUUGGUGGAGAAGGCCUAGAUCUACACUUCCACCAAGAGAAAUUUGAUUCCCCAAUAAUCCCUUGCGGAUCUUGUUACUCUUGGGUGUUUGAGCACCCUAGACGGUUGAGGUCACCUCGAACUCACAUUCCAUUGUGGUCAAGCUCGAUGGUCUUGUUGGGAGCCUCCAAGCUUUGUGUGGAGUUAGCCCCAACCUUGGUUGUAAAGGUUCAGUCGCCGCCUUCAAGAGCACCUAUAGUGGAAUCACGGCACCUUGCAUUGUGUGAGGGCGUGAGGAGAAUACGGUGGCCCUAGUGGCUUAUUGGGGAGCAUUGUGCCUCCACACCGCUCCAACGGAGACAUACUUCCUGUCAAAGGGAAGGAACUUCGGUAACACAUCCUCGUCUUCAUCAGUUCCACUUGUGGUUAUCUCUAACCUUUACAUUGUGUAUGUUAUUGUUGUAGAUUAUUUCUUACUUGCCUCAGCGAUUAUAGUUGGUAGCAUCAUAUAGGUUGAUCACCUAGUUGUCAUUUUAUAGAACUUUAUGUUGCUAACCCUAACUUGUUAAGAAUAAUUAAAAAGUGGUACUUGCCUAUUCACCCCCCCCCCCUCUAGUCAACCAUAUCGAUCCUUUCAAUUGGUAUCAGAGUCGUGUCUCUUUAUUAAAGGUUUCACCGCCCGAAGAGUAUGGAUGAGGAUGAGGGAGGAACCCAUGGACAACCCGAGGCCAUGGCCUUGACUUCGAUCACCGGGGACGACUUGAAUGCGGCUAUGGCCAACCUCGGGACGUCCUUGACGAACGAAGUCAAGACCAUGCUUAAAGAGCUAAUUGAGGGAAUUAAAAGUUCUCCCGAACCGGCGUUGGUGGCUAAACCCGUCAACACGGAUUCGGAGGCCAAUUCCUCCAAGGAAGCGGCUAAAGGCAUGCAACCUUCUUCCCCUCACGAUAUUAAUGGGAAUGGAACCUAUACCCGAGUUCCACCUCCCAUGGUCUAUGGCAGGCCGGUUCCUAAUCCGCGUAUUAAUCCUGUAGGUCCUCCUCCUAAGCUUGUUAAGGGUGAUUUUGCUAACUGGGUAUUUCCCAUUAAGUCUCAUUUGAAUCACAACUCAAUAAAUUUAUGGAGAAUCAUUGAGCAAGGCUACUAUCCACAUGACCCAAGCAACCUCACUCCAAGAGAAGAAGCAGACAAUCAAUAUAAUCACUCCGCAUUUUUUAUUCUCCAGUCCGGAGUGCCUCCUGAAGAUCUUCCUCACUUGCCCCCUUCACUUUUGCUAAGGACUGUUGGGAGCACAUUAUGGUGUUGUACAAGGGAAGCUCAAGCAUUCAACGGUCCAACUAUGAAGUGGUGCUUGAUGUGGCCAAUGAGUUUGUGAUGAAGGAAGAUGAGGACCCUCGUGAUCUCUAUCGAAGGGUGACUGCUAUUGCCGUUGCUCUCAAGGAUCAUGGGAGCAAGGAUGUGGACGACACAUGGAUCAAGUGCAAGUUUCUCAAGGCCAUCAUGCCAUUUAUCAAAGCCAUGUCAUCCGUCAUUCGCCAACGACCAGAUUUCCACUUCUUGUCCUCCAGUGAGGUGUUGGAUGAAUUCAUUGCAAUGUCAAUCAUGAACAAGACCGUUGAUAAUGCACUUGCUCGCGUUCGGUCAAAGACAGCUUCACACAACCUUUCUUUAAAACCAAAGGCUGCUUCUGAAGAAGAAGAAGAGGAUGAGGAAGGGGAGAGAUACCCUGAAGACACUAAGUAUGCUUAUCACGAGCACAUGGCUCUUGCGUCAAGGCAAUUAUGGGGAAACAAGAGAAACUCAAGGCCCAAUUUCUCCAAGAAUAACUCAAGUGGGUUCAAGACCAAGCAAGGUGUGAGGACAUGCUAUAACUGCUGCAAUGUGAGUCACUUUGUGGCAGAAUGUCCCUAUGAGAAGAGGGAAGACAAUGGGGGCAAGCUCAUUCGCAAAGACAAAGCCAAGUCUUUCCCAAACAAGAACAACUUUGUCAAGAAACCCCAUCCAAAGGGUAUGGUGGUACUUGAAGAGUANNNNNNNNNNNNNNNNNNNNNNNNNNNNNNNNNNNNNNNNNNNNNNNNNNNNNNNNNNNNNNNNNNNNNNNNNNNNNNNNNNNNNNCCCCUUCUCCAAAGAUGUCUCUCUUAAAUGCCCCCAAUGAUAACCGCAUCGCCAAGUGCCUUAUGGCCAAAGGUAUCGAUCAAGUAACACCCAACAUUAAGACCACCAUCACUACUGCUCCUUCAUUGUUAAAUUGUGUUGAUAUAGUGAUUUUGUGGAACUUAAUGAGCAUGGUUUUGACAAAUUUCUGUGUAAAAUCAAAGGAGAGUCCAAGAAGCACUUUGUUGCUCUUUUGGAACAACUGGGUCAGGCUAAUGACCUCAUCGAGCCUCAUGAUGAGACUAUCUCCGAGCUGCAAGGACAUAGUCGUGACUAUGCUGAUGAGAUUGCUGAAUUAUCUAUUGCACUAGGAAAAGAGCGCAGUCUUUGUUUGGAUCUUGAGGAGUCACACAAUGAUGAUUGCCCUAAAUUUCAAAAGGAGCUAGAUCAUGUUAUUGUUCUUACUCGUGUGUUUAAGUCUGAAAAGGCUGCACUUGGUGUUGGCCAUGACAGACUCAAAGCGGAGUUUGAUACACUUGACAAGGAUCACAAGGUCUUGAAAGGUGCUCAUUUCUCCUUGAAAGAGUCUCAUGAUCAACUCCAAGAAAAGCUUACCAAGGAUAUCUUUACUUGUCCUCCUUUUGUUAUAAUUUAGAAUGCUUGUACAACUAACCCUUGUUGUGAGCAUGUACAUCUUGUGGAGGAAAAUGCCAAGUUGAAGGAUCAACUUGAGAAGGGCCUUAUGUCAUGCAUCCAAGGCGAGAAGAACCUAAAUGACCUUUUGAGCAAUGAAAAGGGUGUUGUAGGAAAGGAGGGACUUGGACUUACAUCCAAGUCAAAAAGGAAAAGGAAGAAUAGGAACAAGCGAUCCCCUACCCUCAUGGACAUCUUUGCCAAAGAGGGCGAAGGGGCUCAGAAGGAGAACAGGAACAGGGUGGAGAAUGGUAGAAUCAAGAAGGGCAAAACCAUUCCUACCAACACAGCCGGCAAACUCAAUCCAUCUUAUGUUUUAUGUCGUGCUGGUGAUGGGCAUGUCUAUGCCAGAUUUGUUGGUUCUUACUAUGACUCCAUUGAAUGGGCUAUUUGGGUUCCUAAGACCCUUGUCUCUAACAUUAAAGGACCCAUUCAAAAAUGGGUACCUAAAACCAAGCCUUGAUCUAUUGCAGGAGUUUGCUUCCGGUGGGGUGUCAUGCCUGCUCGAUAGUGGAGCAACAAAUCAUAUGAACGGAAGCAAGGACUUAGUGGUGGAUGUGCGUCCUUCCCCAUCUAUGCCCACCCAUGUCCAAUUCGCUGAUGCAUCAACGUCCAAGGUAUUGGGAUUUGGUAAGGUGGUCAUCUCUCAAGAGUUAUCUAUUGAGAAGGUCAUGCUUGUUGAGUCCCUUGCUUACAAUUUACUUUCGGUUCGUCAACUUGCAAUUAUGGGCUUUGCCACAUUCUUUAAUCUUGAUACCGUGGUCCUUUUGUGGAGCAAGACUCUUAAAGUAGCCUAUGUUGGAUAUGUCGAAAAUGGUCUCUAUGUGGUGAACUUUUCAUAGCGACCCACUAAGACUGCGACUUGUCUAAUGGCUAAAGUUGAUGUGGGUUGGCUUUGGCAUCGCCGACUAGCUCAUGUCAAUAUGAGAUCUUCGCAAAGUCUCCUCAAAGGGACCAUGUUCGUGGACUAACAAAUGUGAGUUUUUCCACAGAUUGUUCUUGUAGUUCUUGUAUUGAAGGGAAGAUUCAUGAAACUGCUCAUCAUCCAACGACUCUCAUUUACACUAAGAGGCCGUUGGAGCUCCUUCAUAUGGAUCUCUUCGGUCCCCCAUCAUUUGAUAUUCUUGGGGGCAGAAAGUACUGCUUGGUGAUUGUUGAUGAUUACUCAAGAUACACCUGGGUAUAUUUCUUCAAGAGGAAGAGUGAGACUCAACAAACCGUCAUCAACUUUGCUAAUGAAGCUCAACGACAACAUGAAGCAAAGAUUUUAAUGAUUAGAAGUGAUAACGGCAGCGAGUUCAAGAACUACACCUUGGAUGAGUUUCUUAGUGAUGAGGGAAUCAAACAUCAAUAUUCAACACCAUACACCCGUCAACAAAAUGGUGUGGAGGAAAGGAAGAACCAGACGUUGAUGGACGCGUCAACAACAAUGAUGGCGGAAUUCAAAUCUCCGUAUAACUUUUGGGCCGAAGCCAUCAACACAUCAUGUCAUGCAUCCAGUCGGCUCUAUAUCCGCAAAGGCUUGAACAAGACCCCAUAUGAGAUUCUCACCGGAAACAAACCCAAUCUCAAGUACUUGCGGGUAUUCGGGUGUAAGUGUUUCAUUCUCAAGAAAGGUGCACGUUUAGCUAAAUUUGAUUCUAGAGCUCUGAUGGCCAUCUCUGGCAAUGGCUAGACGAAUGCUAUCUCGAUUGCUCAACAAUUAGAAAUUGUCUUGCAAUGACCCACCAGCGCGUGGGAUCGAGGCGGUUUUCGAGGGUAGAGUAUUCAACCCAAAUUUGUUGAUUCGCCAAUAGGAAGUGAGAGGAUAUUCUCAAGUAUUAGCAUCUGAAUGUGUCAGAUUCAACCACAACUGAAAGAUUAAUAUCUGCAAGAAAAGUAUCAACAACAAAGUAGUAUGUUAGCAAUGGUGUCAGAAACGAUCUAUUGACGGCGGACUAUUCCUAACUGUCGUAUCAAUGGCGCCAGAAGUUUCCCGUUCACGGAAAUUGUGUUUUCCCGUCAACGCCGAGCGAAUCAGAUUUGUAGCAAGUAGCAGCAGUGGCAAGGAACAAUAGUAGUGACAGCAGUAGCAAGUAGCAACAGUAGCAAGUAACAGCAGCAGCAACAGUAGUAACAGCAGCAGAGCAAAACAAGUAACAGCAGCAGUGGGACAAACUCGUAGGCAAUGGGUUGGUGAUUUGUUUGGAUGAUAUUCAUCAUGCAACAGUUAUAACACGGAGAGAUAUGUGGCUAGCUCCCGUUCGUCAAUGUGAUGUAGGCAUGCAUUGUGUGUGUCGUCAUACGUGCUUAGGGAAAAGAACUUGCAUGACAUCUAUUGUCCAUCCUUCCCAUGGCAGCGGGGUCCAAAAGGAAACUACGGGAUAUUAAGGUUCUCCUUUUAAUAAAGAACCGGACCAACGCAUUAGCACUUGGUGAACACAUGAACUCCUCAAACCAUGGUCAUCACCGGGAGUGGUUCCGGUUAUUGUCACUCCGGGGUUGCCGAGUCAUACCACAUAGUAGGUAACUACAACUUGCAAGAUCGGAUCUAAAACACACAUAUAUUGGUGACAACAUAAUAAUUUCAGAUCUGAAAUCAUGGCACUCGGGCCCUAGUGACAAGCAUUAAGCAUGGCAAAGUAGUAGCAACAUCAAUCUCUGAACAUAGUGGAUACUAGGGAUCAAUCCCCGUCAAAACUAACUCGAUUACAUGAUAGGUCUCAUCCUACUCAUCACCGCCCAGCGAGCCUACAAAUAGAUUACUCACGAAGAUGAAGAGCUUCAUGGAAUUGGAGAGGGAAGAAGGUUGAUGAUGACGAUGGCGACGAUUUCCCCUCUCCGAAGCCCAAAACGGAGUCCAGAUCUGCCCUCCAGAUGAAGAACAGGAUGUGGCGGCGCCUCCGUAUCGCAAACGCGACGAAAUAUUCUCUCUUGAUUUUUUCUGGGACGAAAGUGAAUUUAUAUAGCUGAAUUUGGGGCAGCAGAGCCACGUGGGCCCCACAAGCUUGCUAGCCGCCACCAGGGGGUGGCGGCUACAGGGCUUGUGGCCCACUGGCACAUCCCUUCCGGUGGAUCUUUGCGCAGGUAUUUUUCAUAUUUUCCAGAAAUAUUCUCCGUAAAUUUUCAGGACCUUCUGAGAACUUUCAUUUCUGCACAAAAACAACACCAAGGCAAUUCUGCUGAAAACAGCGUCAGUCCAGGUUAGUUUCAUUCAAAUCAUGCAAAUUAGAGUCCAAAACAAGGACAAAAGAGUUUGGAAAAGUAGAUAUGAUGGAGACGUAUCAACUCCCCCAAGCUUAAAACCUUGCUUGUCCUCAAGCAACUCAGUUGACAAAUUGAGAGAGAAAGAAAAACUUUGACAAACUCUGUUUGAUCUUGUUGUUGCAACUAUGUCUAACUCAUACCAAGAAUUUCAGCAAGAUCACAAGUUAACCACAUAAGCAGGUGACUCAAAGGUCUCACGGUAAACUAAUAUCAAUGGCAUAAUCAGCUAAUUGGCAAAUAAUAAUGAGUUUCAAAUACCAACACUUCAAUCAAAACAAGCAUGAAGCAAUAUGAAUAGGUGGUAUCUCGCUAGCUCUUUCUGAGACCGCAAAACAUAAAUGCAGAGCACUUUCAAAGAUCAAGGGCUAACUAAACAUUGUAAUUCAUAGCAACAAAGAUCCAGUCAUAGUCAUACUCAAUAUCAAUCAAAAGCAAAGCAUAAAAAUGACAGAGGUGCUCUCUAAUUGGUGCUUAUACAAGAGGAGGAUGACUCAACGGGAAAAUAAAUAGACAGGCCCUUCGCAGAGGGAAGCAUUGACUUGCAAAGGUGGCAGAGCUCAAGCUUUGAAAACAGAGAUAAUAAUUUUGGGUGGCAUGCUUUCAUUGUCAACGCAAUGACCAAGACUUCUCAAUAUCUUCCAUGCUACUCAUGCUAUAGGCGGUUCCCAAACAGAAAAGUAAAGUUUUAACUCCCCCACCACCAAUCAAUCACACUCCACGUCUAGCCGAAUCCUCGGGUACCGUUCAUACUAACAACAAUCCGGGGGGAGUCUUGUUUUACAGUUAUGUUUUCGAUUUAAGCGUGGAAUUGGGCAUUCCAAUUACCGGCCCCUUUCUCGUGAAUGACAGUGAAUAAACACAUGUUGAGGAUAACACUCCUAGCAUGGAAGAUACCAAUAGCCCCCUGUCACCACAUGAGCGGUUCGGGCAUGCAAAACAGAUUAUUUCUUGAAGGUUUAGAGAGUGGCACAUGCAAAUUUACUUGGAACAGCAGGUAGAUACCGCAAAUAGGUAGGUAUGGUGGACUCUCAUGAAAAAACUUUUGGGUUUAUGGAAGUGGAUGCACAAGCAGUAUUCCGCUUAGUACAAGUGAAGGCUAGCAAAAGACUGGGAAGCGACCAACUAGAGAGCGACAACAGUCAUCAAGAUGCAAUGAGUUUGACUAACAUUGAAUGCAAGCAUGAACAAGAUAUAAAUCACCAUGAACACGAACAUCAUAGAGGCUAUGUUGAUUUUGUUUCAACUACAUGCAUGAACAUGCGCCAAGUCAAGCCACUUGAAUCAUUCAAAGGAGCAUACCAUCCUAUCAUACUACAUCAUAGUCAUCUCAAAAUCUAUGUUGGCAUUCAAGACAAACCAUUAUAAGCUCCUAGCUAAUUAUGCAUGGCAUCAGAAACUAUGAUCUCUAAGUUGUCAUUGCAAACAUGGUUCUCUCACAACAAAACUGAAUCAGGCAUGACAAGCUAGUCAUAUUUACAAAAACAAAAUAGAUAGAGUUCAUACCAGCUUUUCCAGUCUCAGUCACUUCAUGAUAUAUCAUCAUUAUUGCCUUUCAUUUGCACGAUCGAAUGAUGUGAACAAUAAUAAGAGCGCUCGUGCAUUGGACCGAGCUAAAUCAGCAGGCAAACACAAAGGAGAAGACAAAGUAAUAUGGAUCUUUGAAAGCUCAACAGGUCUGCAUGCAAGAACCACUAAACAUUGUAACCAAUAUCUUCUACCUUGACCCAAAGAAAAAGAAAACUAUUUACACGGGAAAGCUCCCAACAAGCAAAAGAAGAAAGAAAAAUCUUUUUGGGUUUUCUCAAAAGGACACAAAACAAGAAAACGAAAAUAAACUAGCAUGGAUAAUACAGUGGCAAAGUGUGAACACCGGCUAACAAAGUGAAAGCAUAAGCAUGAAUAUAAGGUCGGUGAGAACACGUACUCCCCCAAGCUUAGGCUUUUCGCCUAGCUUGUUCUACUCCCAUGGAUGGUCCUGGCGAAACCCAAAAUCAUAAUGGGUGUUAUACGGGACUGUUGGAGCCACUACCCAAAUAGCUGCCUCAGGAAGUCGAGCAGUCGUCGCCUCCCUCUCAUACUCCUCUGCCUCUCCUAUGGUUAUGUAGUAUCUCCGUUUUACGUGAAAGUCAAAGAAAGCAGGAGCAGGAAGGGUAAUAUGGAAAACACGCUGCCGGUUAAAUAUCAAGCAGUAUAGGAGGGAUCCAUGAUCCCUCUCAAGGAACUGGUAGCGUGUUAGAGCGACACAAUCAAGGAUGGCUGUACGGAGAGGAGGGUCUUCUGAACGGAUGGAUACUCCAAGAAAAGUUGCUAAGCGUGUAGCAUAAAUUCCACCAAAGAAAACCCCCUCAAUGGCAUUAUUAUUCAGCCUCCUUGCUAUUAUAGCUCCCAUAUUGAAGCUCCUAUCACCUGUUACUGCGCUCUUAAGGAUACUAAGGUCGGAAGUGCAUAGGGACAGUGUGCACCCUUGCCGUUAAUGCACCUACCUAUGAAGAGGGAAAAGUAGUGCAAGGUAGGGAAAAGGAUGCUUCCUAUGGUGGCUUGCGUGAUAUCUCUGGUUUCUCCAACAGUUAUACUGGAGACAAAGUCUCUGACCGAAGACUUAGAUGGAUCAUUAAUACUACCCCCAUCGGGUAUCUUGCAAAUCCUAUUGAAAUCCUCCAAAUCCAUGGCGUAGGAUUUAUCAUACAGAUCAAACAGUAUGGAUGAGUCACGGCCAACUGAAAAUUUAAAUCUACACACGAAAGAGGCAGUGAGCAUAGCAUAUUGUUCACAUUUAUCUGAGAGGAAUUCUUCUAACCUGGCAUUGCGGACAAGUGUAUCAAACUCAUCCUUGAAACCUGCUUCGAUCAUGAACUCAUCGGAAGGCCAUUCACAUGGUUGUACCGGUGCGUCCCUUAGUUGAUAAGGUUCGGGCUCCCGAAAAGAAAGAUGGGGACCCUUCUUACUUGAGGAACCACCAUGAAACUUCCUCCUGAACAUAAUUUCCUUUUGCUAAAACUUUUUGAAGUUCAGAAGAAAAGUGAAUGAAGACAAUCCACACCUUGUAGCAACUACUCCUACUAGUGCCUAGAGACUGUAUCACGCGCUAAACCUACUUGGGACCAGCUAAAUCAACAUUUAUAGCUCAAGAACACGGUCACCAAGGUAGCAAGAAUACGCGAAGGACAAAGCACUAGAGCAAAAACUAAUUGGACCAAUGGAGGAGUCACUUACCAAGAAGUAAUUUCCUCAAAACGAUUCGGAGAAUGGUGCUUUGAGCAAGGAGAUCGAAAAUCACCGCCAAAUGAGCAAGAGCACGGGUUUGAGUUGCGAAACAAUUUUUUCUAGAGGUGGAAGAAGAGGAUGGGAGCUGGAAUGGGUGGAGGGGGUCCCUGGGCCCCCCACAAGCUUGCUAGCCNNNNNNNNNNNNNNNNNNNNNNNNNNNNNNNNNNNNNNNNNNNNNNNNNNNNNNNNNNNNNNNNNNNNNNNNNNNNNNNNNNNNNNNNNNNNNNNNNNNUUUUCGAAUAUUCCAGAAAAAAUCAUACUAAAUUUUCACGACCAUCAGAGAACUUUUAUUUUCGGGGUAUUUUUCUCCAGGACGCUAAAACAGGAAACAGGAAAACUAAACUAAAUCUAUCAUUUUUCUUCUAAGCAGCAAAAAAUGAAAGCUCAAAACAAAGGUAUGUGACUCUUUGAUUCAUCCAUUUCAUGGUCAUCAAAAGAAAUCCGUCAAUGGGGUUCAUCAAGUCCUCAUGAAAAAACCUUCUCGAAUCGCAAGAGAGAACAGAGAAUUUUUCGAAUAGACACUAAAUCACCUCAAUGGGGAUAUGUAUCUCCCCAACAAGAAAAUCAUACUUCCUCUUGACACGAGGAAUAGGGCAUUCAAAGCUCCCAAUAAGAAUCGAUGAAGUCUUUUCGAUAGCAUUGAUGCAAUGUACUUGAUAUCGUUUCUUCGGAAAGUGCACUGUGUGCUCAUUACCGUUGACAUGGAAAGUGACAUUGCCUUUGUUGGAAUCUAUAACAGCCCUUGGAGUGUUUGAAAAGGGUCUUCCGAGGAUGAAGGCCAUGGCAUCGUCCUCGGGAAUAUCCAAGAUAACAAAGUCUGUUAAGAUAGUGGUGUUAGCAACCACAACAGGCACAUCCUCGCAAAUGUCGAUAGGGAAAGCAGUUGAUUUGUCGGCCAUUUGCAGAGAAAUUUCAGUGGGUGUCAACUUAUCCAAUUCAAGUCUACGAUAAAGAGAGAGCGGCAUAACACUAACACCGGCUCCAAGGUCACAUAAGGCAGUUCUUACGUAGUUUCCUUUAAUGGAACAAGGUAUAGUGGGCACUCCGGGAUCACCAAGUUUCUUAGGAGUUCCUCCUUUGAAAGUGUAAUUAGCAAGAAUGGUGGAGAUCUCAAGAUCUGGUAUCUUCCGUUUAUUAGUCACGAUAUCUUUCAUGUACUUGGCAUACAUAGACAUUUUGAGCAUAUCAGUUAACCGCGUCUGCAGAAAGAUGGGUCUUCUCAUCUCAACUAAGCGCUCAAAAUCCUCAUCAUCCUUUUUCUUGGAUGGCUUAGGAGGAAAGGGCAUAGAUCUCUGAACCCAUGUCUCCCUUUCUUUACCAUGCUUCCUAGCAGUGAAGUCAUUCUUAUCGUGUUUCUUAGGUUGUGAGUUCUCAGGAUUAACCGUAGGUUCAAUCUCCACAUCCUCAUCAUUGCUAGGUUGAGCAUUAUUAUGAACAUCACUGUCCAUAUUGUCACCAGGUUCAUGUUCAUCACCAGAUUGUGUUUCUGCAUCACACGCAGAAAUAUCAUUAAGUUCUUCGGGUGUGACAGUAUUUGGUGAACUGGCAUGCAGGUUUCUAUCAUCCUUCUUCUUCUCCUUAGGAUGACUGGGUGUAUCAGCAUUAAUUACUUGAGAAUCUUGAUCAAUUCUCUUAGGAUGACCUUCAGGAUACAAAGGUUCCUGAGUCAUUUUGCCUCCUCUAGUAAUGACUCUGGCAGAGUUGUCAUUUAAUUCAUUGAGCAAGUCAUUCUGAGCUUUAAGUACUUGUUCUACCUGAGUAGUAAUCAUAGAGGCAUGUUUACUCAGAAGCUUCACAUCAUUGACAUUUCUGUCUACACAAGCACUUAAAUGGCUAAGCAUAUGAGUACUUUGUUCCAAAUGUCUGCUAACAUAAUCAUUGAAACUCUGUUGUUUGGCAACAAAGUUGUCAAAUUCAUCAAAGCAUAGGCUAGCAGGUUUGUCAAAAGUAAUAUCACUCUCAUCAAACCUACGUAGAGAAUUCACUUCUACUACUUGUAUCGGGUUUUCGAGACCAUGGAUCUCUUAGAUAGGUGGUAGAUUUUUGACAUCUUCAGAUCUAAUGCCUUUCUCUUGCAUAGAUUUCUUGGGUUCUUGCAUAUCAUCGGGACUGAGGAAUAUAAUACCUCUUUUCUUAGGAGUUGUCUUAGGAGGUGGUUCGGGAAUAGUCCAAGCAUUAUCGUUGAUCAAGAUGUUAUUCAGAAGGAUCUCAGCAUGUUCGAUAGUUCGUUCCCUAAAAACACAACCGGCACAACUAUCUAGGUGGUCCCUAGAGGCAUCGGUAAGUCCGUUAUAGAAGAUAUCAAGUAUCUCGUUCUUCUUAAGAGGGUGAUCAGGCAAAGCAUUCUGUAGCUGGACGAGCCUCCCCAAGCUUGUGGGAGACUCUCUUCUUGGAGUUGAGCAAAGUUGUAUAUUUCCUGCAAGGCAGCUUGCUUCUUAUGGGAAGGGAAAUAUUUCUCACAGAAGUAAUAGACCAUAUCCUGGGGACUACUCACACAUCCAGGAGCAAGAGAGGUGAACCAGGCUUUAGCGUCAUCCUUUAAAGAGAAAGGAAACAGCUUAAGGAUGUAGUAGUGGCGGAUCUUCUCCUCACUAGUGAAAAGGGAGGCUAUAUCGUGUAGUUUGGUAAGAUGGGCUACGACCGUCUCAGACUCAUAACCGUGGAAAGGAUCAGAUUCGACUAGAGAGAUUAUCUCAGGAUCGACAGAGAAUUCAUAAUCCUUGUCGGUGAUAAAGAUAGGUGAAGUGGCAAACUUCGGGUCGUAUUUCAUCAUAGCUUUCAGAGAUUUUUCCUUCCACUUGAGAAGAAAUUUAUCAGCGUCAUAGGCAUCCUUACACGCAAGAAAAUCCUCAGCUAUCUCUCCCUCCAUAACAUAACCCUCGGUAUAUCAGGCAAUUCAUAUCUAGGAGAGCUAGAUCUAGCAGGAGCAAAAGCAGGUUCUAUCUCAAUAGUAUCGGCAGUUUCAGAAGCAUCACGAGCAUUGGCAGUAACUCUAGCAAUAUGAGCAUCAAGGAACACCCCUAGUGGAACAUCAGGCAAAGUAGUGUCUCUAGCAGUAUCAAGCAUAGCAUCAUCAGGCAAGGCAGUAUCAGGAAUAGCAUCUCUAGCAGUAUCAGGCAAAGUAGUAUCAGGCAUAGCAUCUCUAGCAGUAUCAGGCAUAGCAUCUCUAGCAGUAUCACGCAUAGCAUCUCUAGUAGUAUCAGGCAAAAGCGACAUAUCAAGAUUUCUAGCAGGAGGUGAUGUCGCAAACUUACUCAUAACUGAAGGUGAAUCAAGUGCAAAGCGAGAUGGCAGUUCCUUACCUCCCCUCGUAGUUGAGGGCAAGACUUCAGUUUUUGGAUCCUUCAGAUUCUUCAUAGUGAUCAGUAGAUAUAAAUCCCAUGUAACUCAGAGAAUAUAGCAAUCGCCUCCUCGGCAACGGCGCUAGAAAAAUGCUGAUGGCAAUCUCUGGCAAUGGCUAGACGAAUGCUAUCUCGAUUGUUCGACAAUUAGAAAUUGUCUUGCAAUGACCCACGAGCGCAUGGGAUCGAGGCAGCUUUCGAGGGUAGAGUAUUCAACCCAAAUUUGUUGAUUCGCCAAUAGGAAGUGAGAGGAUAUUCUCAAGUAUUAGCAGCUGAAUGUGUCAGAUUCAACCACACCUGAAAGAUUAAUAUCUGCAAGGAAAGUAUCAACAGCAAAGUAGUAUGAUAGCAACGGUGUCAUAAACGAUAUGUUGACGGCAGACUCUUCAUAACUGUCGUAUCAAUGGCGCCAGAAGUUGCCCGUUGACGUAAAUUGUCUUUUCCCGUUAACGCCGAGCCAAUCAGAAUUGUAGCAAGUAGCAGCAGUGUAACGAGUAGCAGCAGUGGCAAGGAACAGCAGUAGUGACAGCAGUAGAAAGUAGCAACAGUAGCAAGUAACAGCAGCAGCAAGAGUAGUAACAGCAGCAGAGCAAAACAAGUAACAGCAGCGGUGGGAUAAACUCGUAGGCAAUGGGUCGGUGAUUUGUUUGGAUGAUAUUCAUCAUGCAACAGUUAUAACACGGAGAGAUAUGUGGCUAGCUCCCGUUCGUCAAUGUGAUGUAGGCAUGCAUUCUGUGUGUCUUCAUACGUGCUUAGGGAAAAGAACGUGUAUGACAUCUAUUGUCCAUCCCUCCCGUGGCAGCGGGGUCCAAAAGGAAACUACGGGAUAUUAAGGUUCUCCUUUUAAUAAAGAACCGGACCAACGCAUUAGCACUUGGUGAACACAUGAACUCCUCAAACUAUGGUCAUCACCGGGAGUGGUUCCGGUUAUUGUCACUCCGGGGUUGCCGGGUCAUAACACAUAGUAGGUAACUACAACUUGCAAGAUCGGAUAUAAAACACACAUAUAUUGGUGACAACAUAAUAAUUUCAGAUCUGAAAUCAUGGCACUCGUGCCCUAGUGACAAGCAUUAAGCAUGGCAAAGUAGUAGCAACAUCAAUCUCAGAUCAUAGUGGAUACUAGGGAUCAAUCCCCGUCAAAACUAACUCGAUUACAUGAUAGAUCUCAUCCUACUCAUCACCGCCCAGCGAGCCUACAAAUAGAUUACUCAUGAACUAUGAAGAGCUUCAUGGAAUUGGAGAGGGAAGAAGGUUGAUGAUGACGAUGGCGACGAUUUCCCCUCUCCGGAGCCCAAAGCGGACUCCACAUCUGCCCUCUAGAUGAAGAACAGGAUGUGGCGGCGCCUCCGUAUCGCAAACGCGACGAAAUCUUCUCUCUUGAUUUUUUUCUGGGACGAAAGUGAAUUUAUAGAGCUGAAUUUGGGGGCAGUAGAGCCACGUGGGCCCCACAAGCUUGCUAGCCACCACCAGGGGGUGGCGGCUACAUGGCUUGUGGCCCACUGGCCCAUCCCCUCCGGUGGAUCUUUGCGCAGGUAUUUUUCAUAUUUUCCAGAAAUAUUCUCCGUAAAUUUUCAGGACGUUCUGAGAACUUUCAUUUCUGCACAAAAACAACACCAAGGCAAUUCUGCUGAAAACAGCGUCAGUCCAGGUUAGUUCCAUUCAAAUCAUGCAAAUUAGAGUCCAAAACAAGGGCAAAAGAGUUUGGAAAAAUAGAUACGAUGGAGACGUAUCAAGCUCAAGAGGGAAUCUUUGUUGGUUAUGCUACAAACUCUCAUGCUUACCGUGUCCUCAACAAUUCCACCGGGCUCAUUGAGGAAACGUGUAACAUGGAGUUUGAUGAAAAUAAUGGCUCCCAAGUGGAGAAAAGUGGUCUCUGUGAUGUAGGUGGUGAAAUUCCUCCCCAAGCCAUAAGAAGAAUGGGGAUUGGUCAAAUACUCCCCAUUAAGGAACCCCUUGUGGUCGAAGGAGAAGGACAAUGCUCUACUCAAGUGGAGCCAUCACCCUCGCAAGCCCCACACGCUUCCGAUGAACAAAGAGAAAACCCUCAACCAGCUGAACAAGUUCAAGGACAAGAUCAAUCGCUCAAAGAUGAUGAUGUACCACAUGAUGUCCAAGUGCUUACACAAGGUUCUGAAUCUGCUCAAGAUCAAGAUCAAGUGCAGCUACAAGAUCCAUAUCAAAUGCAGGCAAGAUCAAGAUCAAGAGCAACCACAAGAUCAAGAACAAACCAGUGAGCCUUCUCAAGUCAAAAAUCAAGUUGAUCAGGAUGAUGUUUCUCAAUUUCCUUCUGCAACACCGAAGAGGGGUAUCGGCGCCAAGGGAGGAUCAAAACGCAAGGCCAAGCAAAGUAAUCAAGUUGAUGCUCCCCAGUUAUCAAGUGCAGAACUCUUGGAGUGUCGCGCAGCCAAGAUUGCAAACAAGCUGAGAGUCAAGUCACAUAUUAUGAAGAACGUGCUUGGUAGUUUAAAAAGGGGAGUAUCCACUCGUCAACAAAUUACAAAUUAUUGUGAGCAUCACGUGGUUGUUUCGUAUUGUGAACCUCAACAGGUACAGGAAGCGCUCGAUGAUGAGGAUUGGCUUAUGUCCAUGCAUGAAGAACUCAACAACUUCGAGCGUAAUCAAGUCUAGAAAUUAGUGCCAAGACCAAAGGAGGAACAUAAUGUCAUCGGGACCAAAUGGAUCUUCAAAAACAAGCAAGAUGCCAAUGGGAUUGUGGUUCGAAACAAGGCAAUACUGGUGGCUCAAGGCUACUCCCAAGUCGAGGGCAUCGACUACGGUGAAACCUUUGCCCCCGUUGCUCAUCUAGAAUCUAUUCUCAUGCUGCUUGCAUUUGCUUCUCAUCAUAAUUUCAAAUUACAACAAAUGGAUGUAAAAAGUGCUUUUCUUAAUGGUCCUUUAAAUGAGUUGGUUUAUGUCAAACAACCCCCGGGAUUCGAACAUCCCAAACUCCCCAAUCAUGUAUACAAUCUUAAUAAGGCACUCUAUGGCCUUAAACAAGCCCCACGUGCGUGGUAUGAGUACCUUACUAAGUUGUUACAAGAUCGUGGGUUUGAAAUUGGGAAGAUAGAUCCCACUCUUUUUACCAAGAAGGUCAAAGGCGAUUUGAUCAUAUGCCAACUAUAUGUUGAUGAUAUCAUUUUUGGUUCCCCUAAUGAAUCUUUCAAUGAAGAAUUUGCUGCACUAAUGACCGAGAAGUUUGAGAUGUCAAUGAUGGGUGAGUUGAAGUUCUUCCUCGGGUUCGAGAUUAAACAAGGUUUAGAAGGGACCUUCAUCAAACAAGCCAAGUACACCCAAGACAUGCUCAAGAAGUUCGAGCUAGAGGAUGUCAAGCCGGUCAAGUUUCCCAUGCCAACCAGAUGCAAGCUUGACAGUGAUCCCAAUGGUAAAGCAGUGGAUCAAAAGGUAUAUCUCUCCAUGAUUGGAUCCCUUCUUUACCUUUGUGCAUCUAGACCGGAUAUCAUGUUGAGUGUAGGGAUUUGUGCACGGUUUCAAUCUGCACCAAAAGAAAGCCAUUAUAUGGUUGUUAAGCGAAUCUUUCGAUAUUUGGCUCAUACCCCAAACUUUGGCCCAUGGUAUCCCAAAGGAGCAAACUUCACCCUAGUGGCUAUUCUGACUCAGAUUGGGCGGGAGACUGUGUGGAGAGGAAGUCAACUUCUAGAGGAUAUCAAUUUCUUGGUCGUUCACUCAUAAGUUGGUCUUCAAAGAAGCAGAACUGUAUCUCACCGUCUUCCACUGAAGCUGAGUAUGUUGCAUCUGCGAGUUGUUGUGCACAGUUGCUAUGGAUGAGGCAAACUUUAAAGGAUUACGGUGUCACUUGUGACAAAGUGCCUCUUCUAUGUGACAAUCAAAGUGCUAUCAAGAUUUCCCUCAUUCUGGUGCAACAUAGCAAGACCAAGCACAUUGAUAUUCGCCAUCACUUCAUCAUGAGCAUAUCAAGCGUGAUGACAUUGAGGUUCACUUCAUAAACACUGAAGAGCAACUUGUAGAUAUUUUCACUAAACCCCUAGAUGAAGCAAGGUUCCGGGAGUUAAGGCAUGAGCUAAAUAUCAUUGAUUUAAGUAAUGUGGAUUGAAACUAGGCACUUUGCACCUCACUCUGCAUUAUAUAUUGCUCUAGGUGUAGGCAUGUACAUAGGGGGAGUGUUGUUCUCUCAAUGAACUUUCCCUCCCCCAUUAUGCAUAAAUCGAUCAAGUAUUUCACUUUGACCAUUAUUAAAUGGUACUUGUGCUUCGAAGAUGAGCGUUGGUCAUGAACCCAGGGAUAAUUCUUCGCGGUGUCAUACCUUUGUCUCAAACAUAGGUGGCUCCGGCCACCGCCCACCUUUCUCUCUCAUUGAAGAAAGGUUACAAAAUGACUAGUCAGCAUAUUUUGCUUGUGUUUUCUCUUCCUCUACACUGACUAGUCGUUGCCCACAACAUUUUUCACAUCGUUCUAAGCCUCUAUGUGUUUUUCUGGAGCGGUACUACCGCCAGGGUAGCGGUACUACCUCUAUGACCCCAGCGGUACUACCGCCAGGGGGAGCGGUACUACCGCGAGGACCCCAGCGGUACUACCGCAAUGAACAACCUAUCCUAGGGCUAUGUUCAAUCAUUUAGGGUUGUCUCAAGGGGGAGCGGUACUACCGCCAGGGCGAGCGGUACUACUGCUAUGACCCCAGCGGUACUGCCGCUAGGGGGAGCAGUACUACCGCCAGGGUAGCGGUACUACCGCUAUUAUCCCAGCGGUACUACCACCCCGCCCAUGCCCUAAGGGCUAUAUAAAGGGAGGGGGCGCUUUUCUUGCCCCUGUUUCUUCUUCAUGGUGCUCUCUCCCUCUACACCGAAAUCUCCCCAAUCGGAUCUCCCUCCGUGGAGCCUCCCCUCUCCUUCCGGUUGGAGGGUUUGCUCCCCUCCUCCUUCCUCCUUCAAGUGCAAUGGAGUUCGGUACAGCUCCUCUCCUUCCUCUCUUGGUUGGUGUUUUUGCUUCUAGGGUUAGGAGCUUGAUGUACUAGAUCCAUGGAUAUGCUAUAUGCUUGAUGUACUAGGUCUAUUGUUCUUCUUGCAUUCAUCUGACAUGCCCUAGUAUUCUCCAUGUUUUGAAUCUGAUAGUUCUUGUCACAAGCCUUUUUGGAUUUGGUUUAGGUGUGGAUCCCAUUGACUAGAUUUUUCUCCAUCUAAAUAACCUAGAGUUCCACAUGUUUUGAAGAUCAUGUCAUUCUUGUCAAAAGUUUAUAUGCUAGAUAUGGAUCUCUGAAUAAAUCUAGUUAUUUUCCCGGCUUUAUCUCUGUCUAGAUCUGCAAGUCCACCCCCGAGUGGUACUAACGCCAUCCUGGCGGUACUACCGCUGUGGGGGAAGCGGUACUACCACCGUCCUAGCGGUACUACCGCUGAGCGGGCAGCAAUAGUAACGUUGGCCUAGCGGUACUACCGCUAUGACCCCAGUGGUACUACCGCCAGGGCGAGCGGUACUACCACCACUCGGCACUUUGUUUUGAUUUCUUUUGGCAACUUGUGUUUCCUUUUAUGUUUUGAAUGUUGCCAUGACUCCUUUUGUCGCUCUUUCUGUGUGUGUGUCUUGUGUGUCACAGGUGGUGGUUCUCGUCGCUCGAACCCUGUGUGUGAAACACAGUCAAAGCGGCACCGCAACUGAAGCUCCAGAAGGUUCCGCAACUUCCAAUAUGCCUCCAAAGCGCCCAUUCAAGAAGAUUGCCUCAAAGUCCAAGGAGGCCAACCUCAACCUCCACACUAUGCCUCCUAAAGAGUUUUUGGCACUCCGCGGCCACGACCCUUAUGUCCAUGAAAGAGCUCACCUCAAAAACUGUGAUCUGUUUUGGUCAAGGCAACAAUUAAUGAUUUAUUGGGACGUGAUUCUGGACUUCAAGAAGGCUUAUGUCCCAGUGCAGUGGACUGACCUCCCUCACCUUCAACGGAAUCAUGAGUACUUUGGCGAGGCCCUCAAAUUGAUUCAGCAACUUGGCAUUGAGGACAUCAUCACCUUCCAUAAUGACUUCGAUCCAGAGCUUGUGGCCCAGUUCUAUGUUACUAUUCACUUCCACUCUGAUCAAGAUCGCACUAUGACUUGGAUGACUAUGACUUGGAUGACGUUGACACGUCCAUUUUGCAUCAUGUUUUCAUGUUGAUAUUUCUCGCUUCUUGGGCUGUUUAUUCACUUUACGGUACAAUACUUAUGCAUUUUCUCUCUUAUUUUGCAAGGUUUACAUGAAGAGGGAGAAUGUCGGCAGCUGGAAUUCUGGCCUGAAAGAGGAGCAAAGUUGAGAUACCUAUUCUACGCAACUCCAAAGGCCGUAAAAAUCAACGAGGAUUUUUCCGGAUUUAUAAAAAAUACUGGGCCGAAGAAGCGCCAGAGGGGCCCCAGCAGGCGGCCACAAGCCUGCACAGCGCGGCCACCCCCCAGACCGCGCCAUGAGGUCUUGUGGGAAGCUUGCUGGCCCAUUGUCCCCCCUCUUCUGCUAUAUGAAGGGUUUCGUCCAGAAAAAAUCAGGGAGGAGCUUUUUCGUGGAUUCGCCGCCGCCACGAGGCGGAACUUGAGCAGAACCAAUCUAAAGCUCCGGCAGGACGAUCCUGUCGGGGAAACUUCCCUCCCGGAGGGGGAAAUCAUCGCCAUCGUCAUCACCAACACUCCUCUCAUCGGAGGGGACUCGUCACCAUCAACAUAUUCAUCAGCACCAUCUCAUCUCCAAACCCUAGUUCAUCACUUGUAACCAAUCUCCGUCUCGCGACUCCGAUUGCUACUUGUAAGGUUGCUAGUAGUGCUGAUUACUCUUUGUAGUUGAUGCUAGUUGGAUUACUUGGUGGAAGAGUUUAUGUUCAGAUCCUUGAUGCUACUCAUUACCUCUCUGGUCAUGAAUAAGAUUAUGCUUUGUGAGUAGUUACUUUUGUUCCUAAGGACAUGGGAUAAGUCAUGCUAAUAGUAGUCAUGUGAAUUUGGUAUUCGUUCGAUAUUUUGAUGUGUUGUAUGUUGUUUUUCCUCUAGUGGUGUUAUGUGAACGUCGACUACAUAACACUUUACCAUUAUUUGGGCCUAGAGGAAGGUAUUGGGAAGUAGUAAGUAGAUGAUGGGUUGCUAGAGUGACAGAAGCUUAAACCCUAGUUUAUGUGUUGCUUCGUAAGGGGCUGAUUUGGAUCCACUAGUUUAAUGCUAUGGUUAGACUUUGUCUGAAUUCUUCUUUCGUAGUUGUGGAUGCUUGCGGGAGGGGUUAAUCAUAAGUGGGAUGCUUGUCCAAGUAAGGGCAGUACCCAAGCGCCGGUCCACCCACAUAUCAAACUAUCAAAGUAACGAACGCGAAUCAUAUGAACAUGAUGAAAACUAGCACGACAGAAAUUCGCGUGUGUCCUCGGGGGCGUUUUUCCUCCUAUAAGACUUUUUCCAGGCUUGUCCCUUGCUACAAAAGGGAUUGGGCCACUUUUCUGCACCAUUGCUACUUUUGUUACUUGUUGCUUGCUAUGAAUCAUCUCACCACACAAUCACUUGUUACCGACAAUUUCAGUGCCUACAGAUUUUACCUUGCUGAAAACCACUUGUCAGAUCCUUCUGCUCCUCGUUUGGUUCGACACUCUUACUUAUAGAAAGGACUACUAUUUAUCCCCUAUACUUGUGGGUCAUCAAGACUCUUUUCUGGCGCCGUUGCCGGGGAGUGAAGCGCCUUUGGUAAGUGGAACUUGGUAAGGAAACAUUCAUAUAGUGUGCUGAAAUUUAUUGUCACUUGUCACUAUGGAUACUAAUCCUUUGAGGGGCUUGUUCGGGGUAUAUUCACCUCAAACGGAAGCACAAGUAGUUGCUCCUCAACUUGCUGCACCUACUGAAAAUAUUUGCUUUGAAUUUCCUUCGGGUAUGCUUGAGAAACUGCUGGCUAAUCCUUUUACACGAGAUGGAACAUCACAUCCAGACUUGCAUCUAAUCUAUGUAGAUGAAGUUUGUGGUUUAUUUAAGCUUGCAGGUUUGCCCGAGGAUGAGGUCAACAAGAAGGUCUUUCCUUUAUCUUUGAAGUAUAAGGCAUUGACAUGGUAUAGGCUAUGUGAUGACACUGGAUCAUGGGACUACAAUCGGUUGAAAUUGGAAUUUCAUCAACAGUUUUAUCCUAUGCAUUUAGUACAUCGUGAUCGGAAUUAUAUUUACAAUUUUUGGCCUCGUGACAGAGAAAGCAUCGCUCAAGCUUGGGGGAGGCUUAAAUCCAUGCUAUAUUCAUGCCCCAAUCAUGAGCUCUCGAGAGAAAUUAUCAUUCAGAACUUAUAUGCUCGGCUUUCUCAUGAUGAUCGCACCAUGCUUGACACUUCUUGUACCGGUUCUUUUAUGAAUAGACAUAUUGACUUCAAAUAGAAUUUAUUGGAGAGAAUUAAACGCAACUCUGAAGAUUGGGAGCUUGAAGAAGGUAAGGAGUCAGCUAUGAAUUUCACGUUUGAUUGCGUUAAAUCCUUUGUUGAGACAAAUACUUUGUGUGACUUUAGCGCUAAGUAUGGACUUGACUCUGAGAUAGUAGCUUCAUUGUGUGAAUCAUUUGCUGGUCAUAUUGAUAUCCCCAAAGAGAAGUGGUUUAAAAAAUCAUCCUCCUUUAGAAGUUAAUGUAGUUAAACCCACUCCAGUUGAAGAGGAAGUCAUCGCCUAUAAUGAUCCUAUUGUUCCCAGUGCUUACAUUGAGAAACCACCUUUCCCUAUUAAGAUAAAGGAUCAUUCUAAAGCUUCAACUGUGAUACAUACAGGCUAUAUUAGAACACCUACACCCCCUGAGCAAAUUAGAGUUGAACCUAGCAUUGCUAUUAUCAAAGAUCUUCUGUCCGACGAUGUUGAGGGACAUAAUAUUCACUUCUGUGAAGAUGCUGCUAGAAUAUCUAAACCUCACGUUAGAGACAAACAUAGGCCUAUUGUUGGCAUGCAUGUGGUUUCUGUUAAGAUAGGAGAUCAUUGUUAUCAUGGCUUAUGUGACGUUGGUGCUAGUGUUAGUGCAACACCUCAAUCCUUAUAUGAUGAAAUCAAAGAGGAGAUUGCACCUGUUGAGAUAGAACCCAUUGAUGUCACUAUUCAGCUUGCCAAUAGAGAUACUAUCUGCCCUAUGGGAAUUGUUAGGGAUGUUGAAGUGUUGUGUGGUAAAACGAAGUAUCCUGCUGAUUUCCUCAUUCUUUCUACCGCACAAGAUAGCUUUUGUCCCAUCAUAUUUGGUAGACCUUUUCUCAAUACUGUUAAUGCUCAUAUUGAUUGUGAGAAGCAAACUGUCACUGUUGGCUUUGAAGGUCUGUCACAUGAGUUCAACUUCUCUAAGUUUGGUAGACAACCUCAUGAAAAGGUGUAAGUGCAUCUAGUUCCCCUUAGUGAUUUUGGUGGUUUCAAGACUUAUAGGUUAAGUACCUAAUGUGUUCUUGAGUGUACACUGGAUCUUAAGUCGCCGAGGAGUUUGAAAUAUUUGAUGAAUAUCGACCCCUAAAAAUGUAUAUCUUCGGCUGAAGAAAUUGGUCUGAAGCUGAAGAAUUGAACCGCGAAGAAUUUGCGAUGAAAUUGAUAUUCCUCAUGAAGAUAUUGAAAUUGAGGAAUUCGGUGUGUCCUGCAGAAAAUCAAUCUGAAGACUUUGAAGCACGAAGAUUUAUCCUUUAUGUUUUAUUUUCUUCACAUUUGAGUAAUAGGAUCACCGUACUGUUAAAGGGGGUCAAAGUAACACGUUGGAAUAAAUUUCCUCGUGAUGCUCAACCCAAGCCUAAUCCUACCAAAAGCCUCAAGUGAGGAAUAUGAGAGACAUGAGGACUCUCACAGUUGAGGGUCCCGACCGUUACCGAUAGUCGCGCCACAUCAUUGGUCUUAUCCACACCAACGGUCAUAUUAUUUAAGGGCAUUAAUGUCAAAUCAUGUUGGGAUGCUCCCAGGCUAUAAAUAGCCCCCCCCACAGUCAUUAGUUGGUUGGCUGCUCCGUUAGAAACUGACACUUGUCAUAAGAGCAACCCAAAUUCCUCAGAGUCUUCGAGAGUAAUUCAUCAGUGAGGAAAUACCCCAAACACCAAACCACAAACCAAAACCAAGUGAUUGAGCAUCACUGAAGAAGUUGUUCCUGUGUGGGACUGAAGCCUUUUACCUUUGAGGACUGUGCAUCCUCCAAACAGUUAGGUGUCAUGGUCUAGAGCAAUCCAGCAGUCAAUUGUGGAUCGCCAGGUGACCAAGUUUGUGAGGGUUUGGAAGUCUGCCCUGAAGACUUACCACGAGUGUUCGGCGAGGACUGUGUGUUCUUAGCCCAAGGAGAAUACGGUAGGGACUGUGUGUCCUGGGACCGUGUGUCCUUUGGUUUUAAUACCAAGCCGCUCCAAACCAGAUGUACAACUAUCACAGUAGUUGGAACUGGGUCAUCAACCACUGUCUUCACUGUGAAACGGGUUCUAUUUCCUCAACUCUUUAUAUUCCUCAGAUUGUGUGUUGAUAAUUUUCACUGUCACUGUUUCAAGAAUUUGUUGAAUACUUUCUCUGAAAUUCCUCAACCCAAAUUCUUCACGCGAGUUAAUCCUCAUCUGUUUUCUACGUGCCUGCAUACUGUGCAAACUGUUUUCAUAUUCUUCAUCCUAAAAAACUACCAUAGUGAUACUUUGCACUCCUGAUCCUUUGCUGUUUGCGUUGUAAGUUAGUCAUCAGUGAGGAAUUACCUCAAAAGGAAUUUCCUCGGUGAUGAAAUUCUAAAAAUCUCCUACUCCCCCCCCCCCCUCCCUAGUCGAUAUAACGCACUUUCAAUUGGUAUCAGAGCAAGGUGCUCCCUUGUUCUGUGUGAUUUUGGUUUAACCACCUGGAGUUUUAAUUAUGUCGACUGCAGGCAUGAUUAAGGUUACUGCAGCAUGUCCUACUUUUGAAGGAAAGGACUUUCCCUUCUGGAAGACCAAGAUGCAGAUGCAUCUGCAAGCUAUUGACAAUGAUCUCUAGUAUAUUGUGGAACAUGGCGUCCCUAUCAUCACUGCUACUAUCUCUAUUGCUGAUGUGAACAAAUUCAAGCAACUUGAUUCUCAAGCGAAGAAUAUCAUCUGUGGCCAUCUGAGCAAGGGCCAGUAUGGGAGAGUAAGUGCUUUGGGAUCAGCAAAACUUAUCUGAGAAAGGCUGUCCAAAGUGAAUGAAGGAGUAUCAACCCAACGUGAUUCUCGUGUUGAUGUUCUUCGCAAUCUCUUCAAGCGCUUCAAGAGGUUUGAUAAUGAAAGCUGCCAAGAUACCUUUGAACGCCUCACUGACAUAUCAAAUGAACUGCAAGCAUUGGGAGCUCGAGACAUUACUGAUCAUGAAGUUGUGAAGAAACUGCUAAGAUCUUUGGAUUCUUCAUUUGAUACUUUAGAUCUGAUGAUUCAAGAAAGACCAGACUACAAGAUGCUUGAUCCAGCUGAUAUACUAGAAAGACUCAAUACUCAUGAAUUCCAACAAGAAGAAAAGAGAGAUCUAUAUGGACCAAGCUAUUCUAGACCACGUGCACUGAAGGCCAAAGCAAUUUCCUCAUCUGAAGAAGAAGACUCGGAUGGUAGUAUUGGUGAUCCUGAAUAAUUUGGACAGGAGCUUGCAAUGCUCGUGAGGAAAUUCCAGAGGUUUACACGAUGUGGUCAGUUCGGUAAAUCUUCAAGAAGAGAUAUGAGGAAAUUAGAAUCUUCAUCUGAGGACUACAAGAAAAGAACCUGCCACAAAUGCAAGAAAUCAGGUCACUACAUUGCUGCUUGUCCUCGUUGGGGAAAGGAAUCAAAGAAGAAGAAAUACAAGGAUGAAAGUUCUGAUGACUCGAAGAAAAAGAAGAAAUCUUCAAAAUCCUUAUCUUCAAAGUCCUCAUCGCACAAGAAGACUAGUUUCAGAAAGGCUCGGGCACUUAUUGGCAAGGAAAUGGAUUCCGAGGCAGAAUCCGAGGAAUGUGAUGAAGAGCAGGGUACUGAUGAAGACUCAGAAUCCGGACAGGCUAGUCUUGCACUUGCAACCACAUUCGUCAGCAAGUCAAUCUUCAACCUUGAAGAAAAUGAUAACACCAUCCACACUGAUGACUAUGCUGAUGACUUCGCUCCAACCUAUUGCUUCAUGGCAAAAGGUUCAAAGGUACCGAAUGAUGCUUCCUCCUCUGAUUCAAGUGACUGUGAACCUAAUGAUUAUGAAAAACCCAGUCACAGUAAACUUGCUAUCAUUGCCACUAAACAACAAACUACCCUAGAAAAGCUUCAGAAGCUGCUAGAUAGAAGCGAUGAUCUGUUGAAUGAUGAAAUGAAUCUUACCCAAAUCCUCACUGAAGAUAUGAAAAGUCUUCAGUCCAGAUUUGAUAAUCUUCAAGAUCAUCAUGUUACACUCCUCGCUGAUCAUGAGAAACUUUCCUAUGAAUUUCUUCAAAGGAAGCUUGAUCUAGAGAAGUUGAGGAUUUCUCAUGAUGAUCUUCGUAUGGAAAAUGAUUCAUUACUAGCUCAACAGAUCAGUGCUGCUCAAGCUGAGUUCAUUCGUGCAUGUCUUAAAUGCAUCGAAUGUGAAACUGCUAAUUCUUCACCAAAAUCAUCAAAUGCUUCAAUUACUACAAAUUCUUCAACUGCUCCUGUAGUGUCAAAUUCCUCACUUGAAGGAAACACAAAUGUCACUGAUGAAAAUGCAGGGCUGAAGGAAUUGUAUGUGACAGGUAUAUAAAAAGUCUCAAAGGACAUCAAACCCUUUGUGAUGUGCUCAAAAAUAAGAUCGUGAACAGGAACCCGAGGAAACAAGGAAUUGCCUUUGAGAGGAAAUUGAAUGCUGAUGGAUCUUAUUGGAAAGCUGAGCAGUAUCCCAAAACCUCAUGGGUUGCUGCUACUAGGCCUCCUUUUGAUCCAUCCAAUCUAAUAGGAUUUUCAUGUGAAUUAUCCUAUUCCUCAGAUUAGUCAUUUGACUCCAACUAUAAACUAUUCAAAAAUCAAUCUGGUGAAGUAUUUGCUCGAUAUGUUGGAACUAACUGCAGGAAUGGCCCUCCCGUGAGGAAAAUAUGGGUUCCCAAAAGUUGCCUUGAAAAUCUUCAGGUGAAUGUCCUCAUGACACCACCUAUGAAGAAUUUGAACCCCAGAUCAAAUUCCUCAGGAGGACCAAAAUCUUCAAGAGGAUCAAAAUCCUCAACUGGUCAAAACUAUGCUUGUACCAGUGCUAAUGCUUCUGACAUGCAGGGAAAUCACAAGGAAUAUGAAUAUGAGCGUUAUUCUUCAAAUCAUUAUAUUCAUAAAUCCUCAAAUAAAUUCUCUAUAUAUUCUUUUGAGUACUCUAACCCCCCCUACUGUUAGAAGAAGUGCAUUAGCUUCAAUGCCCCCCUUCUCAUAUGGUGCUCGCAGGAUGAUGAAUGCUUUACCACCCCUUCAGAUGUGGGUGGUGAAGAAAUUGAACUAAUCACUUCUGCAGGUCAGGUCUCCAGAUGAAAAUCAUCAUCUGAAGAAUUUGUUGGAGACCUGAGGAAAAUGCUUGAUAGGAGGCAAGCUAAUAUUGAUGAAACAGAAAUAUUUCACACGUCCUUAUAAUUUUGUUUAUGAUGAAAUUCCUAUCUGAUGAAAUUAAUAUCAUAUUCUUCAAGUCUGAAGAAUAUGAGAUGGUAAGCUGUACUAAUUCAUCUGCAGGAUGACAAACCCAAUAGUACUGAGUGGGUUCUUGAUAGUGCUUGCACACAUCACAUGACUGUUGAUAAAAUCUUGCUGAUGAAUAUGCCACUAACUCUAUCACCCCUGAAGCAAAUCACAUAUGCUGACAAAGGUAAAAGCAAGGUAUUGGGACUUGGCAAAGUGGUUAUUUCCAAGGAUAGGCACAUGGACAAAGUGAUGCUUGUUGAAUCCCUUGGAUUUAACCUCAUGUCAGUCUCCAUGCUUUGUGAUCUUGAUAUGAUUGUUAUCGUUGGAAGAUAUAGAUGUGUUGUUAUCAUGGAAUCUGACAGAUCCAAAGUCUUCGAAGGUGUUAGAAGAGGGGAUUUGUACAUUGUUGAUUUCUCUACAUGUCCUCAACCAGCCACUUGCCUACUAGCAAAAACCUCAGAAAGAUGGUUGUGGCAUCGAAGACUCGGUCAUGCAGACAUGAGGAAUUUGCACACGCUCGCGAAGAAGAAGCAUGUCAUCGGCAUCGAAUCAGUCAAAUUCCUCAAGGGCCAUCUCUUCGGUGCUUGUGAGUCUGGGAAAAUGACCAGAUCCAAGCACCCCUCGAAGACUAUCAUGACCACUACUCGUCCAUUUGAAUUGCUUCACAUGGAUCUACUUGGACCUACUCAUUAUGCCACACUAACAAAUGCAACAUCUUUAUAUGGCUUCGUCAUAGUUGAUGAUUAUUCUAGAUAUACAUGGGUGCAUAUCAUCUUAUAUAAAACUGAAGUGCAGGAAGUCUUCAAACGAUUUUCCUCAAGGGCCUCAACGAACUUCGGCGUCAAGAUCAAACACAUCAUGAGUGAUAAUGGAACAGAGUUCAAAAACACUGGUCUUGAUAAUUAUCUUGAUGAACUUGGUAUUACUCACGAAUUGUGUGCUCCUUAUACUCUUCAACAGAAUGGUGUCGUCGAAAGGAAGAACAGGACUCUGGUUAAUAUGGCAGGAACCAUGCUUGAAGAAUAUGAGACUCCUCGUCGCUUUUGGCCUGAAGCAAUCAACAGUGCAUGCCAUAUCAUCAACAGGGUAUAUCUUCACAAAUUCCUCAAGAAAACCUCAUAUGAACUCCUCACAUACAAGAAACCCAAUGUAAGUUAUUUCAAAGUCUUCGGUGCAAAAUUUUGGAUUAGAGAUCCUCACCAUAGCUCAAAGUUUGCACCUAAGGCACAUGAGGGUUUUAUGCUCGGUUAUGGAAAGGACUCGCACACCUAGAGAGUCUUCAAGAACUAUCAGAACAAGGUUGUUGAGACUGUAGAUGUGCGGUUCGAUGAAACCAAUGGCUCGCAAAGAGAGCAAUUGCCUCUGAUCCAGAUAAGUUGUCUCCUCAGGAAGCAAUAAAGCUCAAAGCUACUGAAGAUAUUGUUCCCACUAAGGAAAUUGAUGAAGAAAUCAUUCCCGGCACUGAUGAAAAUCAAUAAGAUGCUCCUGAGGAAAUUGCUCCAGAACCAAUUCCUCAGCCCAGACGAAAUCCUCAACCAGCUCAUCCGAGGAUUGCAAAUGAAGUGGAACUUGACAAAAUCCUCAAUGACAUCAAUGUGCGAGGUCCUCUCACUCGCUCAAAAGCUUCACACUUAGUUAACUUUUGUGGGAAUUUCUCCUUUGUGUCUAUCGCAGAAUUUUUAAAAGUUGUUGAGGCUUUCAUGGAACCGGAGUGGAUCCAAGCCAUGCAAGACGAACUUCUUCAAUUCAAGAUGAAUGACGUAUGGGAGCUCGUCAAACGACCAGAUCCUUGCAAGCACAAUAUCAUCGGCACCAAGUGGAUUUUCCGAAACAAGCAAGACGAGGAUGGUCAAGUGAUGAGGAAUAAGGCACGACUUGUAGCCCAAGGCUACACACAGGUUGAAGGAAUAGAUUUCGAUGAAACUUUUGCACCUGUUGCUAGACUUGAAGUUAUUCGAAUACUACUUGCUUAUGCUAAUCAUCAUAACAUCAUCUUAUAUCAAAUGGAUGUGAAAAGUGCAUUCCUCAAUGGUAAGCUUGAGGAAGAAGUAUAUGUUGCUCAGCCCCCAGGUUUUGAGGAUCCAAAUAAUCCAGACAAAGUCUUCAGACUUAAAAAGGCGCUAUAUGGUCUCAAGCAAGCCCCUCAGGCAUGGUAUGAUACAUUGAAGGAAUUCCUCAUGAAGAAAGGCUUCAAACCUGGUUCACUCGAUACAACUCUUUUCACUAAAUCCUAUGAUAAUGAACUAUUUGUGUGCCAGAUAUAUGUCGAUGACAUCAUAUUUGGUUGUACUGACGAACGUUACAAUGAUAAAUUUGCUUACAUGAUGAGUGAAGAAUAUCAGAUGUCUAUGAUGGGGGAGCUGAAAUUCUUCUUAGGUCUUCAAAUUCGUCAACAACGCAAUGGAAUCUUCAUAUCACACGAGAAAUACCUCAAGGAUGUUCUGAGGAAAUUUGACAUGCAUGAAUGCAAAGGUGCCAAGACUCCAAUGCCUACCAACGGCCACCUCUGCACUGACGAAAAUGGUAAAGAAUUCGAUCAGCGGGUAUAUCGCUCUAUGAUUGGCUCUUUACUGUAUUUAUGUGCAUCUAGGCUAGAUAUAAUGCUUAGUGUUUCCAUGUGUGCACGUUUUCAAGCAAAACCGAAGGAAUCACACCAUAAGGCUAUGACGCAUAUUCUUCGAUACUUAGCUGACACAACAACAGUAGGAUUAUGGUACCCCAAGGGCUCAAAUCUUCAUCUUGUGGGAUAUUCUGAUUCUGACUAUGCUGGUGACCGUGUGGAUCGCAAGUCAACCUCUGUUACAUGUCAUUUCCUCGGAAGGUCACUAGUUUGCUGGUCCUCAAAGAAGCAGAACUGCGUUUCACUCUCCACUGCCGAAGCUGAGUACAUUGCUGCUGGUUCAUGUUGUGCUCAAUUGCUAUGGAUGAAGCAAACCCUCUAGGACUACGGCAUCAUCAUGAAGAAUGUUCCUCUCUACUGCGACAAUGAGAGUGAAAUCAAGAUUUCAUACAACCCAGUACAGCACUCGAAGACUAAGCACAUCCAGAUUCGUCAUCAUUUUCUUCGGGACCAUGUCCUCAAGGGCAAUAUCCUCAUCGACCAUGUGAAGAUUGACGAUCAACUAGCAGAUAUCUUCACUAAGCCCUUGGAUGAGAAAAAGUUUUGCAAGUAGCGGUGUGAGCUAAAUAUCUUAGAAUCUUCAAAUGUUUGGUAAAAACAUGCACACACCCUAACACUUAUGCAAAAUUGAUGACUUAGAUGUGCAACACACGAUGAACCGAUUUUCUUCAACCAAUGAAGAAUAUCACUCUUAGUGUGAGGAAAUCAACGAAAAAAAUGAUUCUCAGGGCCCUACGACAAUUGUACGCGGCGUCUGUAAUCAACAUUCUUAUAUGGUGGGUCACUCCACCACCCAACUUGAAAUUCCUCAAGUUGAAUUUCUUCAAAGCUAAAUUUCUUCAAAAGUCUAUUUUCUUCAAAACUGUUGUUCUUCAAACUUGUUUUUCUUCAAAACUGAAAUUCAUCAUCAUGACGCUUUGUCACAAAAUCCUCAAGUUAAUCAAAAUUCUUCAAAAACACUUGAUGAUUUUCAUUUACCUAGAUAGACUGUGAUUUCAAGUCCUCAACAGCAUUCACUUAUACCUAUUUCUUCAAUUUGAUAUUUCAUCUAACCGAAUGUGAUCGGACCCUACUUUCCCUCCAUGCUACUCUCACCCAGUCUAUUCAAUUCUUCAUAUGCGUUCUACUUGAAACUUUGUUCGAAAUCCUCACUGCGUCCUUGUCAGCUGAUGAUUUUGUAACAAAAUCCUUAAAUCUUCAAAAAUAUUUUUUUAUUGUUACACAGUAAGUGAACCCCACUUUCCCCGUUCGGAUAACCACGAUCUCCACCGCUUUGGUUGUGCGCUACAUGUGUCCUGCGGAGACGUAGAGAUAGGGGCUAUUUGGUCCGAUACUUUCGUGCCAACAGUUACCACCUGGCUAUAAAUAUGUCCCCAUCUCCCUUCGGUAAAAUCUUCUUUGUCCCAUCGCCCUCCUGCUAAAGCAAAGCUCAAAAUCCCUAUCGCCACCGCUAGAAGUCUCGACACCGGUAAAGAAGAGCUUGACUGCCUCGACCUCUUCGUCGCCGAAACCACGCCGGAACUGGACCAUCUUCGUCCACUGCCGCCGUAGUUGUCCUCUGCUGCCAAGUUAGGGCGCAUUGGACUCGCACCGAAGAGCAUCUACUGCUACUUCCUUCUCUUUUCUUCGUGUGCGCUAUCUAGGGUAAAUAAAAACCCUAUUUUUACAGCUCUUUUGAUCUACUAUUUUACAUUAGAGAUGUGAAAUCUGUUUUUCCUCAAGUAUCCAUCAGUUUCUUUUUCCUCAAACACUGCUUAUUCCUCAACUAUUGAUGAACUUCACUAAGCACCUAAGAUUUUCACGAGAUUCCUCAAUUGUGCAAAUUUUCGAAUCUGUACAACUCUGGAACCCAAGAACAGUGUUCUCAGACGAAUUCCUGAACCACUGGUCAAAUUCCUCAACUUUCAAAAAAAUUCAUUUCAUCAAAUCUGAGAACGCAUAUGACCUCUCCAAAUUCCUCCCAACUAUACUCUGUUCACAGGUACAAACAUGUCAUCUGAUGAAUCUCUAGGUUCUCAUCAACUUAACUCAUUUGCAGCGUUUCUUGAAGAAAAUCUGCAAGUUUCAUCAGAAUCCUCAAGAGUCCAAUUUCCUUAGCAAAAGCCUCAGCUGAAGAAAAUGGAAGAUGAAAGGAAGCAAAAGGGUGGCAAGAAGCUCGAGCAGAAUACUGCCAUAGAUAUUCCUGAGGAUAUAUACUUGGAAUACUGCACUCCUGAUGAGCAAGAAACUAUGCCCAAGAGGAAUAUCACGCUUCAAAAGAUAGAACAUCGAUGGGCUAAGGAGUGGAAAGAGUACAGAUUCGUCACUCCCAAAUAUGCGAAGAAAUUCGCUAUGAAGCCUCCUGGCAAACGACCUCCUCUUGAAGACUAUCAGGAUGCACACCCCUCAAGCCUCAAGACAAUUGAUGACUAUCCUCGGGAAAAGUCAAAACACUUGUCAAAGCUUCAGAAGCAAGCAGAAGCUGCUAUGAGGAAAUUCAAUGAAGAAUUUGUUGCUGCUGCAACUGCCGCCACUUCCUCUACAGCUGAGGCUUCUGGUACGGCCAUUCCUCAAAUGAAGUUUGUGCCACCAAAACCAAAGGCUUCAAAGCCUCAAGAGAAAAUGCCUCAGAAAGCUGCACCAGCAUCAGCUCCAAAACCCUUAGCACCUCCAAAGGCUUCAAAGCCUGAACAGAAGCAGAUAGUGAAGCAACUGCCCACUGUUUCCAGCUCCUCAGUCCCGUCUGCAACAAGCUCCGAGACAAAAUCUUCACCAACUCCUCUGAAGACUAAGGUGACUGCUGGGAGAGGUACAAGACCAAGCCCAAGAAAAAUCAUCAAAGUUCCUUUUGCAUUAGAGGGUAGUGAUGAACUUGAUGAUGAUACUGUGCAAGCCAUCAUCAGAAAUAAGCAAGAGAGGGUAGCUCAAGCUUCUGGCAGCUCCCUUCCUCUAGCCAUGGACCCAAAAGUCCUCCUGGAUUACAUCAACAUCUGGUAUGAGGACCCCAACACUCCAAUCGAUGAUUUGAAGCUUCCCCCGGGCAUCAGCCACAUGGUGGCCACAUUCAACAACGAGGCCAAGUGGAAGGAGCGGCAAGCCAAACAGGCUAAGGUUGCAAAGCUCAAAAAGGAGAAAUUCCUCAAACAAAAUCUCCUCAACCUGACUCCUGAUGCACUUCUGUCAACACAGGCUGAAUUGAAGACUUUGACAGACAAGUAUUCUAAGCUCUCUGACCGUCAAAGUCUCAAAAGCAAUUUCAUCAAAUUUUCCACUGACGCAGUUGACAAGUACAACAAGAAGGCUGCCAUCAGCCUAUGAUUGAGGAACCAGCUGAUGAAACUUCUCAUGAUGAGGAAAUCCCUCAAGAAAGCCGUGCUGAUGAACCGGCUAUUGAAGAAAUUGCCAAGAAAAAUCCAGCUGAUGAUUCUGCUACACUUGGUGAAACUGAUCCAGCUGCUUCUAAGCCAGUUCAUGACCCUACUCCAGCUGAUGAAACUGCUUCAGCUGAGAAAACGCCUUCACCAAAAGCUUCAAAGGUGAAGAAAAUGACUCCAUCUGCAUCAGACAUGAAGAAGACCAGGGUUGCUGAAAAGGAAGCCAAGAAAAGAAAAGCUUCAUCAGCAGAAGAAUCAACUGAGGCCAAGCGCCUCAAAGCUCUUGAAGAAAAUGCACCUCUGGAUCCUGUGCCUCUCAACGUUGAUCCAUCAUAUGAGAUGACUCCCUUCGAAAGGGAAGACAAGGAGCACGUGGCUGAUGAGGAAAUGAAGAAUGCUGAGUCUGAGGAACACACUUAUGAGGAAAUUCGCAUUGAUGACAGUCCUCAGACCUUCAUUCCUCCUGAAAAAACUACACAAGGAUCAGCUGCACCAGCUGAUGAAUCUGGCUCCUCCACCAAGCAAGCUCCUCAAGCUGAGGAAAAACAAAGUGAAAAUCCUCAGCCUGAUGAAAUUCAAAAUUCUGAGCAAAAUCCUCAACCCGAGGCUCAGGCUGACCCAAUUCCUCCUCCUGAGCAAAAACCUCAACCUACGGCUCAAGAUGAACCAAUUCCUCCUCGAGAGCAAAACACUCAACAAGAAUUCCUGGUUGAUGACAUUCCUCAACCAGAGCAUGCUCCUCAGCCUGAAGCACAAGCAGAUGAAAUUCCUCAACCUGAGGAACAUGCUGAGGACAAUGCACCAGAUCCAGAGAAUGCUCUUGUCAUCCUCAACCCAGAAACUGCAAUGAUUGUCUCUCCUCAAGGCAAGCCACAAAAUCUUCAGCCAAUGCAGCGUCAGCCGUUCUCCAAGCGGCCAAAGUUUCAAAAGGAAUCUUUCUUUGAGGAACGCAUGUUAUUCAUCGGAGAAAAUCCCUAUGACAAGCCUCGCAUCAGGCAUCUGAAGUUUUGGACCAAGACACAGCUCAACUACUAUGCCUCUGUGUUGUGUGGAAGAAACAAGAUUUUCCAACACAGGCACAUUCCUCACGUUGAGCUUGAAGAAAUUCCUUGCUUCGCCCCAGUCCUCAACGUCCUUUAUGAAGCUGGACUCCUCCCUAUGUGCUCAGAUAUCUGUGAUUGGAAUAGUGAAAUCAUUCUUCAAUUCUAUGCAACUUUGCACAUCUCUGGAGAUCCAACAGACAUCAACACAUGGGUGCUGGAUUGGAUGACGCAGAACACACACUUCAAGGCUUGUCCCAAUGAGCUGUUGCGUGAACUACCAGUGUCAAUUCCCUACGAGCAGGCAGUAAAGCUGUAUGAUGAACGUGAGCUGGCAAACAACUGAUGGAUGUCCUCAUGAAGCCUUUGGCUAAGGGGCAACCACCAAGAACAACCAUCCUGGUCCAUGAGCUGAAAUAUGAACCCAGGACGGUUUACAGAAUCCUCUGCAGCGUUCUUGCGCCAAUCAAGGGUCAUGAUGAUGAAGAAGACGUAGUCGGCAUCAUGAACAAUAUCCUCUUCAACAUCACACAUGGCAUUCCCAUCAACAUCCCUUAUUUCUUCUAGAGGACUCUGGCAGAAAAUGCUAUGGCCCCUUUUGACCUGAAGAUUUAAACUCCAUGGAUCAUGAGAUUCAUCAGACGCAGGUCAUGCAUCAACUCUCAUGCUGAUUUCAACAAUCAUAUCGGUUAUAUGCCUCCUCUAAGGGUCAACAUGAAGACUUUCAAGCCUGUUGAAGGAAAAGGCAAGUCUGUCAUUGAUGAAGGCAGUCGGCCCCUUGAUGGCCAGUUCAGAGAGCCAGAUGCAUAUUCCUCAUGGGAUGACACUGAAACCCAUCCUCCAAGUCCUGUUCCUCCAAGGGUGAUGAAUACCACAGAGCUUCUUCUAAGUCUUCACCAGAAGGUUGAUCGGAAUCACAAAUGGGUCAAACGCCAGUUCGGCGCCAUUGUGAAAACCCUCAAUAAAAUGCAGAAUGCUGUGAAGCUUAACCAUCAUUAUCUUCAUGAGGUUUUUGAUCGAACCUGGCCCACACUGGCUCUUUGAAGACUCCAGCAGAACUUGCAGAAUUGGAGUUUGUGCAGGACUUCGACUGGUCGUGGCCACCAAAGAAGAAAUUCAGGCCAAUUCCAGUCCCAGAACUUGAGGACAGUUCAUUUUCUUCAUUCCGCACUGCUGAAUCAAAUGAAGAUCAACAAGAUACUGCCACUGGUCCAAGGAGGAAGUCUGCUCCCAAGAAUCCUCACGCGUCUUCCUCAACUUCCAAGAAGUGAAAGUCUUCACGGGCGUUAGUCCUCAGUUUGUCCCUUUUUGUCACUUGAUGACAAAGGGGGAGAAAUAUGAGAGUUAGUCUUCGCGCGAGAUAUUUUGGGGGCUUAUAAACUUUAUUUAAGUUACAAACUCUUGGCUCUUCUGAAGUGUUUUAUGUAAUGAGUUGUAACUUAAGCCCGAUGGCAUUCUGACGCUUUUGAACGUUUUUCUUCGCAUGCUUAUUCCUCAAAAUUUUAAUGCACGCAUCCUGGAAUUCGUCAGAUACCAUUUGUCAUCAUACAUUCUCNNNNNNNNNNNNNNAUGUCAUAUGUAUGCAUAAUCUACAAGACUCAGGGGGAGAUCUCCAUGAUAUAAAUCAUCAAUGUGCAUUUGCUGAGAAAAGCAAAAUCCUCAAGAUAUACACAUCUUCAGGGGGAGUCUCUGUGAAUCUUGAUUUCAAAUUCCUCAAAUGAGUAUUUACACUUCAUAUGUUUAUUCCCGUUGAAGACUUAACCUAAUUGUCAUCAACCACCAAAAAGGGGGAGAUUGUAAGUGCAUCUAGUGCCCCUUAGUGAUUUUGGUGGUUUGAAGACUUAUAGGUUAAGUAUCUAAUGUGUUCUUGAGUGUACACAGGAUCUAUAAGUCGUUGAGGAGUUUGAAAUAUUUGAUGAAUAUCGACCCCUAAAAAUGUAUAUCUUCGGCUGAAGAAAUUGGUCUGAAGCUGAAGAACUGAAUCGCGAAGAAUUUGCGAUGAAAUUGAUAUUCCUCAUGAAGAUGUUGAAAUUGAGGAAUUCGGUGUGUUCUGAAGAAAAUCAAUCUGAAGACUUUGAAGCACGAAGAUUUAUCCGUUCUGUUUUAUUUUAUUCACACUUGAGUAAUAGGAUCACCGUAGUGUUAAAGGGGGUCAAAGUAACACGUUGGAAGAGAUUUCCUCAUGAUGCUCAACCCAAGCCUAAUCCUACCAAAAGCCUCAAGUGAGGAAUAUGAGAGACAUGAGGACUCUCACAGUUGAGGGUCCCAACCAUUACCGAUAGUCGCGCCACAUCAUUGAUCUUAUCCACAACAACGGUCAUAUUAUUUAAGGGCAUUAAUGUCAAAUCAUGGGGAUGCUCCCAGGCUAUAAAUAGCCCCCCCCCCCACAACCAUUAGCUGGUUGGCUGCCCCGUUAGAAACUGACACUUGUCAUAAGAGCAACCCAAAUUCCUCAGAGUCUUCGAGAGUAAUUCAUGAGUGAGGAAAUACCCCAAACACCAAACCACAAACCAAAACCAAGUGAUUGAGCAUCACUGAAGAAGUUGUUCCUGUGUGGGACUGAAGCCUUUUACCUUUGAGGACUUUGCAUCCUCCAGACGGUUAGGCAUCAUGGUCUAGAGCAAUCCAGCAGUCAAUUGUGGAUCGCCAGGUGACCAAGUUUGUGAGGGUUUGGAAGUCUGCCCUGAAGACUUACCACGAGUGUUGGGCGAGGACUGUGUGUUCUUAGCCCAAGGAGAAUACGGUAGGGACUGUGUGUCCCGGGACUGUGUGUCCUUUGGUUUCAAUACCAAGCCACUCCAAACCAGAUGUACAACUGUCACAGCAGUUGGAACUGGGUCAUCAACCAUUGUCUUCACUGUGAAACGGGUUCUAUUUCCUCAACUCUUUAUAUUCCUCAGAUUGUGUGUUGAUGAUUUUCACUGUCACUGUUUGAAAAAUUUGCUGAAGACUUUCUCUGAAAUUCCUCAACCCCAAAUUCUUCACGCGGGUUAAUCCUCAUCUGUUUUCUGCGUGCCUGCAUACUGUGCAAACUGUUUUCAUAUUCUUCGUCCUGAAAAACUGUCGUAGUGAUACUUUGCACUCCUGGUCCUUUGUUGUUUCCGUUGUAAGUUAGUCAUCAGCGAGGAAUUUCCUCAAAAGGAAUUUCCUCAGUGAUGAAAUUCUAAAAAUCUCCUAUUCACCCCCCUUUAGUCGAUAUAACGCACUUUCAAAAGGAGUUGCCUAGUAGGGAUUAAACUGUUGCCUUAGCCUCUAUUGCUGUGCCUCCUACUGAUCCCUUAGAGCAAUACUUGCUUGAGCAUGAAAAUGAUAUGCAUAUGGAUGAAAGGGAUGAGAUAGAUAGAGUUGUCUUAGAACAAUAUCCUAUCCUUAAGAAUAAUCUGCACGUUGAACUGCUUGGGGAUCCACCCCCACCAAAGGGUGAUCCUCUGUUCGAGCUUAAACAGUUGCCUGAUACUCUUAAGUAUGCCUAUCUUGAUGAAAAAGAUAUAUCCUGUUAUUAUUAGUGCUAGCCUCUCAGACCAUGAAGAAAAGAAGUUACUAAAAACUCAGAGGAAGCACCGUGCUGCUAUUGGAUAUACUCUUGAUGAUCUUAAGGGCAUUAGUCCUACUCUAUGUCAGCACAAGAUUAAAACUGAUCCUGAUUUCAAACCAGUUGUUGAUCAUCAAAGAAGAUUAAAUCCUAAGAUGAAAGAAGUAGUGAGAAAAGAAAUACUAAAGCUCCUGGAAGCGGGUAUUAUCUAUCAUGUUGCUCAUAGCGAUUGGGUGAGUCCGGUGCAUUGCGUCCCUAAAAGGGAGGCAUUACCGUUGUCCCUAAUGAUAAGGAUGAAUUGAUCCCACAGAGGAUUAUUACUGGCUAUAGGAUGGUGAUCGAUUUUAGGAAAUUGAAUAAAGCCACUAGGAAAGAUCAUUACCCUUUGCCUUUUAUCAACCAAAUGCUAGAAAGGUUGUCUAAACACACACACUUCUGCUUUCUAGAUGGUUAUUCUGGUUUCUCCCAAAUACCAGUUGCACAAUCUGAUCAGGAGAAAACCACUUUCACCUGCCCUUUCAGUACCUUUGCUUAUAGACAUAUGCCUUUUGUCUUAUGUAAUGCACAUGCCACCUUUCAAAGAUGUAUGAUGGCUAUAUUCUCUGACUUUUGUGAAAAGAUUGUUGAGGUUUUCAUGCAUGACUUCUCCGUUUACGGGUCUUCCUUUGAUGAUUGCCUCAGCAACCUUGAUCUAGUCUUGUAGAGAUGUAAAGACACCAAUCUUGUCUUGAAUUGGGAAAAGUGCCACUUUAUGGUUAAUGAAGGCAUCAUCUUAGGACAUAAAAUUUCUGAAAGAGGUAGUGAAGUCGAUAAAGCUAAGGUUGAUGCAAUCGAGAAAAUGACAUACCCCACAGAUAUCAAAUGUAUAAGAAGUUUCCUUGGUCAUGCUGGUUUCUAUAGAAGGUUCAUUAAAGACUUCUCUAAGAUUUCUAGGCCUCUUACCAAUCUCUUGCAAAAGGAUAUUUCUUUUUUCUUUGACGAAGAUUGUGAGGAAGCCUUCGAAAUACUUAAGAGGGCUUUGAUAACUGCACCUAUUGUUCAACCACCUGAUUGGAACUUACCUUUUGAAAUCAUGUGUGAUGCUAGCGAUUAUGCUGUUGGUGUUCUCCUAGGGCAAAGAGUUGAUAAGAAGUUGAAUGUUAUUCACUAUGCUAGUAAAACUCUAGACAGUGCCCAAAGAAACUAUGCCACUACGGAAAAGGAGUUUUUAGCAGUCGUGUUUGCAUGUGAAAAGUUCAGGUCUUACAUAGUUGAUUCCAAAGUCACUAUUCACACUGAUCACGCUGCUAUUAAGUACCUCAUGGAGAAGAAGGACGCUAAACCUAGACUUAUCAGAUGGGUUCUCUUGCUACAAGAAUUUGAUUUGCACGUUGUCGACAGAAAGGGUGCUGAUAACUCAGUAGCAGAUAACUUGUCUAGGUUGGAGAACGUUCUUGAUGACCCACAACCUAUUGAUGAUAGCUUUCCCGAUGAGCAAUUGAAUGUCAUCAAUGCUUCACGUAGUGCACCGUGGUAUGUGGUAUGCUGAUUACGCAAACUAUAUCGUUGCCAAAUACAUACCACCUAGUUUCACAUACCUGAACAUGAACAGGGACAGAUCCUACAGUAGUGUCACUCCGAGGCCUACAGAGGACAUCAUGCGGGAGAUAGAACUGCACACAAGGUAUUGCAAUCAGGUUUCUAUUGGCCCACUCUCUUCAAGGCUGCCCGUAAAUUUGUCUUGUCUUGUGACGAAUGUCAAAGAAUAGGUAAUAUUAGCAAACGUCACGAAAUGCUUAUGAACUAUUCACUUGUCAUUGAACCAUUUGAUGUCUGGGGCUUUGAUUAUAUGGGACCUUUUCCAAAAUCCAAUGGGUAUACUCAUAUCCUAGUUGCUGUUGAUUAUGUCACUAAGUGGGUAGAAGCUAUCCCCACUAGUAGUGUUGAUCACAACACCUCUAUCAGGAUGCUGAAAGAAGUUAUCUUCCCUAGAUUUGGAGUCCCUAGAUAUCUAAUGACCGACGGUGAUUCACACUUCAUUCAUGGUGCUUUCCGUAAAACGCUUGCUAAGUAUGAUGUCAACCAUAGAAUUUUGUCUCCCUAUCACCCUCAGUCCAGUGGUCAAGUAGAGCUAAGUAAUAGAGAGAUUAAACUGUUCUGCAAAAGACUGUCAACGGGUCUAGAAAGAAUUGGUCUAAGAAGCUCGAUGAUGCACUGUGGGCUUAUAGAACUGCCUAUAAGAAUCCCAUGGGCAUGUCUUCGUACAAAAUGGUGUAUGGUAAAGCUUGUCAUUUCCCUCUUGAGUUAGAGCAUAAAGCUUAUUGGGCAAUCAAAGAGCUCAACUUUGAUUUCAAACUUGCCGGUGAGAAGAGGUUAUUUGAUAUUAGCUCGCUUGAUGAGUGGAGAACUCAGGCGUAUGAGAAUGCCAAGUUGUUCAAAGAGAAGGUUAAGAGGUGGCAUGAUAAGAGGAUACAAAAGCGUGAGUUCAAUGUAGGUGAUUAUGUCUUGCUAUAUAACUCUCGUUUAAGAUUCUUUGCAGGCAAGCUUCUCUCUAAAUGGGAAGGUCCCUAUGUUGUUGAGGAAGUAUAUCGUUCCGGUGCUAUCAAGGUCAACAACACGGAAGGUAAUUGUCUGAGAGUGGUAAAUGGGUAGAGAACCAAGCAUUUUAUCUCAGGUACUCCCAUAAAUGUUGAAAGCAAUAUUAUCAAUACCAUAACUCCAGAAGAAUACCUAAGGGACAUUUAUCAGCCUGUUUCAAACUCCGAAAACGAAGAGGUAUGUGAUUCGGUAAGAAAACAGAGUCCAAAACUUUUCCAGUAGGAAAUUUUCUCCGUUUUGGAAUAUUUGAAAAAAUACAAAAAUUGGAAGUAGUCCAGAAAGUGCGCGAGGAGGCGACAAGCCUGCAUGGCGCGGGCCCACCCCCUGGCCGCGCCAUGAGGGCUUGUGGCCACCUCGUGCGCCUCCCGGACUCCAUUUUCGUGCGGGGUACUCCUUCUGGUGUGAAAAAAAAAUCAUUAUAUAUACUCCCAUUUGGUCUGACCCCUGCAUCACGCAGAUUCCCUCUGUUUUUCGUUUCGAGCCUGUUUCUGUUGCAAAUCUAGAUUUCUAUGACUUCCCUAAAAGCUCUGAAGGACAAGAUCUUCGAGAAGAUCAUCAAUCCCUACCUCACGGGAGUGUUGCAACACCCUCAAUCUAUCGAGAUGCAUGAGCGGAUGUUGCACAUCCAUGAUGUUGAGGGGCCUAAGAAGACCGGAAGCAUGGAGACGAGGCUCGAAGCAAUGGAGCAACAAGUCUUCAAGUGCCAAGGGAUGGUGGAGCGUGGACUCAACGCCAACCACAUGAUGAUCACGGAGUUCACCAACAAGCACAGGAUUGAUGCCAAUGACAUUGGGAAGCAUCUCUCCAGGCUCUAUGACAGGAUUGAUCAACUCCAGGCCCAGAUCUAUGACCUGCAAAACCAAAACUGUGAGUAUGAGUAUAGAUUUAAAUCAAUACGGUUGGCUGCAGAUUUCAGGAUUCUGGAGACUCAUUCAUAUUUCCAUGAUGGAGCACCUAUGCCUUGGAAGACGGAAGAUCAAACUCAUGUUGCAACAACUCCACCAUCACCACCAAAGGAAGACAACUGAGCAUUGUUAUGGGCAAUCCCCUUGGCUCGUGCCAAGCUUGGGGGAGUUGCCCCGGUAUCGUAUCACCAUCACAUCUUUUGCCUUUACCUUUGUUUUAGUUUGUUCCUUUUCAGUUUUCUUUUUCUCUAGUGGAUUAAAAGUCUUAGUGUUUUAGUCUUGAGUUUUGCUUUGUGUCACCCCCGAUGUAUCCGAGCUCGUGAGCCAUAUAAUAAAGAGUGUCUUAGUUGAAGGGAUUUGCCUCUUGCCAUGAUCAAAAGAGUGAGAAUAGAACAAAAGCAUGAAAGAUCAUGUAAUGAUCUUCUGGGAAGUGAUGGCUUCACAUAUAAAAAGAAUGAGGAUUGAAACUUCUUGAGGGUAGACAAAAUUAGACCUUGGUCAUUGUUGCAAUUAAUAGGAAGUGAUAAAGAAGGAGAGGUUCACAUAUAAAUAUAUCAUCUCUGACACCAUCUAUGAUUGUGAACACUCACUAAACUAUUGCAUGCCUAGAAGUAGACGUUGGACAAGGAAGACAACAUAAUGAAUUGUGUUUGCUUGUCUCCGAACAAUGUUAUAUGAUUAGAGAUCCCUUAGCAUGUGACGAUUGCUUCCACCUCACGUUAGCCAAACCUCCCGCACUAAGUAGAGAUACUACUUGUGCAUCCAUAAACCAUCAACCCAGUUUUGCCAUGUGAGUCCACCAUACCUACCUAUGGAUUGAAUAAGAUCCCUCAAGUAAGUUGUCGUCGGUGCAAGCAAUAAAAAAUUCUCUCUAAUAUGUAUGAUCUAUUAGUGUGUGGAAAAUAAGAUUUGUACGAACCUGUGAUGAGGAAGACAUAAAAGCGAUAGACUACAUAAUAAAGUUCUUUAUCCCAGGAGGCAAUAUAAAGUGAUGUUCCUCCGCACUAAGAGGACACGCAUGCAAACCUCAAAAGCGCAUGACAACCUCUGCUUCCCUCUGCGAAGGGCCUAUCUUGUACCUUUACUUUUUGCCCUUGAAAGAGUCAUGGUGAUCUUCACCAAUUCCUUAUCUCGCCUUUAUCUUGGCUAAUGUCAUAUGCUUGGGAAAGAUCUAUAUUCAUAUUUCAACUUGGAGGUAAGUAUUCAUGAAUUAUUGUUGUUGACAUUACCGUUGAGGUAAGCAGUUGGGAGGCAAAACUAUAAGCCCCUAUCUUUUUCUGUGUCCAGCUGAAACUUUGAUCUCAUGAGUACCACGUGAGUUGUAGCAAUUGUAGAGAAUGAAAAGAUGAUUGAGUAUGUGGAUUUGCUUUACAAGCUCUUAUUUAACUCUUUCUGAUGUUGUGAUAAAUUGCAAUUGCUUCAAUGACUACAGGCUAUGGGUUGUUACUUCUCGGUAAGGUUCGUGAUCCAUGCUUUACUUUGUGAAGGAAUUAUCACUUUAGCAUGAGAAAUUAUAUGUUGGUAGUGUUGUUCUGAUCAUGAUCAGGAUGCAUGCAUGUUCGUAUCUUGUUUUGUCGACACCUCUCUCCCUAAACAUGUGGACAUAUUUAUUGAGCUAGGCUUUCGCUUGAGGACAAGCGGGGUCUAAGCUUGGGGGAGUUGAUACGUCCAUUUUGCAUCAUGUUUUCAUGUUGAUAUUUAUCGCUUCUUGGGCUGUUAUUUCACUUCACGGUACAAUACUUAUGCCUUUUCUCUCUUAUUUUGCAAGGUUUACAUGAAGAGGGAGAAUGUCGGCAGCUGGAAUUCUGGCCUGAAAGAGGAGAAAAGUUGAGAUACCUAUUCUGCGCAACUCCAAAUGCCGUAAAAAUCAACGAGGAUUUUUUUCCAGAUUUAUAAAAAUACAGGGCCGAAGAAGCGCCAGAGGGGCGCCAGCAGGCGGCCACAAGCCUGCAUGGCGCGGCCACCCCCCCCCCAGGCCGCGCCAUGAGGGCUUGUGGGCAGCCUGCUGGCCCACUAUUCCCCCUCUUCUGCUAUAUGAAGGGUUUCGUCCAGAAAAAAAUCAAGGAGGAGGAUUUUCGUGGAUUCGCCGCCGCCAUGAGGGGGAACUUGAGCAGAACCAAUCUCCGGCAGGACGAUCCUGCCGGGGAAAUUUCCCUCCCGGAGGGGGAAAUCGUCACCAUCGUCAUCACCAACACUCCUCUCAUUGGAGGGGACUCGUCACCAUCAACAUCUUCAUCAGCACCAUCUCAUCUCCAAACCCUAGUUCAUCACUUGUAACCAAUCUCCAUCCCGCGACUCCGAUUGGUACUUGUAAGGUUGCUAGUAGUGUUGAUUACUAUUUGUAGUUGAUGCUAGUUGGAUUACUUGGUGGAAGAAUUUAUGUUCAGAUCCUUUAUGCUACUCAUUACCUCUAUGGUCAAGAAUAUGAUUAUGCUUUGUGAGUAGUUACUUUUGUUCCUGGGGACAUGGGAUAAGUCAUGCUAAUAGUAGUCAUGUGAAUUUGGUAUUCGUUCGAUAUUUUGAUGUGUUGUAUGUUGUUUUUCCUCUAGUGGUGUUAUGUGCACAUCGACUACAUAACACUUCACCAUUAUUUGGGCCUAGAGGAAGGCAUUGGGAAGUAGUAAGUAGAUGAUGGGUUGCUAGAGUGACACAAGCUUAAACCCUAGUUUAUGCGUUGCUUCGUAAGGGGUUGAUUUGGAUCCACUAGUUUAAUGCUAUGGUUAGACUUUGUCUUAAUUCUUCUUUCGUAGUUGCGGAUGCUUGCGAGAGGGGUUAAUCAUAAGUGGGAUGCUUGUCCAAGUAAGGGCAGUACCCAAGCGCCGGUCCACCCACAUAUCAAACUGUCAAAGUAACGAACGUGAAUCAUAUGAACCUGAUGAAAACUAGCAUGACAGAAAUUCCCGUGUGUCCUCGGGAGCGUUUUUCCUCCUAUAAGACUUUGUCCAGGCUUGUCCCUUGCUACAAAAGGGAUUGGGCCACUUUGCUGCACCGUCGCUACUUUUGUUACUUGUUGCUUGCUACGAAUCAUCUCACCACACAAUCACUUGUUACCGACAAUUUCAGUGCGUGCAGAUUUUACCUUGCUGAAAACCACUUGUCAGAUCCUUCUGCUCCUCGUUGGGUUCGACACUCUUACUUGCCGAAAGGACUACGAUUGAUACCCUAUACUUGUGGGUCAUCAGACGUGUGGUCAGAAAUUGACUGGAACAUGGGUUGAGUUCAUGCAGCUCCUGAAGGUAGAAGACAAGGGGUCGCAGACUGCUGUUGGAUUGUGUCCUCAUAACCAACCUGGCCCCAUCCCCAAGAACAGGCUGCAACAUCUCUAUGUGAGGAAGAAUGUGCUUCCCCCGCACCUGGAUAUUAUGCACCGGAUCUUCUGCAACACGUUGUUUCCUCAUAUUGGAAACAAGGACGAGGUUCACUCGUAUCUGGUGGAUUUGCUUUUGAUGUGUGCGGAGGCAAGGACGAAGGACACUGGGCAUCUCGACAUAUCUGAUGUGAUGUUCAAUGAGCUCAAGAAUUGCAUCCUGCACCAUACGGUUCCCAUCUAUGGGCCUUACAUGUUCUCUUUUAUCCAGAAGAAGUGGACAAAAUCCUUUCCAGACAUACCUCUCCCUGUUGAAGCUGACUAUAUCACCCAUGAUCCUAUGAAGCUGUGUCAGAAGGAAAAAUGGGCCAACACCUUAACGUCUUCUCACCCCAUGGAGACUAACACAGAGACUGCUGCUGCUGGAGGAGGCCCUGUGUCGCAUACCCGCUCCUCUGCUAUGCCAUCUUGGGCUGUGAAGCUGAAAGAUCAGAUGAAGACCCUCUUCUGCAUGCAGGCCAAGGAACAGUAUCAGUCUCAUGUGGCCCAGAAGGAGAACCGUCAGAGGCACAAGCGUGUCUUGAGGACCCUUGAUGUGGAGAUCUCGAGCGGCUCUGAGGACAUCAUCACUCCAGAGACUAACUCGAUGAAGGCUCAAGGUUACCAGUGGGAUGGGUCCGAUAUUGAGGAGGAGGUUUCUGACGAGGACGCUGAGGAGGAGGAUGAUGAGGAGGAUGCAGAUGCUACGGACGAGUAUGAUGCGGCUGCUUGAGUGACCACCCGUGUCCUAGGUGUCCUCUCUGUCCCUUUUUGGUGUCUUGAUGCCAAAGGGGGAGAGAGUGUAGGGAUUUGGACUUGCUUGCUUUAUCUUUUUCUGACUCUUUCUAUGCUUUGAACUUGGUUGGUCUUAUCAUGAUUGCUACCUUUUGUGAGUGUGUUGUGAGACUUUGUUUUAAUUGUGAGACUUUGCUUUAGUCAUAUGGUGUGAGUCAAAUGCCCUACGUUAUCUCUAUUAAAUUAUCUUCAUGCUCACAUGCUUUACCUUGCUUCCUCUCUCAAAUGAUGCAUCAGGUCGUUGCAAGGAGUACCAGCUUAUGUUUUCUAGGAGGAGUUCUCUCCUUGGACUAAGUGCACUACCAUUCAUAGCACUAUCCUAAAAUCAUGCACUUAUCCAGGGGGAGCCAGUCCCUGGACAAGAGACUUUGGGUUUGCUGUUAUAUUCAGUAUACUUUCUUUUGUGCAAAUCUGAUAUUGUCAUCAAUUCACCAAAAAGGGGGAGAUUGUUAGGGCAUAUUUAUGCCUAAGUGAUUUUGGUGAUUGAUGACAGUACCUCAGUGGACUAAUCGUGUGCACUGAGCAUUUCAGAUAAUACAUGACAAAGGCACAAGACAAUUCGGCACCCCUCCAUGGAAUAGAAGUACGGUGUCUUCUACGAUUUUCUUUGGUGGUUUUGAGUCUUAGGAACGCCGUAAUAUUAAGAGGGGAUCCGUGUCGGAAAUGUUUGGGUGCAAUCAAUCUCGCACGCACACAUUUUAUCUCCAUCUCUUUUCCCUUGCAACUAUGAGCUUGUUCCCUCUCUGUUCUUUCUCUCUAUCUUGCAAAAAGGCCUCUGGCGGUAGUACCGCUGGAGGUGAGUGGUAGUACCGCUCGGUCCUAGCGGUAGUACCGCUGGAGCUGGCGGUAGUACCACUGGGCUGGCGGUAGUACCGCCCCAGCCUGGCGGUAGUACCGCUAGCUGGCGGUAGUACCACCCCUGGCCAGCGGUAGUAUCGCUCCAAGACUGUAGUACCGCUAUCCUUGCGGUUGUACUGCAUCGGACUUUUUGCGAAGACUUUCUUGGCGGUGGUAGGCCUGGUAGUAGCCCUUGCGCUACCAUGGUCCUAGCGGUAGUACCGCUCUCGUCCUAGCGGUAGUACCGCUGGCAGUAGUACCGCUGGAGAGGCAGCGGUAGUACCGCUACUGCCAACGGUAGUAGCGCCCUGCUCGUGCUGAGAGUGAGGGUAACGGUUGGAUUUGUUCCCUCACUAUAUAAAGGGUUCUUCCACUUCAAGAACCCUACCUUUUGACCCUCCAAGACUCCAUUGUUUCUCUCUAAUCUCAUAAGUGCUCGAUCUCUCUCCCUAGCCAAUCAAACUUGUUGAUUUUCUAGGGAUUUGUGGAGAAGGCCUAGAUCUACACUUCCACCAAGAGAAAUUUGAUUCACCCCACUAAUCCCUUGUGGAUCUUGUUACUCUUGGGUGUUUGAGCACCCUAGACGGUUGAGGUCACCUCGGAGCCACAUUCCAUUGUGGUGAAGCUCUGUGGUCUUGUUGGGAGCCUCCAAGCUUUGUGUGGAGUUAGCCCCAGACUUGGUUGUAAAGGUUUGGUCGCCGCCUUCAAGAGCACCUAUAGUGUAAUCACGGCACCUUGCAUUGUGUGAGGGCGCGAGGAGAAUACGGUGGCCCUAGUGGCUUAUUGGGGAGCAUUGUGCCUCCACACCUCUCCAACAAAGACGUACUUCCUGUCAAAGGGAAGGAACUUCGGUAACACAUCCUCGUCUUCAUCGGUUCCACUUGUGGUUAUCUCUAACCUUUACAUUUUGUAUGUUAUUGUUGUAGAUUAUUUCUUACUUGCCUUAGCGAUUAUAGUUGGUAGCAUCAUAUAGGUUGAUCACCUAGUUGUCAUUUUAGAGAACCUUUAUGUUGCUAACCCUAACUUGUUAAGAAUAAUUAAAAAGUGGUAGUUGCCUAUUCACCCCCCCCCGGGGGGGGGGGGGGGGGGGCCAUAUCGAUCCUUUCAAAGUCUUAUUUUGUGCAAGUCCUUUCAGUUGAAAAAACAGAAAGUUACUAUGGCUCAUAAUCUUGGGAAUUUUGCUACUCGUAGCAACAAUGUCAUCUGUGAACUAAUAGCACAACCUUAUGUUCCAUCUACAGAAUAUGAGAUCAAAUCGAACCUAGUUUUCAUGAUUCAACAAGACCAAUUUGGAGGCUCUACUUCAGAAGAUGCAGGUAUGCAUUUACAUAAUUUUGCUGAAUUGUGCAACAUGACACGCAUAAAGGAUUAUGACCGAGAUGUUGUGAAACUUUUCUUAUUUCCUUUCUCUUUGAGAGGAAAAGUUAAGGGAUGGCUUUUAGCCUUGCCUAAAUGCAGCAUUACUUCUGUGGCUGCUUGUUGUAGUAAAUUUUUAUCUAAGAUUUAUCCGCAUGUAAGUAUUAUGCAAUAACGUACUCAGAUUAUAGGUUUCAAGCAAUACGAACAUGAGCCACUAGCGCUUGUGUGGGAGAGAAUGAAAGAAGCAAUAAGAAAUGGCCCCAAUCAUGGAAUGGAGGAAUGCAUAAUACUUCAUAUGUUUUAUAAUGGCUUGAAUCACAUAUUAAAAUCUAUGCUUGAUACAGCUGCAGGAGGAACAAUCAUGGGAGAUGUCAAGAAGAUACUCGAUGAUAUGCAAGAAAACCAUGCUCAAUGACAUGUUGAGAGGACCAUGAUACGUCUCCAAUGUAUCUACUUUUACAAACACUUCUCCUCUGUUUUGGCCUCUAACUUGCAUGAUUUGAGUGAAACUAACCCGGACUGACGAUGUUUUGAGUAGAACUACCUUGUUGUUAUUUUUGUACAAAAAUAAAAGUUCUCACAAUCGAACGAAACUUUUUGUGAAUUAUUUCAGGCAUUUAUAAGGAUUUAUGGAGCGAAGACCUGCCGGAGAAACGCUGCCAAGGGGCUACAUGCCAACAGGGCGCCCCUUGGCCGCGCCCUAAUGACUUGUGGGGCCCAUGUGGAUCCUCCGACCCUAAUUCCACUCCUAUAAAAUCAUAUCUUCGGAGAAAAAAUUAGAGAGAAGUUUUAAUCGUGUUUCACGAGAUGGAGCCGCCGCCACCUCCCGUUCUUCCUCCGAAGGGCUGAUCCGAAGUCCGUUUGGGGCUCCGAAGAGGGGGGUUCAUCGCCGUCGUCAUCGGCAACCCUUCUUCAUCAACACCGCCAUGAUUCUCACCAUCGGGAGUGAGUAAUUCCUUUGUAGGCUUGCUGGAUAGCGGUGGGAUUGGAUGAGAGUGAUCAUGUAAUAGAGUUAAGUUUGAUAGUGCUUGAUCCCGAGUCUCGAAUAUGUUUUCAGAUUGAUGUUACUAUGACUUUGCUAUGCUUAAUGCUUGUCACUAGGGCCCGAGUGCCAUGAUCUCACAUCUGUACCUAUUAUGUUUUCAUGAAUAUGAGAGUGAUUUGGAUCCUAUCUUGCAAGUUGUAGUUACCUAUUACAUGUCUUGAUUCGCAUACGCCAAGGUGACAAUAAUUGGGAUUAUUUCCGGUGAUUGCCGUAGUUUGAGGAGUUCAUGUCUUCACCAUGUGUUAAUGCUUUAUUCUGGUUGAGGUAGUCCAAGAUUAGGGGGUACUUGGGCUGCCUACCUAUCCUUAUGGCCGGACUCUUUGGCAUGUUCGGUCGUUGGCAGUAGUAUUAGAUUCGAGAUGGACUCUUCCAAAGACUUGGCGUGUAACCCAAGGAGAUGUAGUAACCGACGUAUUCCUUCUGUGUUGUAAUUGACUUUGUGUAAACCAUGACACCCGUGGCAUCUAUAUAUAAGCUAGGGGUCGUAGCUCAUAGGACACAUCAAGCUCACUACGAUUAGGGUUCACGCCACAACAUCGAUCUCGCGGUAGAUCAACUUCGUACUAUAUACUAGCCCAUAAAUAACAGCAAGAGCGGGACGUAGGGUUUUACCUCCAUCACGAGGGCCCAAACCUGGGUCAAACAUCGUCUUCAUCGUCUCUUCUUACCCAUCAACCUUAGAUCCACAGUUCGAACCCCCUACUCGAGAUCGGCCGGUUUUGACACCGAUAUUGGUGCUAUCAUUGAGAGCUCCGUUGUGAGAUCGCAAAAAGGAUCGAUGGCUCGCUUGGUCACCAGCGACAGCGUAAAUCCGGAGAUAUUUUUGUCUCCGGCCAAUGCUCUACUUUCAGUAGUACCUUGCACUUCAAGGCCUCAUCAUCAAAUCGAUGGGGUCACCCCGAGUCAGGAAUUAAGUUCGGCGAGUUAGAAUUCAUUGCUAACACCCGGGGCAACCUGAUCUUUUCCAAGGUUUCGGUUGUGCGUGAAAACCUUGAAAAAACCGAAGCUUUAACUUUGGGCCCUAUUCUAUACUUAGAGUCCGAAAUAUAUUUGAACCUUGAUUCGGCAUCGAGCCAAGGUCCGACUAUGGAAUUCGAGGGCAUGAGGGUCAUACCGCCAGAACACAGUUCCUACACCGAAGCGUCAGAAUAUAGUUCUGUCAGGGCUCCAAGCGCCACUCCGGCAAAUCUCUCAUGGUCGAACGGGACAAAGACCCAAGCUCGAACCAAUGACUAUUCGGACGAGCGGUCUCCAUCCCAGGACCUUUCCGGCCCUGGAGCUAGGUGCAGGUAACUUUAUUCCCGACACACCACCCACUUCAUCGCCACCAUCAAACAUCUAACCGAUUGUUAGACUUCUCUUCUAAAGAAGCCGAAUAUAUGAACACGAUUAUUCAAUCACCAGACUCUCCCGUAACGGGACAAUGGAUCGCGACCUCCAUGUAAGAUGUCUAUAUUAUGGACACCCCCACGGACAAAGGUGAUACGGGGAAAAGCGAUGAUGACACCCCAACCAAUAACAGCGGUGGUGAACAUGUCGAACACUGUCGCCAGCGCAAAAAGCCUAAAGCUCGUAAGGGAAAGGAAAGUAAUGUAGACAAAGGGGAAAACCCAGAUCCCGACGAUACAGAAAAUCUCGCCGAAUCCCCAAAACCUUCAGACCUCGCAUAUGACCCCGACUUACCAGGAUAUAUGGAUACAGACCAGCCUAAAGAUCUCAACGACUCUAAAGACAUCAACUAUGUCCCCCCGGUCCAGGAGGACGAGAGUCUGGGAGCUGAAGCUUUAUUGUCCCUGAAGACCCAUUGGAUCAGGAAGUGUACAUGCAACAACUCAUUUCCACUGCUCGGAGCCUUAAGAUAAAGAAGAAACAAGGGGGGGGACUUUAUUAAUGAAAGAUGGACCAAAGUCUUAGCUGCUGAAAAAGGGUACAGACAGGAGCAAAAGGGGCAAACCAAGAGUUACCCACAUCGACGCUUGUUACCAUAAUUCGAAGACGAGGCCUUGGAGCCCGCACCACCCAGAUUUGUACAAGAUGAUCAACGAGAUCGUCCUCCUCGAGGAUGGGACAAGCAAAAGGAACUAGUUCAACCCAAAGACCGAUAUAAUCUGCGGCAGAAAAUUAAGUCUAAAGCAAAACAAACCAGAUCCAUUUACGGAUCUAGAAGUCGCACUCCCGCAAGACAGAACAGAUACCAAGCUCAUCCCAACCUGAACGAUAGAGUUCAGGACAUGCAGCACGGUAGAACCUCGACCGAUCUCCGGCAUGACACAACUCAGAUAAGGGGAGCCACCCACCCAAUGUGUUUUAAGAAUGAGGUAAUGUGGCAUCAGUUCCCCGAAAGGUUUAAACACAUAAAUAUAGAACAAUACAACGGGACGACAGAUCCAGCUGUCUGGAUCGAGGAUUUUCUCCUUCAUAUUCACAUGGCCUGCAGAGAUGAUCUCCAUGCCAUCAAAUAGCUACCACUCAAGCUCAAUGGCCCAGCUAGGCACUCGUCGAACAGCCUCCCUGUAAACUCUAUUGUGAGUUGGGAGGAUCUUGAAGAUGCCUUUCAAGACAACUUUCAGGGCACUUAUGUUCGUCCACCUAGGUCCGAUGACUUAAGCCACAUAAUCCAGUAUCCCGAUGAGUCAUCCCGGCAAUUCUGGAACAUAUUCCUCAUGAACAAAAAUCAGAUUGUUGAUUGUUCAGACGCUAAGGCAUUAGCUUCCUUCCGCAAUAAUAUAUAGGAUGAAUGGCUCGCCCGGACACUUGGACAGGAACGACCGAGGACAAUGGCCGCCCUCACCUCCCUCAUGACCCGCCAUUGCGCGGGUGAGGAUACUUGGCUAGCUCGGCGGAAUAACCCUCCCUCAGACCCUGGCACUUCUACACUCUGGGACAGCAAUGGAAAACCACGACGCAAUAAGAACAAGUGUCAGCACAACGCCGAUGAAGUCGAUGACACGGAGGUCAACGCCGAAUUCAACAAUUCUAGGCUUGGACCCAAGAAGAAACCUUUCAAGGGAAAUCGGGAUGAGCCGACCGUGCUGGAAAAAAUACUCGAGAGGCCCUGUCAGAUACAUGGCACUCAAAAUAAGCUUGCUACUCAUACCAACCAUAAAUGUUGGGUGUUCAAAGCGGUGGGUAAGAGCAUGGCAGAAGAUCAUGCCAAGAGCCCAUGCAGCAAAGACUGUGAAGAGCCUCGUUACCGGAACAACGGGGGCCAAAAGCAGUUUCCCCCUGAAGUAAAAAUGGUGAACAUGAUCUAUGUCACCCACUUGCCCAAAAAGGAGAGGAAGCACGCUCUUCGGGACGUAUAUGCUAUAGAGCCAGUAGCCCCGAAGUACAAUCCAUGGUCGGCAUGUCCGAUCACCUAUGAUCAUACAGAGCACCCCAACAGUAUUCGACAUGGGGGGUCAGCGGCCUUGGUACUCGAUCCCAUCAUUGACGGGUACCACCUCACACGAGUCCUCAUGGCUGGGGGCACCAGCCUUAAUCUUAUUUAUGAGGAUACGGUGCGGAAAAUGGGUAUUGCUCCAUCACGAAUCACACCCAGUAAGGCCACAUUCAAAGGAGUAAUUCAUGGCGUCAAAGCUCGCAGUUGAGGCACGAUAACCCUAGAGGUAGUGUUUGGCUCACCCCACAACUUUCAUAGCGAAUAUUUGAUCUUCGAUGCCAUCCCUUUCCACAACGGGUACCAUGCACUCCUCGGUCGUACAAGAUUCGCUCGCUUUAAUGUCAUCCCCCAUUGUGCAUACCUCAAGCUGAAGAUGCUAGGACCUAAAGGUGUUAUUAUAUUCAAUGGUAACACCGAACGAUCCCUUCGGACUGAGGAACACACUGCAGCCUUAGCAACCGAAGUAUAGGCCAGUGACACGAUCCCCAAGCCAAGGAUAUCCGUCAAGGAGCAUAAACGGGAUCGUGCCCCGUCAUAGUCACAUACCACGAUAGGGAAAUAGGGAUACGCUCCUCAUAGCAACACCUUGCCUCUAGUAAAGUAUGUACCUCAAAGACACAACUUUGCACUCAAGAUACCAUGGGCAACUACGAGGAUCAAUAAUAUAAGGCUUACUGUUCGGAUAAACCGAACCAUGUGCAGUACAGUCUUUAGACAUAUACACGUAACAUUAAGGACCAAUCCCUGUGUCAAGCACACAUACACAUCGACGGUUAGCAAGACCACCAUUGACCACAAGAGUUGUUCAUCGGAGUUAUCUCCUGUCCAAGGAGUAUCCUCCGACGAGUAAAGGUGCGGACGUGCAACAGGGUGCUUACAGGAACAUCAAACUAGUCAUAUCCAACCCUAUGUAAACCUCUACUCGGUACUCUUUUAUUCAUGGUGUCGUACUUUCCAUACAAGGCUCUAACUAUCUUCUUCAUGAAGAAUUUUUCGGUCAUCUCUUCGCUUCCUAAGCCGACAAUCUCAUUUCUGAUGAGAGGAAGCCUAGAGUACAUCUCAGCGACUCUGUCACCAUCCUUGAUCUUGAACUUGUCAAGCUGACUUUGUAGCACAUCCAACUUAUAUUCCCUCACGGAUUCGGUACCUUCGUGCGUAUCAAUCAAAGUGUCCCAAAUUUUCUUGGCAUUCUCAAGACGGCUAAUCUUGUUGAACUCUUCAGGGCAUAGGCAGUUGAAUAGAAUGUCGCAUGCUUUAGCAUUGUAUUGCAACACCUUCAAUUCUUCCGCAAUUGCUUCAUGAUUCGGUUCCUUUCCACCACCAAAGAAUUCACCUUGCAAACCAACACGAACAAUAGCCCAAACGAUGGGAUUAUGACAAAGAAUAUGCAUUUUCAUCUUAUGCUUACAACUAGCAAAGUUUGUACCAUCAAAAUAUGGACCUCUACGGCGAUAAUUUCCCUCACUAGACACCACACUCUCCUAGGUUGUGAAACCAAUGCAGUGGAUACCAAAGUUCUGAUACCACUUGUAGGAUCUAAAGUAUGUCUAGAUGGGGUGAUUAGACUACUUGGCCAAAUAAAAACUUAGUAUUUUCCCAAUUUUAGUUGUGGGCAAGUUUUAGCAGUUGUUGUAAGUCAAGCACACCCUACACAUGCAAGUCUAAGUGUAUAGCAGUGGAAAGUAAUGACGUGCACAUGUAAGUAGAGGGUAGGGAUAGGAAGAUCAGACGCAAAGGUUAACACGAUGACUUUUGGCGUGGUUCCGAUAGGUGGUGCUAUCGUACGCCCAUGUUGAUGGAGACUUCAACCCACGGAGGGUAACGGUCGCACGAGUCCACGCAUGGCUCAACCCUGGAGGGUCCACGGAUAAUAAACCUUGUCUAUUCCAUCAUGACUUACGUCCACGAAGGACUAGCCUUACUCGGGGUAGAUCUUCAUGAAGUAGGCGAUCUCCUUGCCCUUGCAAACUUCUUGGUUCAACUCCACAACAUGAAGUAGGAGGCUCCCAAGCGACACCUAACCAAUCUAGGAGGCACCACCCCCCAAAAGGUAAUAGAAGCGGUAGAAUUAUGAACUCCUUGCUCUUGUGCUUCAAAACAUAGUCUCCUCAACACUCAAUCAUUCUCUCACGGAUUUGGCUUGGGUAGAAGAUAUUGAUUGGGUGGAAAGCAACUUCGGGAGGCUAGAGAUCAAGUUUCAAAUGGAUGGAUUGGAAUUUCUUGAUCUCAACACUUGAGUAGGUGGCUCUCUCUCAGGAAAAUGAAUAUGGAAAGUGUUUGUGUGUUAUAAGUGCUUCCUAUGUGAAUGAGAGGUGGUGGAUGAGUAUAUAUAGGCACCUCCAAAAAUCCAACCGUUACAACAUUAUUUCCCAACUCGGUGAAACCAAAGUGAAUUUCGGUGGCACCAUUUUGCAAAAAAUGUGGCAAGUUUCGAAUUCUCGGUGAGACUGAUAUAGGAAUCUCGAUGGUGUUGAUAUGGUGACCUAGGAAAGUUUCCAAACUCAAUAAGACCGAUUCCAAGACUCUGAAUUUUCAAUUCUUGAAAACAACAUACCAGAAACUUGGUCACUCGUUUCGGUGGCACCAAAUGGAAUGUUGGUAUUACCGAGAUUGUAGGGUUUGGCAGAGGUUUGGUCUAGUGGUGGUUUGGCAGAGGGUAGGGACGAAUGGAAAAUCUUGGUGGCACCGAUUUUUAUGGUUAGGCUUUGGACAAAGAACUUUGUGGGAUAAUGGUGAGUAUUUUUGGUGGCUAUCUCUAAGCACUUGAGCAACCAAUUCAUCAUAGAUACCUGUCACGCCCAAGAUGUGACCCUAUCCUCAAUUUGGCUCGAAGGCCUCGUCAGGGAUAGAAGCGCAUCUCGUCGUGUCGCAAGAAUGGAUAUGGUUACAAGUACAUGUACUGAAAAGAAGAGAUAUAUAAAUAGAGUUGGCUUACACUCGCCACAAGCUACAUCAGAGUCACAGCAGUACAGUACAUAAUCAUCAUGAAGAAUAGCAGGGUCCGACUACGAACGAAAACAAACGAGAAAAGAAGAACGACGUCCAUCCUUGCUAUCCCAGGCUGCCGGCCUGGAACCCAUCCUAGAUCGAUGAAGAAGAAGAAGAAGCAACUCCAAAUGAACAAUCAACGUGCUCGCGUCAAGUAACCUUUACUUGUACCUGCAACUGGUGUUGUAGUAAUCUGUGAGCCACAGGGGACUCAGCAAUCUCAUUUCCAAAAGUAUCAAGACUAGCAAAGCUUAAUGGGUGAGAUAUGGUUAAGUGGUGAGGUUGCAGCAGAGGCUAAGCAUAUAUAUGGUGGCUAACUUACGAGUACAAGAAAUAAGAGGGGGAUGAUCUACACAUAACGGACGCGAACUACUGAUGAUCAAAUGAAUGAUCCUGAACACCUACCUACGUCAGACAUAACCCCACCGUGUCCUUGAUCGGAGAAGGAACUCACGAAAGAGACAGUCACGGUUACGCACACAGUUGGCAUGUUUUAAUUAAGUUAACUUCAAGUUAACUAGAACCAGGGUUAAACAAAGUUUCCACGUUGCCACAUAACCGCGGGCACGGCUUUCCGAAAAGAUUUAACCCUGCAGGGGUGCUCCAACUAGUCCAUCACAAAUUACCACAAGCCGCAUAGAAAUCCUCAAUCACGAAGCUCGCGAUCUCGUCGGAUUUCCUAGUGGAAAACCUCAACUCUGAGAUUACCCAAAGCAUCACCAGAAUCCCGAUGCACAAGAUAUUUCAUCAAAGGUAAAACUAAUCCAGCAAGGCCACCCGACGUGUCGGCGAUCCCGAUAGGAGUCGCGUACCUCGUUCUCACGACACGACGGAUAAGCGACGCGUAUGGUGGCCUGAUAGAAAUCACCCUAGUUGCCCUGGGUUGGCCCCGCACAGUGCUCUGGGUUGGGCCAACACUCAUGAGGAGCACUGGCCCGGGGGUUGAUUAAAUUUCCUCGGGUUAAUUACUCCCUAUGCAGUUCAUUAGUUAUUAAGCAAAUGUAGUACCAAAGUUGGGCCUUGCCAGACCAGCUUUAAUCUAAAACGAAUUAUCAAGGGGGUCCUCAUAACAACCCUGAUCGUGUUAGGAACGCUCAUUUAUGGAACAUAACACCGGUAGCCGAAACUAAGGGGGCAAAGGUGAAACAAAACACCAGGCUAGAAAAGGGCCGAGCCUUCCACCUUUUACCAAGUAUAUAGGUGCAUUAAGUUAAAUAGCAUUAAAAUAUGGUGAUAUGACAAGGAACCCAUGUUAUCACAUGGAAGCAACUACACCUGCAACUAGCAACGCUAACAACAGGGUUAAGCAAGCAGUAACAUAGCCAAUCAGUGGUUUGCUAGGUCGAACAGGUUGAAGGUUAUCAUGGCAUGGUUGAGAGGCUGAUAUUUAACAUGUGGUAGGCAAUGAGACAUAAUUGAUAGAAGCGGUAAAACUAGCAUGGCAAUGAUAGUAAUGGUAUCUGGGGAAAUGGUCAUCUUGCCUGAGAUCCCGCUUGGAAGAAGAACAACUCCGAGAAGUCGGCGAACCAACGUAGUCGAACGGGUCCUCACAUUCCGACACGCUUGCGGAACUCUAUCGAGACGGAACAAACCGGAAACAACAUCAACACAGAUAUUCACCACACGAUGCACAACAUGAUGCACAACCUACUAUAAUGCAUGAUCAGUUCAAAAUGCAAGGGAUGGCAUGGCAAUUCACCUCACGCAAACUCUACACAUUAAGUGAAGCUCGAUAUGCAACGGGUUGCAUAUCGACGAAACUCCACGAUUAAUUAUUUAAUUCACUCCCGUUUAUUUACACGGCAAUAUUUCAUUGUUGUUAACAUGGCAAGGGUGUAGCGAUCAUUCUACCUGUCAUACUAAUCGGUUAACACGCGAAACAUAGAACGGAGCUACGGCACUAGAGGCAUGCAACACAUGAUAUAUGCCAUGAAUGUGUCAUGCAUGCAAGUUACAACAACACGGCAAGAAGGGAAAGAAGCAUAUGCCGCCAUGGCGAGCGAGAGGGAACCAUGGCGGCAAAAUGGAGACGAAGCCACGGCAACGUCCCUAUCCCAAUAUCUCGUCGGGAUAUCGUGCCAACGUAUAGGAAGCGCGUGCGGGAACGACAAAUAAAGAAUGGGGUGAUCCCGUUUAUCGGGUUCCCAUGUGUCGAGGCACAACAAAAGAGGAACACAACGUGCAACGGCCAACAUACGACGCAAACAUACAUUCAUCUCGUACAUCACAUGAAUACGGUUCUCGGCCACGUUCCAUCGGUAUACCUUCGAAGCGUGCAUAUCGGAGCAGAUCGGUUCGUAGCGGACGUCGUGGAAGUCGAGGUCAUCGUGGAAGUCGAGGUACUCGGUCUUGUCGACGGUAGACGUUCGCUUGGCGUCGUGGUUCACGGUCUUCGGCGUCGGGAGUCGAACUCGGUUCCGGGGGUCGUCGAGGACGUCGUGGUGCUCGUGAAUCUUGUCGAUGACCCACAACAGCGGGGAUGGCAGGCGACACAACAGUAUCAGGUAGCAACAAUGGCGGAAGCAACUAACAACAAGCUAUGGUGGAAUAGCAACAGCAACAACUAAGCAUCUAGCAGCAUCAACUAAGAAGCAGCUAGCACAACAACAAGGCAAGCAGCAAGCAUCUACCUCAGACUAUGCUAGCAGCAACAGCUAACAUCACCAGCAGCAAAACGGUAAGCAGGCUACGACAGCAUGCCGACAGCAGCAACAACAGCCACGCACAGCGACGGCUCCAACAGGCAACAGCUCGGCAGUAGCUACAGCAAGCAGUAGCCGGCUAGCAACAGCAUCACAGCCAACAGCAAAUCGGGCAAGCAAGCAAGCUAGCAUGCAGCAGCAAGAGCAACAGCUAUAGCAACUACAGCACUAAGCAACAGCAAACGCAGCUAUGCAUCUACAGGCAAGCAGCAACUAGCUCGGCAGCAUCAGGCAAGCUACAAAGCAACAGCAAGGCGAUGAGGAGCAACCUAGCAACUACAAGCCGACAGCAACACAUGGCAGGCAAGCAGCUAUCGUGACAGCAACAGCACUCGCAGCAUCAGGCAGCAGCAAGCUGCACAGGCAAGCUGCUAGCAUAAACAGGGGGAUCAGCAUGCAUCUCAGCUUCAUGGGGAGGUCGGGCACCUGGCAGGCAGCCCGGCUCUACAAAGAGGAGGAGGCCGGUCGAGGGCGAGGCCAUGGCAAACAGGGAGGCCACGGCGGCUGCUGAGGCCGGCCGACGGCGAGGCUCCCGCGGGAGACGAUGGCUGCGGCGAGCANNNNNNNNNNNNNNNNNNNNNNNNNNNNNNNNNNNNNNNNNNNNNNNNNNNNNNNNNNNNNNNNNNNNNNNNNNNNNNNNNNNNNNNNNNNNNNNNNNNNNNNNNNNNNNNNNNNNNNNNNNNNNNNNNNNNNNNNNNNNNNNNNNNNNNNNNNNNNNNNNNNNNNNNNNNNNNNNNNNNNNNNNNNNNNNNNNNNNNNNNNNNNNNNNNNNNNNNNNNNNNNNNNNNNNNNNNNNNNNNNNNNNNNNNNNNNNNNNNNNNNNNNNNNNNNNNNNNNNNNNNNNNNNNNNNNNNNNNNNNNNNNNNNNNNNNNNNNNNNNNNNNNNNNNNNNNNNNNNNNNNNNNNNNNNNNNNNNNNNNNNNNNNNNNNNNNNNNNNNNNNNNNNNNNNNNNNNNNNNNNNNNNNNNNNNNNNNNNNNNNNNNNNNNNNNNNNNNNNNNNNNNNNNNNNNNNNNNNNNNNNNNNNNNNNNNNNNNNNNNNNNNNNNNNNNNNNNNNNNNNNNNNNNNNNNNNNNNNNNNNNNNNNNNNNNNNNNNNNNNNNNNNNNNNNNNNNNNNNNNNNNNNNNNNNNNNNNNNNNNNNNNNNNNNNNNNNNNNNNNNNNNNNNNNNNNNNNNNNNNNNNNNNNNNNNNNNNNNNNNNNNNNNNNNNNNNNNNNNNNNNNNNNNNNNNNNNNNNNNNNNNNNNNNNNNNNNNNNNNNNNNNNNNNNNNNNNNNNNNNNNNNNNNNNNNNNNNNNNNNNNNNNNNNNNNNNNNNNNNNNNNNNNNNNNNNNNNNNNNNNNNNNNNNNNNNNNNNNNNNNNNNNNNNNNNNNNNNNNNNNNNNNNNNNNNNNNNNNNNNNNNNNNNNNNNNNNNNNNNNNNNNNNNNNNNNNNNNNNNNNNNNNNNNNNNNNNNNNNNNNNNNNNNNNNNNNNNNNNNNNNNNNNNNNNNNNNNNNNNNNNNNNNNNNNNNNNNNNNNNNNNNNNNNNNNNNNNNNNNNNNNNNNNNNNNNNNNNNNNNNNNNNNNNNNNNNNNNNNNNNNNNNNNNNNNNNNNNNNNNNNNNNNNNNNNNNNNNNNNNNNNNNNNNNNNNNNNNNNNNNNNNNNNNNNNNNNNNNNNNNNNNNNNNNNNNNNNNNNNNNNNNNNNNNNNNNNNNNNNNNNNNNNNNNNNNNNNNNNNNNNNNNNNNNNNNNNNNNNNNNNNNNNNNNNNNNNNNNNNNNNNNNNNNNNNNNNNNNNNNNNNNNNNNNNNNNNNNNNNNNNNNNNNNNNNNNNNNNNNNNNNNNNNNNNNNNNNNNNNNNNNNNNNNNNNNNNNNNNNNNNNNNNNNNNNNNNNNNNNNNNNNNNNNNNNNNNNNNNNNNNNNNNNNNNNNNNNNNNNNNNNNNNNNNNNNNNNNNNNNNNNNNNNNNNNNNNNNNNNNNNNNNNNNNNNNNNNNNNNNNNNNNNNNNNNNNNNNNNNNNNNNNNNNNNNNNNNNNNNNNNNNNNNNNNNNNNNNNNNNNNNNNNNNNNNNNNNNNNNNNNNNNNNNNNNNNNNNNNNNNNNNNNNNNNNNNNNNNNNNNNNNNNNNNNNNNNNNNNNNNNNNNNNNNNNNNNNNNNNNNNNNNNNNNNNNNNNNNNNNNNNNNNNNNNNNNNNNNNNNNNNNNNNNNNNNNNNNNNNNNNNNNNNNNNNNNNNNNNNNNNNNNNNNNNNNNNNNNNNNNNNNNNNNNNNNNNNNNNNNNNNNNNNNNNNNNNNNNNNNNNNNNNNNNNNNNNNNNNNNNNNNNNNNNNNNNNNNNNNNNNNNNNNNNNNNNNNNNNNNNNNNNNNNNNNNNNNNNNNNNNNNNNNNNNNNNNNNNNNNNNNNNNNNNNNNNNNNNNNNNNNNNNNNNNNNNNNNNNNNNNNNNNNNNNNNNNNNNNNNNNNNNNNNNNNNNNNNNNNNNNNNNNNNNNNNNNNNNNNNNNNNNNNNNNNNNNNNNNNNNNNNNNNNNNNNNNNNNNNNNNNNNNNNNNNNNNNNNNNNNNNNNNNNNNNNNNNNNNNNNNNNNNNNNNNNNNNNNNNNUGUUGUACUUCCCUUGCUAUCUUGUUGUGAUGAAUUGAAUCUUUCCCUUUGAGAUUUUGUUAUGUUGAAUUGAAUAUUGGAUUUGAGAUCACUUGAUGUAUGUAUUGAAUGUGGAUACCCGUGGUGACAAUGGGGUCUUCUAUUGAUUCACUUGAUAUAUGUUCUGGUACUCAACUUGCGGAUUCCCGAGGUGACAAUGGUUAAUCUAUGCAUAUGGGUUGAUACAGGUUCAUGUUCGACUUUCUCCGAUAGAAAUCUUGGCGUACUCUUUGAAGUUCUUUGUGUUGGAUGGAAUAUUAUGAAUCUAAAAUUGUUUGAUGCAUUUCGAAUAAUUGACCCACGGAUACUUGAGGUGACAUUGGAGUAUGUAUGUGGCAUUAGGGUUGAUUGAUGUGUAUCAUAUGUGUUAUUCUAGUACAAACUCUAGGGAUGUUUGUGACACCUAUAGGAAUAUCUCUAUAGAUUGACCAAAAAAAUAACGUUGUGGUGGUUCUACUGCCUACAACAAUUUCACCUUAUGUUCUCCUCUACUUAUGAACUUCUGAGUGAUUCUUUGUUGCACGUUAAGGGAACAUCAUAUGAUUCUAUUAUGUUAGCAUUGUUGAGAGAUUGCACUAGUGAAAGUAUGAACCCUAGGCCUUAUUUCUACGCAUUGAAAUACCAUUUAUGCUCACUUUUAUUACUUGUUACCUUGCGGUUUUUAUAUUUUCAUAUUACAAAAAUCUAUUUCUACUAUCCAUAUUGCACUUGUAUCACUAUCUCUUCGCCGAAAUAGUGCACCAAUACAAUUUACCAUUGUAUCGGGUGUGUUAGGGACCCAAGAUAUUUCUUGUAUUUGAUUGCAGGGUUGUUUGAGAGAGACCAUCUUAAUCCUACAACUCCCACAGAUUGAUAAACCUUAGAUCAUCCACUUGAGGGGAAUUUGUUGGUGUCCUACAAAACUCUGCACUUGUAGGCCCAACAACAUCUACAGGAAUAAAGUUGCGUAGUAUAUGUCAAUCUCUUUUCUAGCAUCGUUGCCGGGGAUGUGAGUGCUUGAAGGUAUAUCUUUAGAUCUUGCAAUUGAAUCUUUUAAUUUCUUGUUUAUCACUAGUUUGGUUUAUAAAAGAGAAUUACAAAAAAAAUUAAAUUGAGGUGGCCUCAAAUGCUUCAUCUUUAUAAUGUCUUUCGUGAAAAUGAUGGUUCAUAAAAUUGUGCCAAAGUUUUAGAAGAAGAAUUCAAUAAAAUGUUUGGCAUUAAAUCCUUGAAUGAUGAGCAUGAUAUCAAUGUUGUUAGAAAGAAUUCUAUGAAUAUCCAUGAUGCUAAUGAUAUGCAAAGCCACAAGCUUGGGGAUGCUAUGUUUGAUGAAGAUGAUAUUUUUAGUCCCCCGAGUUUUGAUGAACAAAUUUAUUAUGAUGAUGGAAUGCCUGCUAUUUAUGAUGAUUAUGGUGAUGACAUGUAUACUAUAAAUAGUGAUAGUAACCAUGAAAAUUUUCAUGAUAAUUUUAAUGUUCAAUUUGGUUAUGUCAAUCAAGUGUCUCGUGAUAGUUAUUUUGUUUUGUUUGCUCCCACUACUAUGAAUGAGAAGAAAAUUGCUUAUGUGGAGAGUAAUGAAAAUUCUAUGCUUAUGGAUCAUGAAAAGAAUGAUUUAUCUAAUAGUUAUAUUUUUGAAUUCCUUCUUGAUGCUACUGAAAAUUAUUAUGAGAGAGGAAGAUAUGCUUAUAGAUAUUCCAAUAAUAUCAAGUUUCCUCUCUAUGUGUUCAAGAUUUUGAAGUUAUGCUUGUUUUGCCUACCUAUGCAAGUUGAUUAUUGCUACAAUAAAUUGUUUGCUUGAAAAAUCCCUAUGCAUAGGAAGUGGGUUAGACUUAAAUGAGCUUGCCAUGUGAUUCAUGAUGCGCUCUUGCAUAUUUCAAUUACUAUUCUUAUGUGAGCAUCAUUGAAAUCAUCAUGCUUGGCUAAAAGGCACUAAAGGAAAUCGCUUGUUGGGAGACAACCCAAUACUUUUACUUUUUGUUUUUGUGUGUUCACAUGAAUAAUCUACUAUAGUAAUCAUGUUUUGUGUCUUUUAUCUCAAUAAUGUGCCAAGUAAAGCCUUUGGGAUAGUGUGGGUACUUGUUGAUUUGAUUCUAUGCAAAAAUAGAAACUUAUGAGUCCGGUAUGAAUUAUGUGAUUUUACUAGAGCGUCAACAAAUUAUGAAAUUUGUACACAGUUUGCUAUGAAAAUUCUCUGCCUUUUCCUAAUUUUUCAUAAUUUUGCGAGAUAGGGAAGUGUGGUUUAAGUUCAUAUCUUUACAAACUGUUCUUUUUUGGACAGAUUCUAUUUUGCAUGCAUAGUUUGCUUGUUUUAAUGUUUCCCUAGAUUAUAUUUAGUAAUAUAAAUUUUGGGAAUGAUAUAAUAUAGUAGAUAUUAUGUGAUAACAAUUAUGAAUAUUGUCUUGACAGUACCUAAGUGAAUGAUCUAUCUUUAUUACACUAACCCAUCUCAUGAAGUUUCGUUAAGGUUUGUGUGGUUGAAGUUUUCAAGUUUUGGGUGACAUACCGAUAUGAGGAGAAUAAGGAGUAGCAAUAACCUAAGAUUGUACAUUGGCAAGGAUCUUUCAAGGUAAUAUACAAGGAAGACUCAAUCAUCUAAGCUUGGGGAUGCCCGAGAAGGCAUCCCUUCUUUCGUCUUCAACACUACCGGUAUAUCUUACUUGGAGACAUAUUUUCAUUUGUCACAUGAUAUGUGUUUUGCUUCGAGAAUCAUUGUAUUUUGUUAGUAUCCCCCCCCCCCCCCCCCUGUUAUUUAUAAUCAUGUUUUUCAAUAAAAAAUUCCAAGAAUUGCCUUUAGAAUGCUUGAAUUGCAUAUGUGAUGUGUGUUGUACAAAAACAUAAACUUUUGUUGUAGUGUUUGAAUUUAUUUAUUUACAAAACAAGGAAAUUUUAUGAAAUUUUUACAUGAUACUGUCAUACAAAUUAUUUAUCAGUAACUAAAUUUCAUAAUUUUUUUAAGAUACAUAAGUUCACUUUUUAAAUAGAUUGCUACAGAAUGUUCUGUUUGGAUAGAUUGUUGUCAUAAUUUUGUUAUCUACUUACCCUAGAGUUUUCAUGGCUUAUAUUUGUAGAUAUAAAUUGUGAAAAUGAUAGUAUACAAUACCUCAUGUUUGAAAAUUAUUAUGACAAUUGUCUUGGCAUCACCUGAAGUGUUGAUUUAUUCUUCUGUGUACUAACCUAUCUCACGAUUUCUUUUCGAGUUUUGUGUGGAUGAAGUUCUUGAGACUUAGAUGAAACCGGGAUAUGAGAGGAUUGAAUGAGAUACAAAAUAUCAAGCUUGUGGAUGCCUGUAAUGACCAAGAUGCGGUCCUUUCCGAUCUGGGGGUCGAGGCCCCCGAAUAGGAAAGAAGCGCAUCUAAGCGUUUCGCAAGCAAGUAACAUAGCACAAAUAAUAAUAAAAGUAGACAAUUCGGGAUUCGACUGUCUUCUUAUUAAUAACUCAGAGUACAACACAGAUACAAUCAAGGUAGUUCCGCUACGGACUACAAAACAUGGAAAAUGCUAUGCUACCCUGCUCCAGGCCAACGAUCACGACCACGCCUCAGUCCUCUGGAUAGUUCACGUAGAGGCGGUCUGUCUCCUCGUCGUACUGCCACGCCAGCUGGGUGACGUCGGGAUCAUCUGUCUCUGGGGUACCUGUACCUGCUGGGAGUUUCGGAGGAAUCCGUGAGCCACGGGGACUCAGCAAUCUAAGACCUUGGUGCCAGAACUAGUCAUGUUAUUAGGUAGGGUAAGGAUGAAGUGUAUCUGGCUGCAGCAACCUAUGCUUGAUUAAGUGGCUAACUUACGCAAAGUAGAAGUAAAGGUGGUCUACACUAGCGGUCGGAUUUACUUGAUCAGUAAGUGAUCCUGAACACCUACCUAGGGCAUUCAUAACCCCACCGUGUUCCCGAUCGAAGAGAGAUCUUUGAAGGGACAGUCACGGUUACGCACACAGUUGGCAGUUUUUAUUUGUUUAUGUUUAAGUUCUCUAAUACCGGAUGUUAACAAAAUAUUCCAAGUUGCCACAUAACCGCGGGCACGGCUUUCCGAAAGAUUAAACCCUGCAGGGGUGCUCCAACUAGUCCAUCACAAACGAACACAGGCCGCAAAGGCAUCCUCUAUCACGAAACUCGUGAUCUCGUCGGAUUCCUUAGAGGAAAACCUCAACUCUAGGGGAAACCAAAGCUUCACUGCGAUUCCUAUACGCAAGAUAUACCGCUAAGGUAAGGCAAGGCUAGCAGGACCUCCCGACGUGUCGACGACCCUCAUAAGAGCCGCGUAUCUCAGUCUCAGGACACGACGGAUGAGCGACGCGUACAGUGGCCUGAUAGAAAUCUCUCAAGUUGCCCUGAGUUGGCCCCGCACAUGCUCUAAUUUGGACCAACACUCAUGAGGAGCACUGGCCUGGGUUGUUGAUUAAAAUCCUCGGGGUAGCUAUUCCCUAUGCAGAUUAUUAUUAAGUUAUUAGCAAAUUAACACCAAUGUUGGGUCCUGCCGGACAAGCCUUAGCACUACGCGAUUUAUCAAGGGGGUCCCCAUAACAACCCCGAACGUGUUAGGAGCGAUCAUUAUGGAAUCAAACACCGGUAACCGGUAACUAAGGCGGCAAUAAUGGGACAAAGCACCCGGCGAAAGGCUAGGCCUCCCGUCAUUUACCAAGUAUAUAUAGGUGCAUUAAUUAAGUAACAGAAUUUAGAAUAAUGAUAUCAAGGCUCAUGUUAUUACAUGAGUCAAAGCACCUGCAUCUAGCAACGCUAACAUUAGUAGCUGAGCAAGCCUACUUAGCCAUGCAAGUUUGCUAGGAAGGAGAAAGGUGUUGGGGCUCAUGGCAUAUGAAGAGGCAAUUUAAUUUCAGUGGUAGGCAGCGAGCAAUAAGACAUGGAAACUAAAACUAGCAUAACAAGUCUAGAGAUGGAAUCAAGGUCAUAUCAUCUUGCCUGUGAUAUCCUCAGCUUGGAAUGGUUCUGGAUCGUCCUGCACGUACUCUCCUGACUCCACGUAUUCGUUCUCCGAUCCCGGUGCUACCCAACAUAAGAAUAACAGCCAAUGAACAGCAGCACCACAAUAUGCAACAAUCACAUGAUGCAUGAGAUGAAAUUUGAGCAUGCACCACUAUUUCUAUCACUAGCACAAGCAAAAUAAACUACUGCAAGUUUCUGGACAGAACUGUACACUAAGAUAUUUUUACAUGCAUGAGAAUGACAUGAGCAGAUGCGGCUCGUGAAAACGGUGCAAAACUAUAUAAAGAACAUUGCAAACGGAGCUACGGAUCAACGGGAAUCAACGGAACAAGAUAUGAAGCUCUACGUGGAAGAUUCAACACCACACUCACAAUUGGCACAAAUCUGGUAUUCCCAGGUUGCCAAGACAUGUAACAACCCAACAUGAAUGGAUUGGAGCAAGAAAUAACACCACAACAACAAUUAAGCACACACUUUGAUCAAAAUGACAAAACUACAUAAUCUGCCAUAAACUGCAUCUUAGCUAUUUGGGAGCUGCAUCCAACAUAGCUACAGGUCUUCAAACAUGACAGUUUAUAUAUGUGCCUGUUGCCAACCAAGAACACUACAAGCACCAGCAAGAAUCACAGCAAAAGGAAUUAAACUCUAGAAGAUACAAGGCCACAAACUUUCCCAAAACCAUCAGAUCUCAGGGACUUGGUGAAAAUUCCUGCACCUGAGUUUCUGUCUCUGUUCUGAAGCUUUUUGACAGCAAACAAAACACAAUCUACUGGACUCCAAAUGAUUUGAAAUUUGACAGGGAGCUACACAAACAUACCAGGUUCAAAAUGCUAGCACUGAAAUAAGGCUAGUUCUCAACAGAAUGACCAGCACAUCCUCGUCUAUAGGAGAAGAAAAUGUUUCCAGCAUCCCAGACUUAGUGAAAUUUCAGAGUUCAAUAAUCUGUAAUUUUUCAGCCACAUGCCCACUUUGUCUAGGCAUAUUUUCACACACAUUACACCAAGUGAUAAUUGACACCACUAUAGUGUAGAGCAAAACCCCUACUACUAUCACACAAAAACUCAUGCCCUUGGGCUCCACCUAUUCCAUGGAAUCAAAGAUCAAACUUGCUACAAAUCUGAAUAUGCAACUCCAUAAAGUACCCUUCUAAGACGACAACUACAAAGGUAGGGUUCAUGUGCACAAUGACAAAGUGACAUGGGGGUUUGAACCCCAUGUUUGUGUCAUGCACAUCAACAACACCAACACACCUACCAAACUAUCCCCACACACAAACACCAUGCCCUCUCACAUAUAGACAUGUGAAGGUGCAUAAUUUUGCAAAGGUGGGGAAGUUCCACACACACACACAUACUCCACAUCAUUCACCACAACAUCAACUCCUAAAACCAAGAACAACAUGAGGGGGAUAACUACUAAGCAAGUAACUUGGAAGCAUCACCUCUCAAGCAUCUUUAGUAGGAACCACAAGUGGUGUGCACUCACAACAAACACAUCUCCAUGCCUACACUACCAACUUCACUUACAACCCCUAUGCACCCAUGCCUAUUUGCAAUCACACCAUCAACAUAAACUAACAAGACCACAUGCACACAUAUAUCACUUAAGCCACCAACACCAACUAUCACUAUUCUAGUGUGUGCAAACACACAAACAACACACUCUGCACCCACCUACACUAGCAGGAAAAAAAUACAUAGGACACCUUGCUGUCUAUGCAUAAGAAAGAGGAAGAACAAAAAAAAUAAAAGGACAGCAAAAAAAAAGAAAUAUGCAUCAGCGCUCUUGGGAAUCGAACCUAGUACCCUCUGGUGCAACAACCUACCCUUACCACUCUGCUACUGCCAUAUAGUCGACAGAACAGAGGGAAACAGGCGAGUUAAGGCUGCCUGCUGGAGCCACCACUAUCAAUUCGAUGGGAAAAUACUGCAAAAGGGGAGCCACCACUAUCAGUUCGAUGGGAAAAAUACUGCAAAAGGGGGGGUGCGCCGAAUGGGACUCGAACCCUGCACCUGCCGGCAAACAAACAGAGACAACACCACUGCGCUAUGAGACGGCUACUGGCAGAAGGGGGGUAUUCUAGGAAUACCUCCACAUCCUCUCGAUUCCUGCUCUGCACCUGCGCGCCAGGGACGCGCCGGCGACAGAGAGGGGCACCAGCUUCUCUACUGCUGCUGCGCGACGAGAAGAUCCAAACGCUAAGCUGCUGCACCACGAGGAGGGCGACUUCCUACUGCUACUGCUACUGCAUGCACCACUAUCGUCCUGCACGUACACUUGCUGCAACCGCACGGCAUGUCUUCCUGCAACCGGCUCGUCGGAACCAACGAGGGAGAAGGAAGAGAGGGCCGGCUCACCUCGGGGGAAGAAGGAGGUGCCGUUCGGUGGAGGAGGCCGGCCGGAGAGAAGGGAGGCGCGCGGGAGAAGGCCCUGCUGCUGCCUGAUGUCGACGGAGGUAGACGGGGUAGAUCACCGGAGCCGGCUUCUUGACGUGCUCCUGGCCGACGUGGUAGACGACCCUCGACCUCACCGAGGGCGAAAAUGGGGCGCGGGCACCAUCCCCGUGCCCCUGGACAUGGCCGCCAGCGCUGCUCAACGGAGUAGACGGGGUAGACGCGGCGGCCGAACUCUCUCUCUCUCUGCUCCUACCCUACAGAGAGCUUACCAGGGAGAGGGAAGAGGAAAGGAGGGAGGUGGCGGUGCUGGGGAGAAGGAGAGGGAACCCUAGGGGAGGAGGAGGGUUCCAUCCACCUUAUAUCACCUCGGAGGAGACGCUGGAGCCACAGGAUCAAGGGGAGGCGAUCGGGAGGUGGAGCUGCGUUCGUACAGAGGUGACGUCGCCAGGAGGAAGACGACGUCUCUUGGGCUGUUUUUGCUGCUCGAAGGGGUAUGGGCCUAGGAGGAGAUACUGGGCCUCUCUGGUUGGGAGGGAGCCCACCAGAGAAGGAAAAAAAGAAAACAGCCCUGGAGAUUAUUUCUAAUUAGGUAAAAAAACAGAGAAAGAAAAGAAACCCUCAGGACUACUGCUGAUUAUAAAAUCAAAACAAAAAUGUCCCUGGGCCUAAAAAUACCUAAGCUUUUAAAAUAAAUGCAAAAGUAAUUUUAUGGGGCAUUUAAAUAAAUACAAAACAGCCAUUAAUUAUACUGUUUUGUGAUUUAUAUACACCCUCAAGACCAAAAUAAAACUCCACAUCAUCACAUCAUCAUCCCCACAAUAACCUCUAAAUACAAGACAUUUUAAAACAGCUCUUGUGAAGAUGGAAUUUUGAACAUGAGAUAAUAGAAGAGGAAAAGGGUUUGAAAUUGCAAUAAGCUUUGAAAAUCCCAAGCAACCACUCCUACACUCCACACACCAUCAUCACAUGACAUCACACAUGAAAUCACAAGGUAGCUAACCACAAGAUCACCACCUACAUUUAUUACUAACACCACAAGAAAUCAUAGUGCAACAACUCAAGGUAAGGGCAUGCAAUGAUAUGCUAUGCAUGCAUGCAUGAGAAGGAAAUAGAAGGAACACACAUGAAAUCAUGGUAUCAACUUAAACAUCAUAAUCUCUGACAAGGUGGUCCCACAUGAAGUAGGUCCAAAAAGGGUAGGUUCUACACUUGGGGCAUUACAAACUCUCCCACACUAAAAAGAAGAUCUCGACUUCGAGAUCUAAGACUGAAAUAAAUCGGGAAAUUUGGAACGGAGGUGAUCCUCGCGUUCCCACGUAGCCUCUUUAUCGGAAUGGUGUGACCACUGCACUUUGAGAAACUUGACAGUCUUGUUACGGAUCUUGUGCUCAGUCGCCUCGAGAACCGCAACUGGAUGCUCACGAUAAGAAAGGUCAGGCUGGAGGUCGAUAUCUUGAAGAUGCACAGUGCGGUCGGGGGUCUUGAAACACCUCCGGAGCUGAGAAACAUGGAACACAUCAUGGACAUUUGCAAAGGUUGACGGAAGCUCGAGCUGGUAUGCAAGGUGUUAUUUAAAUGUUUAACUACUCAUUGGUCUUCACUUAUAUCUUUUUUAGAGUAGUUUUAUGUUCUCUCAUGUGCUUCACUUUUAUCAUAAGAGAAAAUGUUGAAUGAAUUUGAUGUCAUAAAUGUGAAAUUGCAUAUGCUUCUUAUGCUUGUCCCAUGGGGAGUAAUGAAUUCACAUAGAAGAAUUAUAAGCGGUAAAAUUUAUUGGAAGUUAGCACACAUAGCAUCGGUCACUUGAACAAUUCAUGAAAUAAUAUUGAAGGAACAGAGAUUUGAUAUAUAAAUAUACUAUCUUGGGCAUCUUCUAUGAUUGCAAGCCCCCAUUAAUUAUUUUCAAACUUGAUCAAGUAGUUGAUGUUGGACAAGGAAGACAGCAUAAUGGUUAUGUUUAUUUAUAUUCACAUAGAAGUUAUAUUGUCAUGGAUCCUCUAACAUGUGGUGUUUGCUUAGUAUCUUUUGCUAGCCAAAAAUUCAUACUAAGUAGAGAUACUACUAGGGCAUCCAAAAACCCUUAAACACAGUGUCUUGCCGUUAGAGUCUACCAUAUCUAUCUAUGGAUUGAAUAAGAUCUUUCAAGUAAGUUGUCAUCGAUGCAAAAAAGUAAUAAAAAUUGCUCCUAAAUAUGUAUUAUAUUUUAUUGGAAGGGAAAAUAAGCUUUGUACGAACUUGUGAUGGUGAAGAAAUAAAAGUGACGAACUGCAUAAUAAAGGUUGCUAUCACAAGGGGCAAUAUAAAGUGACGUUCCAUUCCAUUAAGAGUUUGCACAUCCAAAGAUAAAAUGCGCAUGUCAACAUUUGCUUCCCUCUGCGAAGUGCCUAUCUUUUACCUUUUUGUAUUUACUUUUAUGCAAGAGUCAAUAAUGUUCAUCCCUAUUCCAAUCUAUUAACUCUUUAGUUGACAAGCACCAUGUGCUCGGUAAAGAUCCACGCACAUAUAUCCAGUUGAAUAUAGGUGAUCAUGUUUCAUUAUUGUUGACAUUAGCCCUGAGAUAAAUAAGUUGGGAGGUGAAACAUUAAGCCCCUAUAUUCCUAUGUGUUUGACUGAAACUAUUUGUUCUAAAAAUAUGCUUUGAGUGUCAGCAAUCAUGGAAGACUAAAUGAUACUCCCUCCGUCCCAAAAUAAGUGACUCAAAUUUAUACUAACUUUGUACUAAAGUUAGUACAAAGUUAAGUCACUUAUUUUGGGAUGGAGGGAGCACUUGAGUAUGUGGAAUUUGCUAAAUGAAAGCACUUACAAAGACCCUUACUAGAAAUAAAAUGAAUUGUAAUUGUUUGCUGACUCAGAACAUAGUUUGUUGGUUUUCAGGAAAGUUUAUGGUCUACAAUUUAACAUGUGAAUAGCUUGUAACUUCAUCAUGAGAAUUUUUAUGAGAAAAUAGUUGUUGUUUAUGAUUCUAUAAGAAGUGAUUGAAAUUAUCAUUGAUCAAAUUUAUAUACUCCCUCCGUCCCAAAAUAAGUGUCUCAAGCUUAGUACAACUUUUUAAUAGAACUAGUACAAAGUUAAGACACUUAUUUUGGGACAGAGGGAGUAUUAUGCUAGCAUUCACACUUCAUAAAUUACUUCUUUUAUCAUUUACCUACUCAAGGACGAGUAGGAAUUAAGCUUGGGGAUGCUGAUACAUCUCCAACGUAUCGAUAAUUUAUGAAGUAUUCAUGCCAUAUUUACCUAUGUUUAAAAUACUUUUGUAUGGUUUUGAUGCACUUUAUAUGAUUUAAUUGGAACUAACCUGAACUAACCUGGCUCUGUUUGACAUGAUUCCAAAGCUAAAAAAUCCUAUAUAUACGUAAACCCUCGGAAAAAAAACCUAGAACUUCCGCUCCACCGCCGCAAGCCUUUGUACUCAAGAAAAGUGAACCGCAGCCCUCUUCCGGCACCCUGUCGGAGGGGGGCAAUCAUCACUGUAAUCCAUCUUAAUCAUCCCGAUGGUGUCCAUGAUGAAGAGGGAGUAAUUCACCCUCGCGACUCAGGGUAUGUACUAGUAGCUAUGUGUUUGAUCUCUCUCUCUCUCUCGUGUUCUUGAGAUGUCACGAUAUUGAUGUAUCACAUGCUUUGUUAAUAUAGUUGGAUCAUAUGGUGUUCUUCCCUUGCUAUCUUGUUGUGAUGAAUUGAAUCUUUCCCUUUGAUAUUUUGUUAUUUCAGAUUGAAUAUUAGCUUUGAGAUCACUUGAUAUAUGUCUUGCAUGUGUAAACCCAUGGUGACAAUGGGGUUUUCUACUGAAUCACUUGAUAUAUGUUUUGGUACUCAACUUGUGGAUUCGUGAGGUGCAAUGGGGUAAUCUAUGCAUAUGGGUUGAUACAUGUUCUUGUCCUUAUUUCUCCGAUAUAAAUCUUGGGGUACUAUUUGAAGUUAUUUGUGUUGGAUUGAAUAUGAUGAAUCUAAAAUAUUUUGAUGGAUGUUGAAUAAUUAACCCACGGAUACUUGAGGUGACAUUGUAGUAUAUAGGUGACAUUAGGGUUGAUUGAUGUGUAUCAUUAGUGUUGUUCUAGUACGAACUCUAGGGUUGUUGUGACACCUAUAGGAGUAGCUCAAUAGACUGAUCGGAAAGGAUAACUUUGAGGUGGUUCUACUACCUACAACAAUUUCAUCUUAUGUUCUCGGCUACUUAUGAACUUUGGAGUGAUUAUUUGUUGCAUGUUGAGGGAUUAUCAUAUGGUUCUAUUAUGUUAGCAUUGUUGAGAGAUCACACUAGUGAAAUUAUGAACCCUAUUCCUUAUUUCUAAUCAUUGCAAUACCAUUUAUGCUCGCUUUUAUUACUUGUUACCUUGCUAUUUUUAUAUUUUCAUAUUACAAAAACCUAUUCCUACUAUCGAUAUUGCACUUGUAUCACCAUCUCUUUGCUGAACUAGUGCACCUAUAAAAUUUACCAUUGUAUUGGGUGUGUUGGAGACAUAAGAGAUUUGUUCUAUUUGAUUGCAGGGUUGUUUGAGAGAGAUCAUCUUCAACCUACACCUCCCAUAGACUGAUAAACCUUAGGUCAUCCACUUGGGGGAAAUUUGUUGUUGUCCUACAAAACUUGGCUCUUGGAGGCCCAACAACGUCUACAAAAAUAAAGUUGCAUAGUACACAUUACCCUGGUAUGGUAGUAGUUCGUAAUGGUCGUCAUUGUAUCAAAAUUCAUGGAGUGACAUACAUGUUACCCACACCUAUGCCUAACCGUUUCUCCACCGAGAAUGGACAAUUGCAUUAUGUUGGACAGAAAGGAGAUGCAACUUUUGACAAAGAAGGGCCAGAACAUGAACAAGUAGAUGAAAAAAGAACUCGACGCCGACGAGGAGGAGGAGCAACCCCAACAAGACUCAUCACAUACACAGACGUCAACAACCUUUAGGGAUCUAUCUAUGAUAUGAGCAACCUCGCAUCAUCCGUGAGAUGCACGACCGCCAAUAUGAACAACCUUUAGGGAUCUAUCUAAUUGGAGGCAGGAGUGGACUCCUGACUAACAGCCGCAAUAAUCAAGACAGUUUGGGAUUGCAAGAGCCUAAGCUUGCGGGAGGUUAUCACCAGUUCUACAUCAAGAUAUGGCGGUAUUUGAAUAAAUUGUANUAAGUGUGUAAAUUCGCAACCAUGAAGGUAUGUCCUACGACCCCCGUAUUUUGCACUUGGAUACUUAGAGUAGAUGUAGUAGUUGCAUGUGUGAUAUGUCUAGAUGGGAGUAAGUCUUGAUAAGUUGAUACAAAGGUUUUGAUCUAGUAGCUGAAAUAAUUUGUAGCAUUUGUUUUCUUUAGUUUAGACAGCUAAGACUUGUCGUGGGACAUUUUUUGAGUGGAAUGCUAUUACCAAACUAUAAAUUUUCACAAGAGAAAGUCUUUCAAGACUUGGGAGUUGAGAAAUUGUAGUGGAAGUGAUGUUUGACAAGCUCAACCCCAUAUUGUUAAUUUAAUAGACUUUAUAGCACUUGUGGAUUAAAUUGUAUAGAGGAACUUAGUUGAAAGGUGGGUGAGAUUAUGCCAAAAAAUUGCAUCGUAUAUCAUAUGGUGUUACAUCCUCCAAUGGUGCCAUGGCCUUUCCUACUAUAUAUGCAUUUACGUGUGUAAAUGCGGCUUCGUACCCCUUCUUGAUGUUAUAUUGAGGACUCCACCAAGAGCGACAACUCUUUCGGCUAUGAGUUUGUUAUUGUACAUAGUGGCAACGCUACAAACGAAUAAUAAUAAGCUUUAUCUUGAAUGGGAUUGUAUGUGGUAAAUAAAGGGGACUGGUCAAAGAGCUCUAAAGAGACAUUAUUGCUAAAAGUCCAUAGUUCCCAAACAUUAAGCCAUAGCGAAAACCUAUGCAUGAUCACUUAUUUGGCAUAAUGUCCUUCAAGUGACGAUCAAAGUUCCAGCAAACAAUGAUUGAGACAAAGUGUUUAAGAGUCUAGAGGAGGAGACAAUUGUGGGUUUGGUCAUGAUCACUUGAGCAUCAUAUUUUACUACUCCCUCUGUACCUAACUAAUUGUAGUUGGGGAGAACUAGUAUAGUUCUCCCCAACUACAAUUAUUUAGGUACAUAGGGAGUACAUGCCUUCUACUCCCUAACUUAUGUUUUCAUGGCUCUAUCUUAAUAAUCUAUUUCCUGCAUUCGCGGAAAGCAAGUGUUGUCUAGAUUAAAUAAAAUGAAGUGUUAAAGUUGAUUUACAUAGUAGAUCAUGAACUUUGUGUUGAUUGUCUUUGACUCACUAACACUUUCACUAUAACCAUGCCACCGCUAUAUCUAUUAUAAUUUUCAAGUCAAGAAGUGGAGGGCUAUCUAGGCAUAUCGAUCGUAAGUGAACCAAAACCUUCUCGUUAUUUUGGUUUAAACAACUAAGUUCCUUAUGCUUCGGAUUUCUCUCUAUGUUGCUCGAGGAAAAUCAAGUUUAAGCUUCCUGGAGUUGAUGAGUGAUAUUUUUACACUCAUUUCAACCAUGUUUAAACCAUGGUAGUUCAUUAAAAGGGAGUUAUUUUCUCCGAUAUUGCCACUAAAGACUAAUGAAUGCAAAGGAUUCCACAAACCCUCUCUCUGAUAUUUGUCUACAGGAAAUGGGCUAAAAAGGAAAGAUAUCACGUGGAAGAGGGGGGGGGGGGGGGGAGGAAGGAAAUUUGAGAAGAGACAAGUCACGAGGAGGCGCCAGGAGGCAACCAGAGCCAAAGGAGGUGUUCCAUGCGAGAGCACGCGCUCGCGUGAGCGAUCGUUUGGCGUGGAAACUGAGGCUGGUCGUCCACAUGAACGCCUUUUAUACACAGGACCCAAUCAAAAUGCCAACAGAACAAACGGCAGAGGAGCGUUGAGCACAAUCAAAACCUCAUCACCGUCAUCUCCAUGGCUCCAUCCACAAACCAUAGCCUUUGCCAUCUUCAUCCCCAUAGCCAUGUCCACCACCAUAGUGCUCUCUCAUCUAGUUCAUACUUGUAAUCGUGCAUCGACAAGGCAUCUAUUGUAAUACAUAUUGCAAUCAAUCAAUCCCAAGAUGGGUUCUUCAAUGAUUUCUUCUCACGGUCUGAUCUUCAUGUGUGAGUAGUCCGGUAAGGUAUGGGGUGAGGCAUGAGCCUUGCAACCACAUGCAUUUUAUGAAGGGGUCAAUGGGAGUCUUUGACAUAACGUCUUGUAUGUGUAAAAUAAAAGUGUUUCAUGAAGUGUCUCUUGUCUGGUUCGCGAUCUUCAUCCCUGCACAUACCAAUGACCAUGAAGGUUGAGCACCCGUGAGGCUAGGAGCAAGGGGACCGUGAAGUGUUACGCCAAACACUGAUGAGAGUAAGGUUUAGUAAGGUACUAUGGAUCCUAACCUUGGGAAUUCAUGAGGUGUGGUCAUUAAACACCCAAUUCUUUUGUCUUAUAUUAUUGACUUAAUUAUCGGGGUGACCCUGCGAGAUGGAUAGGACCUUCGGUAGGACAACUGAUUCUUGAUGCAGGACUCGAGCCGAUCAAGAUGUAAUUUGUACGCAUCCCCCUCAUCGAUACGAAGCAAGCACCUCUUGAUGGGUGACUUCUCAAGCACAAACUAAUGUCCUUUUUUUAUCCCAACACCAAUACAUGGUUGUAAGCAUUAAGACCUCAUCCCCGUACCUUCUUUUUAUUUAUAAGUUUUGAAUCACAAUUUUCUUGAUGAUCUAGUCAAAAGCUAGAUUGAGACUUUGGCAAAAAGCUUGCUAGAGACCAUUGCUUCAAGGGAGUCUUCCUCUCGUGGGUUCAAUACCCAGGGUCACCUCUGGAGAAAUAGGUGUGGGAUACCCUUUCUUUUUCCAAUAUCGGAUCAACGAAAAGGAGAUAUCAACCAUCCUUUUCCUUGACCAUGGUUGUGCCAACAAUGAAUUUGCUCCCUGAAUUGAUUAUCCUCAAUUCUUGUCCAUAAUCCCAAAGCAUAUUAUAUCGUGUUACCUCAUCUCCAUCUAUGAUCUUUAGUGUUGCACUCUUAGCUCUGGCUAGUUUCAUUCUUACAGGAAAAAGCUUGAACUGCUUCUGACCUUUCCCUCCAAAUAUUCCCAAAUCCAUGCUCUUAUUGUCUCUAAAUUUUUUUAGGAAUAUUUUUUGUUAUAUAUUUAACUACAAGCACUUGGAGUCCCAUAUUUUUUGGCAAGUGUGUUCUCGAAUGUACUCUCUCGUAACAAUGCUUCAUUUCUAAGUUUGUAGAUCUUCACUCUGUUUUUUAGUGUGUAUGCAACUCUCCCAGUUCUCCAAAUACUAAACAUACUCCGAAGAUUGGGUUCUUGAUGUCCAUCUCUAGAUUAAAUGCCCUGAAUCUAUACCGCAACUUCUCAAGAUUUUCUUUGGAAAGGUUUAAGUCAUCAUCAUCUAAGGGAUCAUAUAAGGUUUAAGUCUCAUCCUACUAUUCAUUGUUGUCAUUCAGUGUGGAAACCACAUUCUGAGCAAACAGGUCAUCAUCUCCAUGUUCACAAUCACAAACAUUCUCAUAGAAAUCAGAGUCAUUUUCACUACCAUCUUUUCCUUCCCUUGUUCCUUCUUAUUCUCUUCCUCCUUUGGUUACUUGUACAUCAUGUGCAUCCCCUGCUUCCUCUGUCCCAUUUUUGCGUUUGCGACAUUGCCACCAAAAGUUCCCUCUCUAGACUGGCAAGACCUUGGCAUUUGUUUAGGUGUCAUAACCCAUCGAAGUGGUGGGCAUCCAUUUAGUAAGACAUCAUCAUACAAUGUCAUCAUCUUGUUCUUGUCAUCUAGUACAUCCAAUGUCUUGGCUUCUCUUCUUGCACUCACUAUUGCAGUUAUUGCUUCAGCAUUGUCCACACAAACUAGACCAUGUCCUUCCCUAGCAAGCACCAUUACACCUUGAUUAAGGUGUAUACAGGAUCAUAAUCCAGCCUAGACAAGUAGCACUUGACCAUCCCCAUUGACCAUGUCUCUGCAUGAGAGUAGUCAAACACAUCAUGUGUGCAUCCAAUCUAUGAUAUGUUUGUGUCUUGUUUUAUGAAAAAUCCAUUGUGCUCAAAAAUUGACCUUCUCCUCCAUUAGUCACUCCACGAAUUGGAAGAUGCACUUCUUAGUUCAUAGAAGAAUUUCUUCCAAGUGCAACAAGUACUAUAAAUCACUACAACAAAUGCCAAUUUAACUAGUGAACAUCUGAACUCACAAUGCACUGAACAUAUGGACAUGUACUACAACAUCUACUGUAAAACACUACAACAUAUGAACAUAUGAAAAUGCAUUGAACACUUUUUCAAACGUAUGAGCUACAAAUUAUUAGAAAUCACAAUGCCUUCAACAAAUAUAUAAAUCAAAAUCCACUUAGGAUAUGAACUGCACAUCUCAUAACUGAAAAUGUACUCACCAUAUGCACCACAAGAGCAUUAAAUUAAAUUAUGCAUUGAAUGUCACCUAAAAUGCACUAUCUCAUACUCCCUCCGUUCUUUUAUGUAAGGUGUAUUAUUUUCGGCACGGUGACCAAGGCACAUAAUUAUAGACAUGUUAAGACUAAAUUAUCCUUGGCAAAUUUGUUCCUUAGUGAAAAGUAAAUCAAUUAGUUCAGAAAAAUAUGAGAUACAUGCAAUCAAUAAAGAGAUAGUUUCCUUUUUUGCUAUAAGGAGAGAUACAGACAAUGAGAAAAGAGAUACUUUUCCUAUUUUUAGGAGGGCUAACAAGGGAAUUAUGGGAAUUUAGAAAAAAUGCACCUUAUAUUCUGGAAUUUUAUUAAAAAAACAAAUUCACCUAAUAUAGAGGAACAAAGGGAGUAUUACAACAGCUAAAAUCCAUUCUUUUGUCAUAUUGCAACACGUGAAAUCAUAAUCCAGUCAAUACAAAUAUGCAUACAACUGAAUAAAUGUUAGUCUCUAAACUUGCAUCUACAAUACACAACAACACAAAAAUGUACCCGAGAAUCCGCACAUAACUUUUCCCGCAAAAUCCCAUCAAAACAUCAAACUACCCUCUUGUUCCCCGAAAAUCUCCUCUUCUAACUGUGCCCACUUCUCCCCCAAAAUCCCCUCAAAGCAUCACAUAACCCUAGCCUCAACCCUCCAAGCCAGUAUCUACCAGCAGUUCUUCCUGACUAGUACUACGAGCACACACAAGAACCACCUAAAUAUCGGUCCAAGUCGUCAAGAACUGGACAUGAUCAUUGAUGGCUCAAAACCUAACCUAAGCAGGUGCGGACAAAGGGCUAACCAAUGCGGCCAUGCAUUGGACUCCCGAAGUUGAGGCACCAUGCUGACGAUCUGAGGCACCAUGCUUACCUCGAUCGUUAGUGUUGAGGUCCACAAUGACGCCCCCCUUGGUCACCUCGGAGAUGUCGAGGAGGACACAAAGAGCCCUUGGGUUUAGUAGCGUUUUGCAAUAGGAUUAGGGGGCAUUUUUCUAAUUUUCCCAUUCCACCCAUGCUGCUGAGGACCUACAAGGAAAUAUUUAGUACUUCCUUCGUCUCAUAAUGUAAGAGUGUUUUUUAUACUAGUGUAGCCACAAAAACGUUGUUAUAUUAUGGACAGAGGAAGUGGGGUUUCCUGCAUAAUUGUGGUUGCGGCCUAACACUGUGAAUGUAGCACACCGCUCAGCGUGAUUCUGACUGUUUUGUAUGAAAAUGAAACAACAAUAUAGUCGAGGGGCCACUUCAGUGGGGGUUUGAAGUUCUUGUAUGACUCUGACUAAUUGUGGUAUUAACUCAAAAAAGAAUAUCUAGAAAUGCUUAUAUUGUGGGAUCAAGAUAACUCACAUGACAAAUCUUAACAAUAUCAAUCAGACCCGAAAGAAAAUAUGCACACGUCUCUUCCUUUUAAUCACACGAGAUGAACAUGUAGAUACAGUACAUAUCGACAAGGAACGGAUGAAAACCAUACGUGAAGGGAAAACGGGACUAGGAUUACAGGGCAACGCUCCAUUAGCAUUUCUGUUAACAUGACACGCAUCCGAAACUGCAAAAGCCAAAUAUCAUUUAACCCAUGGAAGACUCUUCGACUGUACCCUUCAGGUUUCUGAAGCUUCUUCCUCAUCGGUGGCCAAGGUGGUGUGUGCUGGGUAUCUCCACAUGAUGUCUGCCCAGGUGCUCUGCCCAUCGGUCACUUCCUUCACAACCGAAGCCACCUCGUCGACCUCAAUACGAAUUUGAUCCUUGCUGUCCCUGUCACGGAUAGUCACGCUUGUAGUUGAGUCGACUGUGAUCGCCAAGGGGACGCCGAUUUCGUCUGUCCUUGCAUACCUCUUACCGAUUGUAGUGCCUGUAACAAGUAGUACCCGAGGCACAAAUUACUUGCCAAAUGUACAAGAUAUUGUUUCCCCUCCUGGCAAAAAUGAACUGUGGCGAAUUUGCCAUGCUCGCCAACUAAACUUGCCAUCCUUGACGAAUACAAAUUGCCAUGAAAAAUGUUUGAUUUGACAUGCCUAAAAAUCUGACGUUCGCUGGAUAUUCGAGUCCUACAAAAAUAGUCUAGUAUGGAAAUUGACAUAAUACAUAAUAGCCUGUUUUGAAGAACAAAUUCUGUUCCAUGAUUCAUUCAAUCGAAACAUGUUGAAAAGAAAACAGAAAACAGGUUCCAAUAAAAUAAUCCACUGAAAUAGUGCAACAAAUAUCGAUGUUCACAAAAGCAGGAAACUGGACAGAAGUUUAAAAAAUGGAUGAUAUCUCAUGCAGAUUAAAUAUCGACAUUUUAACUAAAUGUUUUGAUAUUUAACCUAUUUUACCAAAGAAUGCCUAGUGGAACUUUGGACCUACACGCGACCAUAAGCAGUUUACAGUCAAUCGACAAAACAUCAAGAACUAGUUCUCAUCCAUCUCAUCUCUGGAAGGAGAAAAUAUCAAUAAUGUGAAACAAAGAUCAAAAGCAAAAUUUAGGUGUAAAUGGAGAACCAGUUAUGCUAUGCAAAUUGCAACGCUUCGUAUGGCUAGAAUAGAAAUAAACACGAUGGUUUUCUGUAAGUUCAGUGGUAUACCUGUGAUGUCGAUAAUGUGAGAAAUCCCUGCUGUUGUCAAAGCUUUUGAAAUUUUCUUGGCGACAAUAUCAAAUUUCUCAACCUUGACCAGUGGAAACACGGUACACUUGAUUGGAGCAACAAGAGGGGGGAAACGAAAAACAUUCAACUGCUCAUCAUCUGUCCUGCCAGUCCUUUGAUAGAAGCAAUGUUCGAACAAGCAGUAAAUAAUUCUCCCUAUGCCAAAUGAUGGCUCUAUGACAGAUGGAGUGAACUUCCUUUGAUGUUCCUUUUUCUUCUCCAUGUUAAUUGAAACCAUAUUCCUCUUUACGGUAACAUCCCUCCCAAGGGUACAGACCUUAAACUCAACCUCCCCUUUAGACUCUAAAGCUGCUUUCAUACCCAGAGCUUCAGUUUCACCCAUGGCCUGUUGGCAGAGAAAGUUAAGUGUUGACCGACACAACAGCAAUAAGAUAUGACAAGUCAAUGUGGAGACGAAACUUACUUCCAAUGCUUCGAGCACCGCCUUCUGGUUCCCUUUGAAAGUAAGACCAAGCUCCUUCUUUGAUGGGGUUAUAACUAACUUCUGAAUGUGCCAAGAAGAAACUUGUCAUUAGCAAAGCAGGUAAUUCGAGAAACUCGCCAAAGCAUCACAACUGCAAGAUUUUCAGUAGUAAUAAUUCAAUUACUCAGUGUACAAUGAGAAACUUGUAUCAUAAGUAAGCCUCACCUCCACUUCUCUGGGUUCUGCGAAUUUCUCAUGAGCUUCGAGUGGAACACCACUUUUAUCCUGCUCAAUGUAGAGAGUAGAAUAGGGUUAGUUCUAUUAGGAUAGUUAUGUGCAAAAUACACUUAACACAGUAAUAUAUCAGCAUCCCACUAUUGUUUGGUCUAGUCCUAUAGAACAAAGGAAUACCAAAGAGGCGACAGUUAGUGGAUGAAAAAUGCACUUAUCUCUUAAUAAAAGGGACGAAUACUUUCAAAAACUCUAACGAGGGAGUAGUUGAGCUAACAAAACAUGUUUGGAAAAAUAAUUCCAAUUGCCCACGAGGUAACUCAUUAACCAAGAACAUGGCGAAGGGUUGCGAUUUCGUACAACAAGUGGUUUUCCAACAAGAAAUAUUCAGCUCUCAAGUUUGAUACUGACGGAUAGCUUCGAAGUUGUAUAGUGCAGAAAACAUUGUACUCGCAGUUCUACUGAAUGAUGAUACAUACCGAGUGGGCACGCAAGUCAUACGCUGACCUAUCAGCAAUUCCAACACACUCGAUCCACCCAUAAGAGCAUUCGAUCUCUGCAUCCCAACAAUCAGCAGCAUAGUGAGCCAUUUCAUUUGGCAGAUGCUGCCGGAAUCGUAGACGGUCUUUGUCAAUCCCAAGCUGUGUCAAGAAGAGAUAGACCCUUCCAAUGAAGUAGCCAAGGGUCUCAUUGUUCACAGUUCCCUGCCGGUUGCAGCAAGUGUUACUUAGACAAACAUCAAAACUAGUUAAGAGUUUGGUACUAGGAGUAGCAAAAAAGCAAAAACAAGAGCGGAAUUAGACAAUACUAGAAGUAUACAAAUAUAGUACCUCAGAAACAGCUUCACCGAGCUGAAGUCUUGUGGCGGAUCCUCCUGUCAGUUGAUCUUCUCUCGGAAACAUCAGGAACUCUAGAUCAGAAACAUCACUAAACUUUGGAUGAGACUUGUCCUCUGGGUCCACAAAGUGCUCAAUCUCCGCCAAUGUAAAUUCACGGACUCUUAGAAGGCCUUGACGGGGAGAUAUCUAGCAAAACAAAUUCGUGUUAGACCACAGAGGUUAUUAAGCAAUGCCCUACAGUUAUUAGGAGCUAUUGCACCGGUUUCCACCACAACUACUCCAGUUCAUCUCAACAGUAACUGGAUAAUAAGUCUCUGGUAAAAACAUUUUUACCACUGGUUUGAGUUACAUUAUUCAUGUAACCGUCAUUAAAACACAACUUCUUUUGUCAUUUCCAUCUGGUCAACUAACUUUGACUGUCUCACUGCUAGUUUUGGCCCCAAAAAAUCAUUGUCAGUCUCAUAGGAGCAUAAGGUUUCUUUGGAAGAUAUAAUCCCAGACAGGACGGCACAAGAGAACAGGGUGUUGAAGGAACAGCAGCAAGAGAAAUAAGCACAUUCUGCUGAUAGUGGAAAGGAGAAGAUAGCUUGAACCAGUGGGAAAAAACAAAAGAGCUCCUAGAAUCCGAAUACCUGACAGAUAAACUGUUUUAUGUACCAAACAUGAACGAUGCCAUCAAAAGGAGUUUUUACAUAUGUUCUACAUCACACGGUAGAUUGCAAAUUAAACCCUGGCAAAUAUGUUAAUAAGGAAUCAAUAUAAACCCAUGUAAGGACGUCAAUGAGUAGAGGAUCUAAACCCAAGAAAAAUUGAUAAGAAAAAAAAGAUCCCAAAAGAAGAUUAAGUAGUUAAGAGAGUCAUGCCUCGUUGCGGAAAGCCUGGCCAAUUUGUGCUGCAGCGAAGGGUAACUUGUUGCCAUUGUAGUAAUACAAGUCUUUGAAGUCCACAAAGAUACCCUGUGCUGUCUCUGGCCUCAUAUACCUGCAAAACAGAUGUAGCAGAUGAGCUAAAACUAUAUCGAACAAAGGAGAACAUAGCGGUUUUUAAUCUCACCCUGCGCUCAAACCUGAUGGUCCAAUGGAAGUCUGAAACAUGAGAUUAAAGGGGUAUGGAUCUGACAAAGGAUUCUUUGUGUCGGGAGCAACAAUCCCAUACUCCUUAAUCUUAGCACCUAAUUGUUCUGCUGACAGAUCAUCCAAGACAGCAAGAAUAUGGUUUAAUUCUUCUACCUUCUCUGGUGACAAUGUAGUGUCUUGCUCGAGCUUCUCCUUACAGAAGUCCUUGAGUAAGUGAUCAGCACGAUAACAGUUGCCCAUCUUUUCAUCUUUAACCAUCAAGUCCGUAAACUUCUCAACAUGGCCAGAGGCCUUCAAGACAAUUUCUGGUGUCACACAUGGACAGUCCACCUCAAGCAUCCCUUCCUCCAACACGAAAUGCUAAGGCGGAGAAAAACANUAAAUACUGUGUUCUCAGAAUGUAUAUAAGAAAAUAUAUCAACUAAUAUUAUGCUAAAGAUCACUAGAAUGAUACCUUAUGUAUGCAAUGAGAUUUACAUGCAUGGAACUGGAAUGAUUUUCCUUUGCUUGUUACCAUAGGGGCGACGUUUGAAUGCACAUCUCAAUAAAACUGGAUCGCGACUUUUGUCACUAACAUUAAUGAAUAUUGCGGUUUCUAAAUAUUAUUACUGAAAUAGGGUUUUUUUUCAGGGCGUCAACAAAAUCAACUUAGGAACUAGUAGCGCAGUCAUCCUUGUCAAGUUUCAUAACAGUAAUCCAGCAGUCAAUAGACCCCGAGCAGGCGCCCAGCCAGCAGUGGAGAUAUGAAGAACAGAGACACUGCAAGGAAAGUGGGCAGAGGAAAAAGGGAGGAUGAAAUGUAGAGAAUGGAUGAAUACGGAGGAAGAAGGUACAAGGAAAGAGGCACCCCUCCACAGGUCAAACUGGAUCACCAGUGUCCACAGCAUUUGUGCAAAUGUGGUAUGAGUGUACGAGUUCGUUGAAUCCAAGUGUACUAGUUGUAGGAGUGUGGGUUGCAUACUGAGGAACCUAACAAAUGAACGUCUACCAUCAUUUUGCUUUCUGUGUACCCAUUUUCUUUCUUAUUUGUCGCCAUAGGCCCAAAGAGACCUCCCAUCGAUUCCCGUGUGGGGCAGAAUGAACUGACCAGCAGUGAGUGGUUCGGCGGCGCCAAGUGGACUCAUUGACCACAACCCCAACUAGGUUGCUAUUCCUUCUUCAUUAUUGGUUAUGAAUUGUAACUAAGAGGGGGUAGAAAAAUAGCUAGCCACAUUUGCAACUUUCUAGUCCCUCUGAGUCACAGUGUGGAUCGUUCUAGAAUUUCUGCUAGUCAAACAGUAUUAGGUUUCACCACGACUAAGUUGAUAUUACCAGAUAUAGCACGAAAUAUAGCUUAAUAAUGUAUACUUAAGUUUUUACUGAACACGGUAUACUUUCAUAUAAAUUGAUGGUCAAGGUGUCACCUUGGAAACCUACAGUAUGGCUUGGAAGUAGUACAAUUUAAGGCAGCAAGUUCAGUAUAAGCCAAGAUGGGAAUGGGCCGGGCCGGCACGCUGGUUCGUUGACCCGGCCCAAAAAUUCAAGGCCGAUGGGUCACAUGGGUCGGCCUCAAAAAAAAAAGGGUCAGUAGAGCCGACACCAAGUAACCCGUUGGAUCAGCGGGAUCAACCCACCUUGUGGUCUCGUAUCUCACGACAGCUAUGUCCUAAUCGUCACCCUCGUCGAUCUCUGCCGUGCCAGUGGUGCUGCCUCCUGCUCACCAUCCCAUUCAAGUCCAACUCAUUAUCCGGCUCACCGUCAGCUCGCCCUCCCGUACGCCGUCUAGCUCUAUGAUGCACAUUUGAGACUAGUCCAUGUCAGUCUGAUGUCAACUAGUAGUGCUAGCGGCAUCCGAUGGUUAGACACAAUUCAUCCUAAAUACCCGUUAGGCCAACGAGGCCACUACUAUUCAUGAUAUGGGUCGGUCCAUGGCCUCUUAAGUUGGCCCUGAGGCCACUAGGGCCGAGUCCAAGGCCAGGUCCAGGUAGGCCCAUACCCAUCCUGGAGUAUAAGGUGAUCAGUUCCUCCUAAUCUCCUAUAUUCGCAAAGCUAAAGUUUACAAAGUUGAGGAAACCAGGCUAGUCUGCUGCUGAUCAACAAACUGAUUUAAUCAGAGAGACGAUCGCUCCAAUUUACAUUACAGGAGGAAAAUUUAGCUCUAAAGUGUCCAGUGUCCACAUUUCUCGAUUGGAAGGUAGCCAAUUUGAGCAGCGAGCACAUGCUACACGACACCACAAGUAAUACAAAUACAAAACAAACNNNNNNNNNNNNNNNNNNNNNNNNNNNNNNNNNNNNNNNNNNNNNNNNNNNNNNNNNNNNNNNNNNNNNNNNNNNNNNNNNNNNNNNNNNNNNNNNNNNNNNNNNNNNNNNNNNNNNNNNNNNNNNNNNNNNNNNNNNNNNNNNNNNNNNNNNNNNNNNNNNNNNNNNNNNNNNNNNNNNNNNNNNNNNNNNNNNNNNNNNNNNNNNNNNNNNNNNNNNNNNNNNNNNNNNNNNNNNNNNNNNNNNNNNNNNNNNNNNNNNNNNNNNNNNNNNNNNNNNNNNNNNNNNNNNNNNNNNNNNNNNNNNNNNNNNNNNNNNNNNNNNNNNNNNNNNNNNNNNNNNNNNNNNNNNNNNNNNNNNNNNNNNNNNNNNNNNNNNNNNNNNNNNNNNNNNNNNNNNNNNNNNNNNNNNNNNNNNNNNNNNNNNNNNNNNNNNNNNNNNNNNNNNNNNNNNNNNNNNNNNNNNNNNNNNNNNNNNNNNNNNNNNNNNNNNNNNNNNNNNNNNNNNNNNNNNNNNNNNNNNNNNNNNNNNNNNNNNNNNNNNNNNNNNNNNNNNNNNNNNNNNNNNNNNNNNNNNNNNNNNNNNNNNNNNNNNNNNNNNNNNNNNNNNNNNNNNNNNNNNNNNNNNNNNNNNNNNNNNNNNNNNNNNNNNNNNNNNNNNNNNNNNNNNNNNNNNNNNNNNNNNNNNNNNNNNNNNNNNNNNNNNNNNNNNNNNNNNNNNNNNNNNNNNNNNNNNNNNNNNNNNNNNNNNNNNNNNNNNNNNNNNNNNNNNNNNNNNNNNNNNNNNNNNNNNNNNNNNNNNNNNNNNNNNNNNNNNNNNNNNNNNNNNNNNNNNNNNNNNNNNNNNNNNNNNNNNNNNNNNNNNNNNNNNNNNNNNNNNNNNNNNNNNNNNNNNNNNNNNNNNNNNNNNNNNNNNNNNNNNNNNNNNNNNNNNNNNNNNNNNNNNNNNNNNNNNNNNNNNNNNNNNNNNNNNNNNNNNNNNNNNNNNNNNNNNNNNNNNNNNNNNNNNNNNNNNNNNNNNNNNNNNNNNNNNNNNNNNNNNNNNNNNNNNNNNNNNNNNNNNNNNNNNNNNNNNNNNNNNNNNNNNNNNNNNNNNNNNNNNNNNNNNNNNNNNNNNNNNNNNNNNNNNNNNNNNNNNNNNNNNNNNNNNNNNNNNNNNNNNNNNNNNNNNNNNNNNNNNNNNNNNNNNNNNNNNNNNNNNNNNNNNNNNNNNNNNNNNNNNNNNNNNNNNNNNNNNNNNNNNNNNNNNNNNNNNNNNNNNNNNNNNNNNNNNNNNNNNNNNNNNNNNNNNNNNNNNNNNNNNNNNNNNNNNNNNNNNNNNNNNNNNNNNNNNNNNNNNNNNNNNNNNNNNNNNNNNNNNNNNNNNNNNNNNNNNNNNNNNNNNNNNNNNNNNNNNNNNNNNNNNNNNNNNNNNNNNNNNNNNNNNNNNNNNNNNNNNNNNNNNNNNNNNNNNNNNNNNNNNNNNNNNNNNNNNNNNNNNNNNNNNNNNNNNNNNNNNNNNNNNNNNNNNNNNNNNNNNNNNNNNNNNNNNNNNNNNNNNNNNNNNNNNNNNNNNNNNNNNNNNNNNNNNNNNNNNNNNNNNNNNNNNNNNNNNNNNNNNNNNNNNNGCGCGAGCGCUCGAGUGUGGCACGCGCGGAAGCAGGCGCCCCAAAUACACCACGCGAGAUAGCGAAUCCGACCACGCGCUCAACUUCUUAUAGCCCGCGCGGUUAUUGCGCGCGCUAAAAUGGCCUGUUUAGCGCUGGUGUUGGAGAUGCUUUCAUUAGCAUCAAUUGCAAGCUCUCUCGCCACAAUUCAUAUAACCAAGAAAAAGACAAAAAGGGCCACAUUCCCCUCGAACUCCACGAAUACUCGCCCCCGAUCAAGAAUCUCACCAAACUAGGACUCUACAAGCUCGCGAGGUAGUAGAAAAAAAAAAGGCAUGGCACGCAACCUGGCGCCAGGAGGCGAGUACGUUGGCCUUGACGGCGCACCCUGGCGGCCCGUAGUCAUAGAGCCCCGCGACGCCUCCGUAGAUCUUGAAGGACGGCACGUAGAAGAGGCGCCGCUCGAGCGUGUUCGCCACCACCACGCGGAACGCCUCCCGGUUACCUGCCAUGGCUGCCAGCUUCCGGGUGGUUGAGGUGGUGGCGCCAGCUGCAGCAGCGGCUAAGGUUUGCGGUGGGUGAGGUUUUGUUGCGAUGGCGCGAG